GUAAGUAAUCUUACUCUUACUUAAAUAUCUAAUUUGUCGAAAAUUUUGGGAAGACUCAAUUUCUUGUUAAUUUUCAGGUGUCAAAGUCUGGAUUUACAAAAUAUAAAUUUGAACUACCAUUAGGACUCUAGGCUGGGGUAGAAUUAUUUUUAUUCUAAUCAUAGAUCAAAUUUGGAAUUUGGAAUAUCCAAACAUCCGCACUUGAAAACUACUUCUCCUUAAAUUGAUACCAAUUGAAUUUCUUAACCUGACCAGUUUUUGUCAAUAUUUUACUAUCAAAGAUAGAGGAAGCCACAUAAAUUAGGGAAAAUCUUGGGAGGUGCCAACAGAACUGUGUCAUCGUCCCACAACAUCAGAAUUAUAUUCUGUGAUUUUCACAAUUAAUUAUCCUUAAUAAAUUUGUUAUCAGUCACCAAGAACAAAGAAUUUCCUUGUUUGAAAAAAUAAUUCCAGUGUAUGGUGCAGGUAAGAAAAUUGAGUUCUAUACAAGGUACUUAGAUUGUGCAGUGUUUAUGGCCAUGGGGGUUGGUUACUGGAAAUGAUAAAACCUACAAAAAUGUCGAGGGUUCAAAUCCCUUCUUAUACAGGGAAUGGGAAGGGAUUUGUUAUAUAUGUAUGUAAUAUUUUAAAAAAUCAAAGUUUAAAAUUAACUAGUAGUGAUAGCUUAUUUUGCAAACCAAAAGACGGGAAAUCCAGUGAAAUUUAGAACCUUAACUAAUUUUUUUCUUUUUUCCCCUCCCAAAUGAUUCCGUUUUCUGUUGCAGGUAAGCCAAAUUCUGUACGAGGUACUGAGGUUAUAUUCACCAGCACCUCUGCUUACUCGAGCUAAUGUUAAGGAGAUUAAGCUAGGAGAAAUUGUUAUACCAUCUGGAGUUUUACUUUCAUUGCCAAUAAUGCUUGUUCAUCAUGAUCAUGAAUACUGGGGCGAUGAUGCAAAAAAGUUCAACCCAGAUAGGUUUUCAGAAGGAGUCUCAAAGGCAUCGAAGAAUCAAGUUUCAUUCUUCUCAUUUGGUUGGGGUCCUCGAAUCUGCCUUGGACAAAACUUUGCUCUGUUGGAAUCGAAAUUAGCUUUAGCAAUGAUUUUGCAGAAGUUCACUUUCCAGCUUUCACCAACUUAUAUGCAUGCUCCUACUCGUGGGGUAACUGUAUAUCCACAGCAUGGUGCUAAUAUCAUUUUACACAAAAUUUAGUAUGCAUUACUAUCGCAAGUAUUCAGAAUUCUUGCCAUAUAAUAUAUGUAGAGCAAGAACUUUAUUAUUUUGAUUUACCGUUUUAAAUUUUCUCAGUACUCUUCUUUCCAAUAAAUUUAGAGUUGCAAUUUUUUUUUCUACUUAGUAUACAAAGUUGAUUAGGCCUCUUGUGGUGAAAGCAAAAAAAUAAAAACAAAUUAACCUUUCGUGUUUAAAAAAAAUAAAAAUUAAAUUUUAAAAAAAUAAAAAUUAUUUUUAAAAUGUGAGUCAAGCAUUUUUUUUUUUUUGCAAGCUCAAGCCUAGUCGAAUCUAGAGUGGGUGAAAAACAGGGCCCAAAUCUUGGCUCUAUACAUUGGACCUUAAUGAAAUCCUAACGGUCCAAUCUGGACGAAGUUCAUGCUGAGGAAAUGAGAAAUAAAUAUGACAGAUCAAUGGUUUUGAAGCGUUUAUAACACUUUUUUUAAAGGCUUUUUUUGAGUAUUUGUAGAUCGAAUUUUACAGAUUAGAUAUUAAUUUAUAUCCGAUUAAUAAUUUUAUGGAUUUUAAAUUGUCAAUCUAAUCAAAUCCAUAAAUUGGUGAAAUUCAUUUAAGACCAAUUCAUGUGUCAACAAAUCAAAUGCGGAUUUGAUCCAAUACUUAUCUAAUCCACCAUUUUACAAAUUAGUUUAAAAUUUUGUAAUUCUGUCAAAUCCACAAACUAAUUAAACAAAAAAAUUUAAUAUAAAAAUAAUUUUACUACCGAUCAAAUUCAAAAUUGAAUAAGAUUUAAAUAAAUUAAUUGUUUAAAUAAAGUUAGAAUAAAGCAUUUAGAGUUUCAAAAUAUACCACAUCGAAAAGAAAAAAAAAUCUCAUUUGUUUAAAUUAAUACAUAAAAAUUAGCUGAAAUUAUGAAAAUUAACUAUUUAGGAAUUGUUUUGUCUUGCUUGACCCAAGGAAGAGGAAUUGUUUUGUCUUACCUUUGGUUGAAUACCGAUUAUUAUUAUUUGGUGAGACCAAUUAAUUGUUUAUACAUACUUAAAAAAUAAUUUUAUCCAACCUUUUAAUUACAUUUUAUUAUAGGUAAUUAUGUAUAAACUAAAGUUAGUAUGUCGCAUACAAUUGAAAAAAAAAAAAAGAGUGCCCCGCACAUAUGACUAAUGGAAAUUAAUUAUAAGCUACCCGAAUUUUGACAUGGCUAGAUAUUUUUAAAUAAAAUAAAAUUAAAAGGCUUGUAAUUGGCCAAUUUGUUAAAAUAAUAAUUGAUGACAAACAAGUUAGACAAAUUUGUCUAUACAAAGGAUUGUGGAUGAGAGAAUUAUUUGAAAAGUCAGUCAAUCCCUUUAUAUGCAAAUUGAUGUGAUCAAGUUACAUAUAUAAAUUCUAACAAAGUGUUUGUGGUUUUACCAUUACUCAUUUAGAAAUUGUGUUCAAUUCUAGCCGAUCAUUUUAUAAAUUGUUGAAAAGCAAAAAUUUGGAAAAGUCUAGUCACAGGAGUUAACAUUUUAUCUAGAUAAAAUAGUAAUAACAAAAUAUGUUGGUUAAAAUUAGUGAAAAUAAAACAUUCAACUAAUAUUUUUUUUAAUUUUGUCAAUGCCUUAGGAAAUAAAUUACUUGGUCAUAAAAAAUACAAAGUUGUCUAAGACAAAACUUUUAGUUACUAUUUUUAGUUUUGUCACCAUAAUAACUCAUCUACGACUAAAAAACAAGAUCUUAAAAUUAUAAUAAAUCAAAAUAGCUUUAGAGACUAAUAUUAUGUGUUAUUGAUGGUUUGCCUAAAUUAACACCUGUGUUUUAGUUACAAAAUAUUUUUGUCACCUAUAAUUAUAUUUCUCGACCAUUUAUUUUGUCAUGAAUGACUUUUUCUUAAUUGGAUACGCGUAAUAUCUCUUGGAAUAAUCAUCAAUGAAAGUUAUCAAGUACUUUUCACCUCUCAGGAAUAUAUAUGGCAAUUCCCAAAUAUCAGAAUGAAUUAAGUUAAAAAUGCUUCUACUUUUGCCGCUAGAUUUGUUAAACUUGAAUCUAUGCUGCUUGUAAUACAAUGGUCACAAAACGAUGAGUUUUCCUAUUUAAACCUCGGAAGCAACUUUUGCUCAGAGAUAAUCUUUAAACCUUAUUUCGAUAUGUGGCUAAGUUUGAGAUGCCACAUUAUUGUCGAUUCUUCUUCAUUUGACGUGACACAUCAGCUUCUUGUAGUGUUUCCCCUUUAGGCAUGAAUAAAAUUAACACCGAUCUUUUCCACCUUCAUCAAUACAAAUGCGCCUUUAACAAUCUUCAUGAUCCCAUUUUUCAUAUGAGCUUUGCGUCCAAGUCACUCAAUUCGUCCUAAAGACCAUAAAUUAUUUUUCAUGCCUUUGACAUGUCGUAUCUCCUUAAUUGUGCGAACUGUACCAUCAAACAUUUUUCUUUUGACAGCACUAAUACCAGAGAUUUUUGAGUCACCCAUGUACACAUAUUCUCUUAAAAAGGUCCAUGUUUGUGGAACCAUUCUCUUUAAGAGGCCAUGUGUCAUGUUGCUCCUAAGUCUAUAAGCCAAAUGUCAGCCAAAUGCUUCCUGUCUUCUGCAAGAAUUACUGUCUCGCUGUAGAGAAUUUUUCCAUCAUCAAAAGUACUUAUUGUACAAUCAUGAGCAUUUGAUGACUUAACUUUAUUGUCUCUACUUUGCUUAUUUUUCCAACACUCUUUCUUGACAUGCCCUUUCUUGCCGUAAUUGUAGCAUUUAACAUUCUUGUUACUUCUUGAUUUUGAUAUACUAUGAUUACGACCUCCACUGGGGCCACGUUCUGUUGAUCUAUUUCUAGUCAUCGAUAAUGCUUUUGCUUGCUGCGAACUUGCCUGCCUACAUUCCUUGUUUUUUUUUUUUGUUUGCUUUCUUCAUUUAAUAUAGAGGUUACAACAUUGCCAAAGACUAGACUAUCUAUUUGGUUAUUGUUUGUUAGAUUAAUGAUGAGUUGAUCGUAUGAAUUUGAAAAGUGUAAAGAUUCCUUUUUAAGAAAAUCUUGUUUUGUAAAGACUUGUUCUCGUACAAUUUUGUAAGAGUAUCCCAUAUUUUCUUUGCUCUCUUUUUCUCUCUACACUAGAAAACACUUCAUUAGCCAGUGCUAAAUGUAGAUCCAUAGUUGCAUUACUGUCUACCUCGUUCUACUUGGCAUCAUCAGUUAUCUCCAUGGACUUUUCUCUUAUUGUUACCAUGCAAUUUUUUUUCCUCAAAAUAGCCUUCAUCUUUAUUUUCUACAACGACGAAUUAUUUUCGUUGAACUUCUCAAUUUCGUAUUUUGCGACCAUUGUUUUUUCACCACGAACUACAUUUGCUAAGAUUGGCUCCCAUCGUUUCACGUGAAUACUAACCAUAUAUGUGAACAGUACUAUAUAUGUGAAUAGUACUGUGACAACCAACUUGGCUCUAAUACCACAAUUAGGAAAUUAAUGGUGAAGCAGGGCCACAAUAAAAUGAAAUUGGAGAAAAAUAAAGAAUAAGCAUACAAAGAGGACACUAGAAAUUGCGUGAUUAAGCUUUUAACCUAUAUCUAUAGGCGAAGACAGAAGGAUAAAACUUCACUAGUGCAAAGAAGAUUAUAAGUAUUGUAAGAUUUUACCCUUACUUUCUAGAACCCAAUACACCCAAUCGCUCAAUCACUAAACUCUCAGCUUCUCGCUCUUGAUAGAAGAAACAAUUUGAAGAAAAGAAAUGAAAAUUUUUUUUUACAAAAUGGGCAUUAAUUUACAAUUUAUGGGGAACUCCCCUUUUAUAGCCAAAAUAAUCUAUUAUUUUAAUUUCUUCUUUUUUUUGUCCUUCUCAUGGCUUCUUCAACGUCGAAGCCAUAAACUGCCAUUUUCCUUCAAACUUUUUGGCGCCGAUCAUUAUUUGUCAAAUUUAACAUUUGCGGCUUCUUCAUUUGCGGCACCAGCUUCUACAUUUGAUAGCCAAGCCAAGAAGCCACAGACAGAAGAAGAAGCACUCGGUUACUAUCGAUGGUUGUUAAGCAGUCAAACAGCCAAGAUGAAAAAAAACAUUUAGGCAAUCUACGAUCUCAUUUUUUCCUUUCGCAAAAAAAUCCGUGCACGAUCCCCUCUUCAAUUUCCAAUUUUAUUAUUCCCUCUUCAUUUUUAAUAUUUUUCCCUUUGCAAAUCCUCUUUAAAAUCGUUUGAUCAAGUAGCCUAUCACUCUUAAAAAUAACCAGUUCAGGUGGUUGACUACUUGUUACUACUUUUUGAUAAGUUUCAUGGCAUGGAUUCAAAUUAAAACACAUUAGAUGCUCUCGGAUUCUCUACACUGUAAGUUACGUAAACAUAACUGAGGAAUUGCCUAAUAUAAAUUAUUUAAAAUAUAUUUUAUUAAAAGUAUCCUGUCUUUCUACACGUUUUAGAAGUUUUUGGGAUUGAUGCCAACUUAGAGUUAUCCAAAUCUUUUCUUUUUAAAUAAAUAAAUAAAUCAUUCUGCAUUUUGGUUCAUACAGAGCACAAAUAUAGCCACAAUCAAAUUCGGCAGUUAUGUUUCUCAUUUUGUAGAAAACUCUAUUGUAUAAAAUUCACUACUACAAAAUUAGUAUUUAAUGACGGUUUUAAAAGACAUAAGAUGACGGUUUUAGGCAGCGACAUUAAAAAGGGUACACUGUUUAUGACAGUUCAAAAACCGUCAUUAAAUGUAUACAUAUAAUGAUGGUUAUUUUAUUAAACAAUCAUUAUUUGAGAUAUAUUAUAGAGUUUCAAUGACAGGUUUUUCUUAAAAAUUGUCAUUAAAAAAUACCAUUCAAUGAAGGUUCUUUAAAUAACGGUCAUCAAUACUACUUUAGCAUAUAUUUUUAAUGAUAGUUUUCUUCAAAACCGUCAUUAAAUGUCAAUUUUUAAUGACGAUUUUAUAUAAAACAAUCAUCUUAUAUAGGUCUUUGAUGACCAUUCUUAUUUAAAAUUACCAUGCUUCAAUUGUUUUUUUUAGAUUAAAAUUUACAUAGUUGUUUUCACAUUCUAAACUGUACAAUUGAAGCUGCAUUGGCAAAUUUCAAUUUACAUUACACAUUGAUAUAAUUGUCAUUUACAUACAAAGAACUCAAAUACAUGCAAGCUUAAUUAUAACAGUUUAGCACUUAAAUAACCUUGAUCAAAGUAACUCCUAAUAAUGAAAAAAUAUGCUACGCGAAUUCUCAAAUUUAAAUCCUAUCAAAAACAUGGUUGGCACCACUUUUUUAGAUGGGCGGUGCCAAACCAUCAACAUUUUCAACACGGCCCGCCAUUUUUGGUGGUGCUGAAAUGCUUGAAGAAGAAAAAUGAGAAAAAAGAACAAAAGAAGAAAGAAGAAGUCGAAAGAUUUGAAAGGAAAAAUAAUAAAAUAUUAAUAGUAUUAUUUUAUUGAAAAAAAGGAAGGGAAAUGAAGCCUAUAAAUAGAAGGCUUUAAUUCCCCUCUCGGCAUCCCAUUCUUCAGUUUUUAAUCUUUUGUCAGAGAGGAAAAAUUAAGAGUCUUAAUACUCUUGUGUAAUUAGUGAGUGAGAGAUUGGGUGUAUUGGGGUUCUGGGAAGUGAGCCAAAAUAUUACAAUACUUGUAAUUUUCAUAUCACUAGUGAAAUAUUUUCCUUCUAUAUUCGCCUGUGGACGUAGGCUGAAAGCUGAACCACGUAAUUUUCUGGUGUCCUCUUUUGUACUUGUUCUUUAUUUUCUUCCAAUUUCAUUUUAGCUGUGGUCUUCCUUCACCCAUCAAUUUCCUAACAGUGAUAUCAAAGCUAGGUUGUAUUUUUUGGAGUCAGGUUGUUGUUCACGUAAAAGUACUAUUCAGAUGUAAAAUAUUGUCCACGUAUACGAUAUUGUUCACGUAUAUGAUAUUGUUCACGUAUAUGAUACUAUUCACGUAUACGGCUUUGUUCAUGUAUACAAUUACUGUUCACGUGAAACGGUGGGAGCUGAUCCUAACAAAGUUAGUUUUUGGUGAACAGUAAUGGCAGCAAAAUACGAAAUUGAGAAGUUCAACGGAAAUAAUUUUCCGUUGUGGAAAAUAAAGAUAAAAGUUGUAUUGAGGAUAAAUAAUUGCUUGACAGCAAUUGGAGAAAAGCCCACGAAGAUAACUAAUGACAAGUGGAACAAGAUAAACGGGAUCGCCAUUUCGGAUCUACACUUAGCACUUGUGGAUGGAGUAUUAUCUAGUGUGGUAGAGAAAAAGACAGUAAAGGAAAUAUUGGAUACUCCCACAAAAUUUUACGAGGCCAAGUCGCUGCACAACAAGACUUCUUAAAAAUGAGACUCUAUACUUCGAAUGACGGAAUCUACAUCAGUGACUGACCACAUCAACACCUUAAAGACUUUAUUUUCACAACUCACAAUGUUGGGUCAUAAUAUAGAGGAAAAUGUACGUGCAGGGCUCCUACUUCAAAGUCUACUAGAUUUGUAUGAUCAAGUCAUUAUCAACCUUACAAACAAUAAUCCAGCGGACAAUUUAGUUUUCGACGAUGUUGCCGCUUCCGUAUUAAAUGAAGAAAGUAGGCAGAAAAAUAAGGAAGACAGACAAGCAAGUUCGCAAUAAGCAGAAACACUAUCGGUAACAAGAGAGAGAUCAACAGAAUUUGGCUCCAGUGGAAGUCACAAUCAUGGUAGGUCAAAAUCAGGAAGUAAGAAGAAUGUCAAAUGGUACAAUUGUGGCAAGAAAGGGCACGUCAAGAAAGAGUGUUGGAGUAACCAGAAGAAAAAAGAGGGUAAAGAACCUGAUUCAUCAAAUGCUCAAGGGUGUGUAGCAAGUACCUCGGAUGAUGGUGAAAUUCUCUACAGUAAGGCAACAACUGUUUUAGAAGGCAGAAAACGACUAUCUGACGUCUGGCUUAUAGACUCAGGAGCUACCUGACAUAUGACCUCUCAAAGAGAAUGGUUCCACACAUAUGAACCUAUCUUAGGAGGAUCUGUAUAUAUGGGAGAUGAUCAUGGCUUGGAGAUCGUUGGCAUUGGUACUAUCAAAAUAAAAAUGUUUGAUGGUAUUCGCACAAUUAGGGAGGUAUGACAUGUCAAAUGCUUGAGGAAUAAUCUAUUGUCUUUAGGAAAAAUGGAUAGUCAUGGGUACAAAACUCAUGUGGAGAAUGAAAUUACAAAGAUUGUUAAAGGCGCGCUUGUAUUGAUGAAGGUAGAAAAGAUCGGUGCUAAUCUAUUUAUACUUAAAGGGGAAACAUUGUAGGAAGCUGAUGCGUGUGUUGCAUUAUAUGGAGAAGAGUUAAUGAUGAUAUGGCAUCUUAAACUUGGCCAUAUAUCGGAAUAAGGUUUAAAGAUUCUCUCUGAGCGAAAAUUACUUUCAGGGCUCAAAUCGUUAAGCUUACCAUUUUACGAGCAUUGUAUUACAAGUAAGCAACAUAGGUUAAACUUCAGUAAAUCUAUUGCUAGAAGUAAAUGCAUUCUAUACUUAGUUCACUCUGAUGUUUGUGAAUCACCAGACAUAUCCAUAAGAGGUGCAAAGUGUAUGGUGAAUUUCAUUAAUGAUUAUUCUAGGAGAUGUUGGGUGUAUCCAAUUAAGAAAAAAUCAGAUGUAUUUCCAGUGUUUAAAGAAUACAAAGCGCGGGUGGAACUUGAAUCCGACAAAAGGAUUAAGUGCUUGAGGACAAAUAAUGGUGGUGAGUAUACAGACGGCGAGUUUCAUACUUUCUGUAAGCAAGAAAGUAUUCAAAAGUAGUUCACGGUAGCAUACACUCCUCAACAAAAUGGAGUGGCAGAGCGGAUGAACAAGACUCUUACAGAACGAAUAAGAGCUAUGUUGAGAACUGCGAGUCUACCCAAUUUAUUCUGGGUAUAAGCAACAAAAACUGCCUGUUAUAUAGUAAAUCGGUUGCCAUCCACAAUAAUUGGGCUGAAGAUAGCGAUGGAGAUGUGGACUAGAAAGCCAGCUAAUUACUUCUACCUACAUGCAUUUGGAUGUCUUAUGUACGUGAUGUACAAUACCCAAGAAAGAACAAAGUUAGAUCCAAAAUCUAAGAGGUGUAUCUUCUUGGGGUAUGCUGAUGGAGUAAAGGUGUAUUGUCUGUGGGACCCUACUGGCUACAAGAUUAUCAUCAGCAAAGAUGUUAUCUUUGUAGAAGAUCAACUACAAAGGAGAGAUGAGGAUGAUAGUUGUUGUGCAAAUUUUACUGAACUCGUAAGUGCACGAAUCUAUUGUAGAAUAGAUUAAUGAUGAUGAGUGUCGAUCCACGAGGAGGUGAAUUUUAAUUGUGUGUAGAGUUAAUUUUCAUAAGGGUGGUUGGAUUUGUGGUGAAAAUGAUUUGGAAUAUCCUAAAAUUUAAAUUAGAAUGGCAGGAAUAAAUUAAAGCGGAAUCUAUUGAAAUAAAGCAUUUGGGUAUCUAUAUCUGCAUCAACAUGCACCAUGGACUAAAUAUUCCUUAUUAAUGCCAAUUAAAUUAUGAGGGGGGUUUUCACUCCUCAUGAACCACACUCUAAUCAAUAUGGUGCUAAGGGUUUAUCGUGCCAAAUAAUAAUAACCUUGUGCUAGGGAGCCGGUUAAAUCAGUGUGGUAUCUAGACAAGAUUAUUACUAUUUAUAGAUGAAAAGUCAAAAAUCCAUAAUAAUUAGAGAGGACAAGAAAAUAAAUUUACCAAAUAAAGCCCAUGACACAUGUUGAGACUUCACCUUCAACCCAAGCUUGAAAGAAAAUUAGUUACUCAUAAUUGAACUAGGGGUAAAAUGAAAAUUUAUUAAAAUACGUAGAAAAUACAAGAUGGAGAAGGCAUUACAGAAAAUGAAACUCAAAAAUGAAUUCAGGGAUCUCAAAUUAAGGGGGAGCCCCCUUUUUAUAGAUACAUUGAGUAAAUCGUGGCCAUCAGAUUAAAAAUAAUUUGGACGCUCAGGAUUGCGCCAUGUCAUCGGUCAACAGUACGCGGUUUGAAUAGUGACGCGGUAUGAACAGUGAGGCGGCUUGAAUAGUGACACAGUUUGGUUGUAAAUAAUUCUGUGUAUAUGCAUGUACCAUACACACGAUUUUUAGUCCACUAACAUGCUGCCACGUCACUGAUCAACAGUACAUAAGAAUUUUAGUCCAAUAGUAUCGUGAUACCUCAUCGGUCAAUGCCACAUCGUCGUUCCGAAUAUGUGAACAGUGUCAUGAACAGUAACAUAGACAGUACUGUACAUGUGAAUAGUGCCAUUUUUCCUUUUAUGCUCCUCAGAAGGUUUUUGACUCUCCUGAGUUCAAAAGUGAUGUCCAUUUUGUUGUCUGAUAUCUCGUUCAUUGUGAAAUAACCAUGAUGCCCCUAAAAUACAUAAAAUACUUAAUUAAAAUAAAACACACAUAAUUAAAUCACAAGAGACUUAAAUACAUAAAAGUAAGGGUGUUAGUAAGACUUGAAAUGUAAAAUGACGAUUUUCUCCUUUAUAAAUAUACACUUUCUAGUACUCAACACACCCCCCAACUAGCUUAUUGCUAGUCCCUAGCAAAUAAAGCGAAAACAAAAUUCAAAUCCAAAAUGAUUUUUUUUUUAAACACUCGUGUUUAUUCAAUUAGACUAAUGAUAGCAAUCAAAUAAAAGUAUAAUCAUUAUCUCCAGUUUAAAAAAAUAUCACUCCCACAUUAACCAUCCGUAUGAAUCAACCUAGUAGACUUUGUCACAACCACUUUUAAGAAUGACAUGUCAAACCCCAAAAUCUCACUGGAAGUAGUGACACUCUCACAAAAAAAUUAAACCCAAUAAAAAUAGUCACUCCAAUGAAUGGUAAAUUGAGACAAAAUAAUAAAGAAGUGAUAUCACACACUCCCAUCAAGAUGAAAGGAAUAUGCCCACAGCUAAAAAAUAACACGAUCUUAAGUCAAACAAAAUGCUAGGUUGAUAACUAUAGGAAAUGAGAGUUAUUACAUCAAUUCUAGACUUAAAUUAAGAUCACUUAAAGAACAAAUAAGGUGCUUUUAUUACAUUUUGGUUAUAUUUUGCAUAAACAUUCAUUUUAGUUGAGUCUUAAUAAGUUUUCUUUGAAUCAAAGUAAUUGGUGCUAAAAACAGGUGAAUAAUUGUAGGUUUUCAGAAAGUCUUAAUUCAUGAGGGAUAGUGAGACAUUAGAUGAGCAAGAGGAGGAGAGAAGAUGACUGCAAAAGAAGUAAAGCACAAUCGGGAAUAGUACAGUGUUGUAGCGGAUGUUAGAGCAAUCAGUGCUGUAGCAAUCUGGGAGCAAUGCGAGAGAAAACUUAGGCGCGGGUCAGCUGCAGAAUCGCGAUUUGCAUGUUUCCUAAUUUAACUCAUGCACGCCCAUGGACUUUGGUUUACCCUAGUUUGCAGUAUAAAAGGGAGGCGUGCACAACAUAGAAAGGUGGCAAGGAAAUUAUCAUUAGAAUAAUUAGAGAAGAGAGGAGAAGAAGAUCAGAAUUGAAGAGUGCCGUUUCGGCAACAUUGAGGAAUCUUGCAGAAUUACUUGGAUUUUUCUUUCACCGUGCUCAACUUAUAUUUAUCUUCUUCCUUUGAUUGUUCUGAUGUAUCCCGUGAACAAAAUAUUUAUGUUUGCUUUUCUUAUUCAGAAUAUGAACUAGAUCUGCUUGUAGUUGAGUGACAAACAAUCCAAUGGGUUUUUUAUUGUUCUUAUGUGCUGUUAUGUCAUUGCUGUAGCAUUUUACUUUAAUAGCUAUUAUUAAUAUAACUGUUAUUUUGGUUGACCACUCAUUUAAUAGUUCAAGUCAAGAUAAAGCCGCAAAAUGACAUGUCUUAGCGGAUAUUAUUAGAGUAUUACUUGGUCUUAAUUUAAGUUUCCUGGAUUAAGUUAUCUUGAAUCCCAUAAGGGCUAUACUUGAAGUUAAGAUUUGUGACACACUAGACAUAGGUGCUUACCUUGUAGGGUGGAGAGACUAAAGGAUCAUAAUGCCAUACCAUAAGUAGAUUAACAACUGGUCAUUGUUAAUAGAUUUAAGGGUAUGAGACUUCCAAUAAGCGAUAGCUGAGGAUUUAAAUUAAUUCUGCCCUGUGCUGCAGCACUUGCCAUAACAACUGGUGCUAACAUGAUGAAAAGUAGUCAACCCAUAAGGAGAGUUUAAUCAUUCAACUACCAUAGUUUCAAUUGAAUCUUAGACACAUUUAAUUUGGUUUAAUUCAUUACGGUAUUGUUUUACUUUAUUCUCUCACAAUCAUCAAUUACAAUAGAACCCACUCUAUAUUUGUUAACUUCAGAUUGAAUUUAGUUGCACUAUUGUGAUUGCUAUAGCAUUUCAAGUGACAUCAAUUCCUGUGGAGACGAUCUUGAAUAUUCAUCACUUUAUUACUUAUUGUGUACACUUGCACCUUGACAUCAAUAGCAUUUGAUUAUAAAAUUAACCAACAAGUUUUUGGCGCCGUUGCCAAGGAUUGAUUGUUUAUUUUUGAAGUGUGAAGUAAAUCUUGAUAGCGCCAAAUUUGACUUAAUUCAUUCUAUUUAUUGGCAGAUCAGUACGUGCAUGCGCAAAGACAGAUCUGUGGUAUUCCAAUUCGAUAUUGAGAUUGAAAGGACUGUCAGGGGACUGCGAAGAGAACAAAGGAAUUCAAAAACUGUUUCAAGCAUGAAUAAUUUGCAGGAUGUGGGAAAUUUGAACCCUUACGGGCCCUUACAACCAAUCAACAUUCAAGAAGAGCAGAAUGAACAUGCGAGAGACAGCCAGGCAAUAACAAUAUUAUUUACAUGGCUGAUGACAGAGACAGAGCUAUUAGAGAUUAUGCUGUGUUAACUCCUUAAGUUGUACACCAUGGGAUAAUCAACCUGAAGUAGAAGCUGCAAAUUUUGAGUUGAAGCCAGUGAUGUUUCAAAUGUUGCAAACAGUUGGUCAAUUUAAUGGAUUGCCAAAUGAAGAUCCUCAUCUCCAUCUUCAAUUGUUCUUGGAAGUGAGUGAUGCUUUUAAGAUUGCUGGAGCAACACAAGAUGCCUUAAGGCUGAGGCUUUUUUCUUAUUCCUUAAGACAUUGAGCAAGAGCAUGGUUAAAUUCGUUACCAUAUGAUUCUAUCACUACAUAGAAUGAGUUGGCUGAUAAAUUCCUAAUGAAAUAUUUCCCACCGAAAAAACAUGCUAAGUUACGGAAUGAGAUUACUUCCUUCCAUUAACUUGAAGAUGAGAGUUUGUACGAGGCUUGGGAAUGAUUCAAAGAACUGCUCAGAAGGUGUCCUCAUCAUGGCAUUCCUUGUUGCAUUCAGUUGGAAACUUUCUACAAUGGGUUGAAUCCAAGUAUAAGGUUAAUGGUGGAUGCUUCAGCAAAUGGAGCCCUGUUCUCCAAAUCUUACACUAAAGCUUAUGAAAUUCUGGAGAGAAUUGCGAAUAAUAAUUAUCAGUGGCUGUUGUGCAAAAUUUAUUGAAUUCGCAAGUGCACGAAUCUAUUGUAGUAUAGAUCAAUGGUGACGAGUGUCGAUCCCACGAGGAGGUGGAUUUUAAUUAUAUGUAGAAUUAAUUUUGUAUGAGGGUGGUUGGAUUUGUGGUAAAAGUGACUUAGAUUAUCCUAAAAUUGGAAUUAAAAUGGCAAGAAUAAAUUGAAGAGAAAUCUAUUGAAAUGACGUACUUGGGUAUCUAGAUCCGUAUCAACAUGCACUAUGGGCUAAAUAUUCUUUAUUAAUGCCAAUUAAAUCAUGAGGGGGGAAUCCACACCUCAUAAACCACACUCUAAUCAAUGUGGUGCUAAGGGCUUAUCGUGCCAAAUAAUAAUAACCUUGUACUAGAGAGCCGGUGAAACCAAAGCGGUAUCUAGACAAGAUUAUUAUUAUUUGUCGACGAGAAGUCAAAACAUUCACAAAAACUAGAGGGGAAGAGAAAAUAAAUUUACCAAAUAAAGCCCAUGACACAUGUUGAGACUUCACGUUCAACCUAAGCUUGAAAGAAAAUUAGCUACUCAUAAUUGAACUAAGGGCAAAAUGGGAAUUUAUUAAAAUAUAUAGAAAAUACAAGAUGGAGAAGGAAUUACAGAAAAUGGAGCCCAAAAAUAAAUUCAGAGCCAUCAAAUUAGGGGGGGAGACCCCCUUUUUAUAGAUACAUUGAGUAAAUUGUGGCCAUCGGAUUAAAAACAGUUUGGACGCUCAGGAUUGCGCCAGAUCAUCAGUCAACAGUACGCCAGUGAACAGUAACACGGUUUGACCUGGGUUGAACAGUGACGCGGUUUGGUUGAAAAUAAUCCUGUGUAAUGCAUGUUUCGUACACGAGAUUUUUGGUCCACUGAUAUGCUGCCACGUCAUCGAUCAAUAGUGCAUAAGAAUUUUAGUCCAACAGGAUCGUGACACCUCAUCAGUCAAUGCCACAUCAUCGGUCAAUGGCACGUCAUCGAUCCGUCUAUGUGAACAGUGUUGUGAACAGUAACGUAGACAGUACUGUACAUGUGAAUAGUACCGUACAUGUGAACAGUGUCAUUUUUCCUUUUAUGCUACUCCUAAGGUUUUCGACCGUCCUGAGUUCAAAAGUGAUGUCUGUUUUACCGUCUGAUCUCUCGUUCAUUGUGAAAUGACUAUGAUGCCCCUAAAAUACAUAAAAUACUUAAUUAAAAUAAAACACACAUAAUUAAAUUACAAGAAGCUUAAAUACAUAAAAGUAAGGGUUGUUAGUAAGGCUUGAAAUGUAAAAUGACGAUUUUCUCCUUUAUAAAUAUGCAUUUUCUAACACUCAAUACACCCCCCAACCAGCUUAUUGCUAGUCCCUAGCAAAUAAAUCGAAAACAAAAUUCAAACACAAUAUAUAUAUAUAUAUAUAUUUAUUUAUUUAUUAUUAUUUUUUAUUUUUGAAACAAUCUUUUUUAUUCAAUCAGACUAAUGAUAGCAAUCAAAUAAAAGUAUAAGCAUUAUCUCCAGUCUAAAGAAACAUCACACCACAUCAACCAUCCACAUGAAUUAGCCAAGUAGACUUUGUCAUAGCUACUUUCAAGAAUGACAUGUCAAACCCCAAAAUCUCACUGGAAGUAGUGACACUCUCACAAAGAAAUUAAACCCAAUAAAAAUAGUCACUCCAAUGAAUUGUAAUUGAGAGAAAAUAAUAAAGAAGUGAUAUCACAUGCUCUCACCAAGAUGAAAGAAAUAUGCCCUCAGCUUAGAAAUAAUACGAUCUCAAGUUAAAUAAAAAUGCUAGUCAACCCAAUUUAUUUAUUUAUUUUUAUUAUUUUUUUUAUGCACCACUACUUCUUUUUAGCUCAUGUAACUAUCUUUUACUUCAGACUAUAGUUCCCUAAAAUCAAGAAGGACUUUUAUUAGGACGUAACGUAGGCUAGAGACAUGGCUAACAAAGAAGGGAAAUAAGGAAAACAAAGUGUAUGUUUGAGAAAAAUGCAGAGGAAUUUUUCUUUUUUGGAAGUUACAAGGUGGAUUUCACCUAUUAUUGUUAUUUUUUUCUUCUUUUAUUUUGUAACAACAAUUUUUUUUUUGGGCAUAACUUCACUAUACAAAAUAUUUAUUUACAUUUUUUCAAACAUAAAUAGGUGAUGUAACUUGUAAGAUAUUAGGUAAUACUCCAAAUCGGAGUGGGUCAAGAUGAUAAGUUUGACAAAGAAAAGUUUUUUUUUUUAAAGGCUCAAAAGGGUUAACUAUGAAUAUUUGAUAAAAAGGAUGGCUAGAAAGGCUCAAACGGAUCAAAGAUGACCUUUCUAUCGUCUUUUAGGGCUCUAAAUAAUUUUUCAUAUCUACUAGUUAGAUGGGCCUCCAUAUGUAGCAACAAUUUUUUUUUAUUUUACGAUUUUUUUAAGGGUUAACUCAAAAGAAAUCUAGAGUUCGUGUAUAUAAUAAUAAACUGCUAAGCUGUAUAAAGAAUGGUCAAAAGGGUUACUCUCCAAGAAAAAUGAUAGGAUCAAAAACUCACUUGGUACUUAUUAUGACAUGUUCAUUCCUUCAAGCAGCUCAUAUUUGUCUCCGACAUCAACAUGUAAAGUAGCAAACAUAGUGUAACAUCACUUAAGACCAAAGAUAAUACAAAUACUAAAAUUUGAAAUUAAUCAUGUCAUCCAAUGUUAAAACAAAUCACACAAUUCUUUUUAAACAACAUUCUACCCUCCAACCUAUUCUAAACAUGAAAAGAAAAUAUGCAUGCAGAAAUGUGAAAAUGAUGCAGAAAAACUAAUUAGAAAAGUUACACUUAAAAUGAUAGAAAACAAAAAUGAUUUUUUUUUAUAACUUAAGAAGAUACGUUUCUAGAGGCACUACACUCCAUAUUCAGUCAUUUUCAACUCAAAAAAAUUAAAAAUGUAUAUUUAUAAAGGAGAAAUUAAAAAGAAGAAGAAAAAUGAACAUCAAAACAUAAUAAAGAAAAAGAAAAUGUCUUUUUUUUUUGUUUUUUUUUCAAACGAUGAAGAUGCGUUUCUAGAGUCACUACACUCCAUAUUCAGUCAUCUUCAACAUAAAAAGUUAGCAACAGUUAGUUUCUACAAUAAAAAAAAUCAGUAAAAACUUAACCAAGAUUCUACAAUUGUCGACUAUUCCUUUCUCCCAACCAGAACGAAACAUUGUCCUCAAUGUUUGAAAGGAAAGAAGUAGAGUUUAGAAGACAUCACCUGGGUGGUGCAAAACAGAAGAAAAUAUUUACAAGCGGAGGGUUAAAUCUAAUUUGUACUUCUUACUGCGGCUACUGUUACCAUCAUUAUUUGGACGCUCCAACACAAAGGUCCAGGGGUCUGGCUCCGGUCUAUAAGCUGGUAACAGAUCAAGUAGCUCAUUAGCAGUGUGAGCACAAAUAAAAAAGUUUUUGGCAUUGGAAGGAACGAAAUAGUUUUUUAUUGCAUGGUUAAGAAAUGCGAUAAAGCCAUCAUAAAAAUUAUUGACAUUUAACAAACCGAUGGGUGUCUGGUGAAUGUGCAGAUGGACCCAAGAUGCUAAUGUGAUAAGUGCCUCUAAUGUUGCAAGAUCUCCUGUAAGGAAAAUAAAAGCAUCAGCAUGAUUAAGCAUUUCAGUUAUUCUUUCUUGCAUACCUGAGACGACUAAUUCUUCUCCAGUCGGUGAGUCAGACAAACUGCCUAAAGGUUUUAGGACUCUUGGGAUGAUGCCUAACACUUGGCUUCCUCUGACAAAAGCAGCUUCUGAGACCAAUUUUUAUAACCCUCGGUUACCUUCUCCAUAUACUAAGUGUAAUUUUCUCUUUGCUAUGCUUCGACCAAGAUCAACGGCUGCCUCAACGAACUCUUUAUGUUUGCCAUAGUUAAAUCCAGAAAGCACACAAAUGUUCUUGAAUUGUCUAUUAGGAGUAGCUACCAUUGGAAUAUUUCUCAAAAAUAAUUUGUGAGUGCUUAACAAAAAGUCUUAUUUAAGAAUCUUGGUGACAGUGGAUCACAACUGUGUAUAAGGUGGCAUGUUAGUGUCAAAUAACGCGUAAAGCACAUGGCUAGCGAGUUAAAAAGGAAACAGUAAAAAGAAAAAGAAACAAUGAUAAAAUAAAAUUAUUAAAGACAAUAAUGCAAAUGAUAAAACAAUAGUGAAAUAAAAUAACAGUGAAGUAAAAGGAUAUUUACAUGUAGUUGGGACUGUGGCUCACAUCUUCCUCUGGUUUUAUGUCCAGAAAUGGCUUGAACGCCUUCUAUUGGUCGAGGAUAGGCUUCCCAUCCAGUUUUCUUAUAAGCUGGCAAAUAGGGUCGUUUAUAGUCAGAUUCCCGAGACUAUAUCGUGCAUGCUCUUUCUGGAAUAAUGGCCAUAACUGGAGAAUCGCUCAUUACACAUUAUCCAAUGGGAUGCGUUUCAAGAGACAGAAGGAUAUCAUCCAAUGACUCCUUAUUCAAACCAUCCCUAAUGAAUUGAAUCUUAUCUUCCUUAUUAUCAGACACCAUUCCUAAAGAACAUGGGUUUUUAUUGCAUCUCAUUCUAGCACACUUAUGACAAGCAACAGAAAUUCUUUGAGCUUUUCAUUUUCUUGUAUAAUUUCCUUUACCACAACCAGGCAUGUAUGCAAUAAAUUUUGGAGGUAACUCACCUGUCAAUCGUACUUUAGCUUUGAUUAACUAACAGAUGUCAGCAGGUAUGUUGUUCCUCAUGAGUAAUCGCAUACGUUCGGACCGAGCUUUAUAGAUUGUAAGGAGGGCAUUCUGAGGAAGUGAAGAGAAUCAAUUAUGAAGCUUUGCUAGAAUCUCAUUUCUGUCCAUACCUUCGCUUCAGAAUAUCAGUUAUUAUGGGAAACUGAAGUAACCGACUUGAUUGUCACGGAGUACCGUUAUCCGCCACUUCACCGGGAUAACAAACUAAAGCACACAAAUAGAAAAAUAAAUUAAAACACACAAAGAAAAUUAAAAUCAUCCUCUUAUUGAAUUUACCUCAAGCUCCAACUGGAUGUUGUAAACACUUUUCUCAAUGUCUCUGAGUUGGCUUUCUAAACCCUCAACAUAGGAUACUAACUCUGGUGGUUGCAGAGCUCAAAUACGAUGUGUCGUACAAAAUCGAAUCUGCCUUUUGAGAUGAGAUUUUACACGUUGAAGUGGUUUAAGAAUGUUCAGGAGGAACAGUUUAAGUAUGGUACUCAUGAUUAACAAUGAUAAUAAAAAAAACUUAAUGGUUAAACAAACACACUUAUGCAAAAAUAAUUUCAAUUAGCAAAAGAAUAAUAAAAAAAGAAAGAAAAAAAUCAAAUCACCGAAAAGAAAAAAAAUCAAUUCAAAUCUGGUGGGUCAUUCAAAUUUAUUUCGGUGUCUUCUCCAUGUGGUUGGUACUCUAGAUAUGACUUUAAUCUUUGACCAUUAACUUUAAACGUAACACCAUUCUUUAGGUUUUUAAUUUCAAUUGCCCCAUGUGAAAAAAAUAGUAUGAAUAAUAAAGGGGCCAGACCAUCGAGAGCGUAACUUACCUGAGAAUAUGUGCAAGCGAGAAUUGAAUAAAAGCACUUUCUGACCUGGAGUGAACGAUUUUCUCAUAAUUUGCUUGUCAUGGAAGACUUUUAUUCGUUGCUUGUAAAUCUUGGCAUUUUCGUAUGCAUCAUUGCAAAUUUCUUCAAGUUCUUCCAACUGUAAUCUUCUUUUUGAGCUGGCUUGCUGCAUGUCAAAGUUGAAUUUCUUGAUAGCCCAAUAUGCACGAUGCUCAAGUUCCACAGGUAGGUGGCAAGCUUUUCCAUACACUAGCCUGUAUGGUGACAUCCCAAUUGGGAUCUUGAAAGCCGUUCUAUAUGCCCAUAAUGCAUCAUCAAGUCUUAAUGACCAAUUUUUUCUGUCCAGCCUCACCGUCUUUUCUAAUAUGUGCUUUAUUUCUCGAUUGGAGAUCUCAACUUGGCCACUGGUUUGCGGAUGAUAUGGGGUUGCCACUUUGUGAGUGAUUGAAUACUUCGUCAAAAGAGUAUUGAAUGCUUUAUUACAAAAGUGGGCACCAACAUCACUGAUUAUUGCUCGAGGGAAUCCAAAGCGUGAAACAAUGUUGCUUUUCAAAAAUUCUAUCACCACCUUAUGAUCAUUGGCUCUACAUGGAAUUGCUUCUACCCAUUUCGAUACGUAGUCAACAGCAACCAAUAUGUAUUGAUGGCCAAAAGAAGGGGGAAAGGGUCCCAUGAAGUCGAUACCCCAUACAUAAAAAAUCUCAACCACUAAAAUUGGAUUUAAUGGCAUCAUAUUCCUUCGUGUAAUGCUCCCCAUUCGUUGACACCUAUCACAUGAAGAACAAAAAGUGUAAACGUCUCGAAAUAUAGUUUGCCAAUAGAAACCACAUUGUAAAACUUUAGUAGCUGUUUUCUUAGCACUGAAAUGACCUGCACAAGCUUGUUCAUGACAGAAUGAAAGGAUAUUAUGAAUUUCACUUUCUGGGACACAUCGCCUAACAAUUUGAUCUGCAUAAUACUUGAACAAAUACGGGUCAUCCCAAAAGAAAUUUUUUAUUUCCACAAAGAAUUUAGCCUUGUCUUGCUUGGUCUAAUGCUCUGGAAGUUGACAUGUAACAAGAUAAUUAAUGAUAUCAGCAUACCAUGGUAAUACUUCCACACUCAUCAAUUGUUCAUCUGGGAAUGACUCAUUCAAUGGUAAUGAUUCCAUAAUUGUGUCAAAGUGGAGACGAGAGAGAUGGUCAGCUACAACAUUCUCUGUGCCUUUCUUAUCUUUAAAUUCAAGUCGAACUCCUGCAAAAGUAACACCCAACGAAUUAGUCUAGCUUUUGCAUCUUUCUUUGUGAGAAGAUAUUUAAGAGCAGCAUGAUCUGUGAACACAAUUAUUUUACAACCAAUGAGAUAAGAUCGAAAUUUUUUCAAUGCAAACGCUACUACUAUCAUUUCUUUUUCAGUAGUUGAAUAGUUCAAUUGUGCAUCAUUCAAUGUCAUACUAGCAUAAUAAAUAACAUGGGGAAUUCGAUCAACUCUUUGUCCUAAUACUGCUCCUACUGCAUAAUCAGAUGCAUCACACAUGAGUUCAAAUGGUAAGCUCCAGUUUGGGGCCUGAAUGAUGGGUGAUGAUGUCAACAACUGCUUUAAUUUUUCAAACGGCACAAGACAAGAAUCAUUAAAGAUAAAAGGUACAUCCUUAUCAAAUAAAUUGCAUAAGGGUCUAGAAACUUUGCUAAAUCUUUAAUGAAACGUCUAUAGAAACCAACAUGUCCAAGGAAAGAUCUUACUUCUCUGACUGUUUUGGGUGGAGGAAGAUUAGAAAUAAGAUCCACUUUGGCUUUGUCUACCUCAAUACCUUUGCUCGAAAUGAUGUGACCGAGAACAAUACCUUGUUUUACCAUAAAAUGACACUUCUCCCAAUUUAAGACUAAGUUCUUCUCGCUACAUCUUUGCAAAAUUAGUGUUAGAUGAUGUAAACAUUUAUCAAAAGAGUCACCAAAGAUAGAAAAAUCAUCCAUAAAAACUUCAAGGAAUCGUUCAACCAUAUUAGAAAAAAUGCUCAACAUGCAUUGUUGAAAUGUAGCAGGUGCAUUAAAUAAUCUAAAUGGCAUUCUCCUAUAUGCAAAUGUGCCAAAAGGGCAAGCGAAAGUAGUUUUCUCUUGAUCUUUUGGUUCUAUAGGAAUCUGAUUAUAUCCUGAGUAGCCAUCUAGAAGGCAAUAAAAUUCAUGGCCUACCAAUCUAUCAAGCAUUUGAUCGAUAAAUGGUAAAGGAAAAUGGUCUUUACGUGUGACAGAAUUCAACUUUCUAUAAUCAAUGCGUACACGCCAUCCUGUUGUCACUCUAGUUGGUAUUAAUUCAUUAUCGGCAUUCAUAACUACUGCGACUCCUGAUUUUUUGGGGACAACUUGUACAUGAUUGACUCAUGAACUAUCAGAAAUUGGGUAAAUGAUACCUGCGUCUAAUAGCUUAAGGACUUCAGUUCUAACAAAUUCUUUCAUAUUAGGAUUUAACCGACGUUGCAUUUCCCUAAUAGGUUUAACAUUUUCAUCAAGGUGAAUGUAUGCAGUCUACUAGGUUUAUACCUUUAAUGUCUGCUAUGAUCCAUCCUAAUGCUCCUUUGUGCUUUUUUAAAACAUCCAACAACUUAUAUUUUUGUUCGUCAUUUAGAGAUGAGGAGAUGAUUACCGGUAGAGUACUUUCUUCUCCCAAAAAUGCAUAUUCCAAUAUGUUGAGUAAUGGUUUGAGCUCGAGUUUCGGUGGUGAUUCUGAUGAUGAGAUGGGUUUCUUUUCUGAUGGUGCUAGUUGUUCAACUCUUGACUUCCAUUUAUUAGUGUCCAUGGAUGGUGCUGAGUCAAAUAGGGCAUUGACCUCAUCGACCGAUCUGUUAAUAUCAAAAUCCAAACCAAAGUGAGUUAAACAUGUUUGUAAAGGAUCAUCACUGAGGUUUGAAAGAAAAGUGUCAUCAACUAAUGCUUCAAUUAAAUCCACAUCAACAAUUCCAUCAUCUGCAUUAUGAGGUUGUUUGGCAAUGUUGAAGAUGUUCAGCUCUAUAGUCAUGUUGCCGAAGGAGAACUGCAUAUUUCCAGUCCUGCAUUGAAUGUGAGUAUCAGCAGUUGCCAAGAAAGGUCGGCCUAGAAUAAUGGGGAUGUGCUUCCUUGAAUCUUGUAUUGGUUGAGUGUCAAUUACAAUGAAAUCAACAGGAAAAUAAAACUUGUCUACCUGGAUAAGCACGUCCUCCACAAUACCACAAGGUAUUUUCGUGGACCGAUUUGCAAGCUGUAACACCACUGGAGUUGUGUGUAAUUCUCCAAGUCCAAGUUUCAAAAAUACUGAGUAAGGCAACAGAUUUACACUAACUCCUAAAUCCAACAAGGCAUUCUCAAUUGUGUGGUUCCCUAUGCUACAUGAGAUAGUAGGGGAGCCUGGGUCUUUGCAUUUUAGAGGAAUUUUAUGUUGGAGGAUAGAACUAACGUUUUCUGUUAAAAAUGCCUUCUUUUGAACGUGAAUAUUUCUCUUUUUAGUACAAAGGUCUUUAAGAAACUUGGCAUAAGAUGGAACUUGUUUUAUAACAUCAAGUAAAGGGAUGUUAACACUUACCUGUUUGAAGAUUUCAAGAAUCUCACCUGUGGAUUUUUCCUUCUUUCCUUUAGUUAACCUCUGAGGAAAUGGAGCUUUGGGAACAUAUUCUCGUGAGUUGGUUUAUUCUUUCUCUUCCAAUGGUGAGUCCUCAACAUUCAUAGGUAUAAUUUGAUUUUCUUUUGUCACCGGCAUCUCCACUUUGUUGUCGACUUCUUUUCCUUUUCGCAAGGUCAUGACUGCUUUGACCUCUCCAUGCUGCUGUGGUGAACUGGUACUUGCUUCAUGCACUCCUUUAAGAUUAGGCACUGGUUGACUUGGAAACUUGCCUUUCUCAACAGUCAUUGCCAAGGUCUGAACUGAAGAGGCAAGCUAUUCUACCAUCUUCUCGAGGCUUGAAACUAAUUGGGCUUGUGAGUUGAAGCCUGCUCUUAACUCAUUUCGUAGUCCAUCAAUGGUGCGGUUCUGUUGCUCAAUCGUGGAGUGAGUAACAUUCUUGAAAUUCUGGAAUGCAUCCUCCCAUGGUCUUGGUUGAGAGUAAUUCUGAUUUUGAUUGUAUGGUCUAAAUGAUGGCUGAGAGGCUUGAGGAAUUUGAGGAAUUGGUUGCAUUGGUAGAGUUGGAGCUGCUGGUCCAUUCUGUUGGAAUCCUUGAGACCAUGAAAAAUUGGGGUAGUCUCUCCAUCCAGGGUUAUAUGUGUUGGAGUAUGGGUUGUAAUUUGAUGGUUUUCUCAUUACACCUACGGCAUUGGCUUGAUCUAAGUAUGAGUCAUGGUCAUGUGACUCUGUUGAUUUAGCAGUCGAUAACGAUGUUAUUUGUCGAGAUAGACCUUCAAUUAUUGCUUUGACUUCAUUAAUUUCUUAACUUGAUUCGCCAAUGUGAAACUCAUUUACUCCCUUAAUUCUUCUAGUAUUCCGGAGUGAUCGACUCCGUUGUUAGGAAUUAUCCGCUUGUCGCUGGAAGAAUUCCCAAAUCUCUGAUGCACUUUUUGACAUUAGCUCUCCUCCACUUGUUGCCAUUAGCCAUUCUUGCACAUUCGGCAAUAAUCCCUCUAAAAAGUAUUGGCAUUGAUGCCAUGUCUCAUACCCAUGAUGUGGACACUUUAAGAGUAGCCCAUUGAAUCGCUCCCAUGUUUCGAAAAACUGCUCGUCAUCUCUCUAGGUAAACUCUGAAAUUUCCCUGCGAAUAGCAUUGGUUUUAUACACUGGGAAAUAUUUAUUUAAAAAUUUAGUUACCAUUUGUUCCCAUGAUGCAAUGCUAUUAGCAUGCAAUGUAUUAAGCCAUGAACGAGCUUUAUCCUUUAAAGAAAAUGGAAAUAGUCUAAGUUUUACAUCAUCAUCUGAAAAUUUCUCAUAUUUAAAUGUUUGACAAAUAGCAUGAAAAUUAUUUAAAUGAUUAUAUGGGUCCUCAUUUUCUAGGCCAUAGAAUGUUGGGAGACAAUUUAGCACACUAGGUUUUAGUUCAAAACUCCUAGCAGCUACAUUUGGGUAUCUUAUGCAUGAUGUGCUCAAAUUACCUAAAGGACUGAAGUAGUCCUUAAAUGGCUUCUCUUGUGGCUGCAAAUCCAUUUUAUUUUUAACUUGUUUGUGUGUGUGAAGUGUUUUCUCAAGUUAGAGGUCUAUAGGUUCAAGAUUAGGUAAUAAUGACCUUCGACCAUGCAUGCAAAAUAAAUAAAAUAAAAAUAAAGAUGGGAACAAAACAAAUAAAAAUAAAGAAGAGGGAGAAAUUAGGAUACUAACCUUAUUGCGCUAUUACAACCUUACUAUAAAAACACACUAAAAAAAAAUACGUGAAAAUAAAUUAACUAAAAAUUACAAAGAAAAAUAACUUAAAAAUUAAAUUGCAGAAUUGUAAAGAAUAGAGAAAGAAAAGAAAUACUAACCUCUAAAUAUAUAUUCAUUUUUUUCUUUUUUUUAAUAAGAAAAAAUACAAGAAAACAAAUAAAAGAAAUUAUUGACAAAAAUUAAUUCUACAAAUUGAAAUAACUUACAUCCCCGGCAACGGCGCCAAAAACUUGUUGUGCAAAUUUUAUUGAACUCGCAAGUGCACGAAUCUAUUGUAGUAUAGAUCAAUGGUGACGAGUGUCGAUCCCACGAGGAGGUGGAUUUUAAUUAUAUGUAGAAUUAAUUUUGUAUGAGGGUGGUUGGAUUUGUGGUGAAAGUGACUUAGAUUAUCCUAAAAUUGGAAUUAAAAUGGCAAGAAUAAAUUGAAGAGAAAUUUAUUGAAAUGACGUACUUGGGUAUUUGGAUCCGUAUCAACAUGCACCAUGGGCUAAAUAUUUCUUAUUAAUGCCAAUUAAAUCAUGAGGGGGGAAUUCACACCUCAUGAACCACACUCUAAUCAAUGUGGUGCUAAGGGCUUAUCGUGCCAAAUAAUAAUAACCUUAUAUUAAAGAGCCGGUGAAACCAAGGCGGUAUCUAGACGAGAUUAUUAUUAUUUGUCGACGAGAAGUCAAAACAUCCACAAAAACUAGAGGGGAAAAGAAAAUAAAUUUACCAAAUAAAGCUCAUGACACAUGUUGAGACUUCACCUUCAACCCAAGCUUGAAAGAAAAUUAGCUACAUUGAGUAAAUCGUGGAAGAAAAUUAGCUAUAUUGAGUAAAUCCAAAAAUGGAUUCAGAGCCAUCAAAUCAGGGGGGAGACCCAUUUUUUAUAGAUACAUUGAGUAAAUCGUGGCCAUCGGAUUAAAAACAGUUUGGACGCUCAGGAUUGCGCCACAUCAUCAGUCAACAGUACGCAGUUUGACCACGCGGGUGAACAGUAACACGGUUUAACCCGGGUUGAACAGUGACGCGGUUUGGUUGAAAAUAAUCCUAUGUAAUGCAUGUACCGUACACGAGAUUUUUCGUCCACUGAUAUGCUGCCACGUCAUCGAUCAACAGUGCAUAAGAAUUUUAGUCCAACAGGAUCGUGACACCUCAUCAGUCAAUGCCACAUCAUUAGUCAAUGCCACAUCAUCGAUCCAUCUAUGUGAACAGUGUCGUGAACAGUAACGUAGACAGUACCGUACAUGUGAAUAGUACUGUACAUGUGAACUGUGCCAUUUUUCCUUUUAUCCUCCUCCUAAGGUUUUCGACCGUCCUGAGUUCAAAAGUAAUGUCCGUUUUGCCGUCUGAUCUCUCGUUCAUUGUGAAAUGAUUAUGAUGCCCCUAAAAUACAUAAAAUACUUAAUUAAAAUAAAAUACACAUAAUUAAAUUAUAAGAAGCUUAAAUAUAUAAAAGUAAGGGUUGUUAGUAAGGCUUGAAAUGUAAAAUGACGAUUUUGUCCUUUAUAAAUAUGCAUUUUCUAACACUCAACAGUGGCCAUCAACCAGGUAACCAGCAGCAAGAGGAUCAACAGGGGUACAUAACAUAGAUGCAAUUACAGCAGUAGUGACAUCAUUGACUAACAUGGUAAAGGCCAUGACAUCUGCUCCAGCAGUAGUGAAGCAAGUUGCUGAACUUUCUUGUGUAUACUGUGGUGAAGAACAUGACUUUGAUAAUUGUCCUAGAAAUCCAGCAUCAGUAAACUAUGUAGGUAAUUUCAAUCGACAGCCUCAGAACAACCCAUAUUCAAAUACUUACAACCUUGGAUGGAAACAACACCCAAAUUUCUUAUGGAGCUGUCAGAAUCGAAAUGCUCCAGCAGUAAAUGGACAAAAUAGGAACACUCAAUCAUCUGGUUUUCAUCAGUAGAGUUAGGGACAAAAACAUAUCAGUUAGGAUCCAAUCACUUCAUUGGGAAGCACUGAUUAAGGAAUACAUUGCAAAGAAUGAAGCAAUUGUGCAGAGUCAAGCUGUAUCCUUGAGAAAUCUAGAGAACCAAAUGGGACAACUUGCUACAGCAAUGAGUAGCAAAACUCAAGGAAGCCUACCUAGCAACACAGAAGACCCUAGGAGAGCGAGCAAAGAACACUACAAAGUAAUUAAUUUGAGAUCUGGAAAGAAUAUUGAUAUCCCAGUUGAUGUGACCAAAAAUGGAAUGAAAUUCAAUUCAUCACAAAAACCACCUCAAAAUGGAAGCGUGUUACAACAAUCCCCCCAUCAAGACACUGGUUACAUGGGCCAAGCUACAAAAACUGCAGAAGGAAUUCAACCAGAACAUGCUGAAAAAGAAGUUGCAACACCAGUAGCCACGACCUACACCAAACCAAAGAAAUAGAGUUUGGUACCUCCUGAAGCUACCCAGCAGUUUAGACAUCCACCACAUUUCCCACAAAGGUUCCAGAAGCAAAAACAAGACAAGCAGUUCAGCAAAUUCCUAAAAGUGGUAAAACAAUUACACAUAAAUAUACCUUUUGUGGAAGCUUUGGAGCAAAUGCCAAAUUAUGUGAAAUUUUUAAAAGACAUUUUGGCACGAAAGAAAAGGUUAGGAGAAUUUGAAAUUGUUGCUUUAACACAGGAGAGCAGCCAUAUGCUCCAAAGUAAGAUUCUUACAAAAGUGAUGGAUCUAGGAAGUUUUACAAUACUCUGCUCUAUAGGAACUAGGUAUGCUAGUAGAGCACUUUGUGACUUGGGAGCUAGUAUUAAUUUGAUGCCAUUGUCUGUAUUUAAGCAGCUGUAAGUAGGAGAAUGUAGACCAACAACAUUCACUUUGCAAUUAGCUGACAAAUCUCAUGCAUAUCCUGAAGGAAAAAUUAAGGAUGUACUGGUGAAGGUGGACAAAUUCAUCUUCCCAGUAGACUUCAUUGUACUAGACUUCGAAGCUGAUAAAGAGAUACCCAUUAUACUUGGAAGACCUUUUCUAGCAAUUGGAAAGACUCUGAUUGAUGUGCAGAAAGGAGAGCUCACCAUGAGAGUGAAUGAUCAGCAAGUCACAUUUAAUGUACUAGAGGCUAUGAGGAGCCAUGAUGAAGUAGAAGAUUGUAAUUUCCUAAGUGUCGUGGAUUUUGUUGUAGCAGACAGAGUGGACAGAUGCUGUAGUAAUGAAAUCAAUAAAGUCACCACCUUUGAGGAUGUAGAUGGGGAAGAUGUUGCAGCAAAUCAGAUAGAUUAGAUGGAAGAAAAGUAAUCUGAUAGGCACAAUAGGUUUAUUGAGCAUCUGAAUCUUUCAAACAGGGAAGUAAAAACAACUUUACCAUCUAUUGAAUCACCUCCUAGUCUUGAAUUAAAAGUGUUACCUUCAUAUUUGAAGUAUGUUUAUGUUGGUCAAAAUAACACACUCCCUGUAAUCAUUUCUUCUACUUUGGAUACAGGUCAAGAACAUAGUCUAGUAGAUUUGCUUGGAAAAUAAAGAAGAGCAAUUGGAUGGACCAUGGCAGACAUCAAGGGGAUAAGCCCAUCAAUAUGCAUGCAUAAAAUCCUGUUAGAAGAUUGCUACAGCAAUUCGGUGGAGCACCAGAAAAUGUUGAACUCUAUUAUGAAAGAAGUGGUGAAGAAAGAAAUCAUCAAAUGGUUGGAUGCUGGAAUCAUAUGCCUAAUAUCAAACAGUUCGUGGGUGAGCCCAGUUCAAUGUAUUCCAAAGAAGGGAGGGAUAACAGUAAUAGCUAAUAAGAGGGAUGAACUUAUUCUUACAAGGACAGUGACUCGAUGGAGAGUAUGUAUGGAUUACAGGAAGCUCAACAAAGCCACAAGGAAAGACCACUUCCCACUUCCAUUCAUAGAUCAGAUGGUGGACAGACUUGCUGGAAAAUAAUACUAUUGUUUCUUAGAUGGGAUUCAAGCUACAACCAAAUUGCUAUAGCUCUAGAGGAUCAGGAGAAGACUACAUUUACUUGUCCUUAUGGAACAUUUGCCUUCAGAAAAAUGCCAUUUGGGUUGUGCAAUGCUCCAACAACUUUUCAGAGAUGCAUGAUGUCUAUUUUUUCUGAUAUGGUAGAGCAGACUUUAGAAGUUUUCAUGGAUGACUUCUCAGUUUUUGGAGAGACAUACAAUGAUUGUUUACCUAACUUAGAAGAAGUUCUUAAAAGAUGUGAGAUGACUAACUUAGUACUCAAUUGGGAGAAGUGCUAUUUCAUGGUGCAAGAAGGAAUAAUGUUGGGUCAUAAGGUAUCAAAGAAUGGUAUUGAAGUAGACAAAGGUAAGAUAGAGGUAAUCGAUAAAUUGCCACUUCCAACUUCAAUAAAGAGUAUUAGGAGUUUUUUGAGUCAUGCUGGAUUUUACAAAAGAUUUAUUAGGGAUUUUUCCAAGGUAGGUAAAUCAUUAUACUCAUUGCUGGAAUAUGACAAACCAUUUCACUUUGACAAAGAUUGUCUUCAAGCAUUUGAAGAAUUAAAUAAAGCUCUGAUCAAUGCUCCAGUAGUUAUAUCUCUAGACUGGACUUUACCAUUUGAACUGAUGUGUGAUGCUAGUGAUCAUUAUGUGGGAGCAGUAUUAAGGCAAAGAAAGGAUAAGAUUUUUCACUCCAUAUACUAUGCAAGCAAAACUCUUACUCAAACUCAAAUCAAUUACACCACUACAAAAAAAGAAUUGCUAGCAGUAGUAUUUACUUUUGACAAAUUUAGAGCUUACUUUGUAGGUGCUAAAGUGACUGUAUGCACAAACUAUGCAGCCAUCAAAUACUUAAUUUUAAAGAAUGAUGCCAAACCAAGAUUAAUCAGAUGGAUCUUAUUGCUUCAAGAAUUUAAUCUGGAAAUUAAAGAUAGAAAGGGGACUGAGAAUCAAGUAGCAGACCACCUGUCACGGCUGGAAGCAGACAUUAGUACAUUGACAAAAAGGGACAUCAUUGAAACUUUUCAUGAUGAACAGCUGUUGGCAGUACAGCAAGCACAGAUGCUGCAGCAGUCAGGAUCUCCAUGGUAUGCAGAUUUUGCUAACUACUUAGUAAGUGGGAUGCUACCACCUGAGCUGAAGUUUCAGGAGAAAAAGAAAUUUCUUCAUGAUGUUAGAAGCUAUCAGUGGGAUGAUCCACAUUAAUAUAAGUUAUGCUCAGAUCAUAUAAUAUGAAGAUGUGCUUCAGAAGGAGAAAUCCCCCAUAUAUUGGAGUCAUGCCAUGCUGCAGCAUAUGGAGGACAUUUUGGUGGUCACAGAACAAUUGCUAAAGUUCUGCAAUCAAGUUAUUACUGGCCUACUAUUUUUAAAGAUGCUUAUGAAUUUGUUAAAUGUUGUGACAGGUGUCAAAGGACAGGAAACAUAACUAAAAGACAUGAAAUGCCAUUGACUAACAUUCUGGAAGUUAAAGUUUUUGAUGUCUGGGGAAUAGAUUUCAUGGGACCUUUCCCACCAUCCUUUGGGAACUUAUAUAUCCUUGUUGCUGUGGAUUAUGUCUCCAAGUGGGUAGAAACUGCAGCAUUACCUACCAAUGAUGCUAAAACAGUGGUGGCUUUUCUUCAGAAAAAUAUUUUUUCCAGGUUUGGCACUCUUAGAGCAAUUAUUAGUGAUGAGGGUACUCAUUUUUGCAACAAAGUCUUUGCUACAGCUAUGGUAAAAUAUAGAGUCAGACAUAAGGUAGCAACAUCAUAUCACCCACAAUCCAAUGGUCAGGCUGAAGUGUCCAACAAAGAAAUUAAAAAGAUCUUAGAAAAAGUGGUGAACCCAACAAGGAAGGAUUGGUCUUUGCAGUUACAUGACUCUCUAUGGGCCUACAGAACAGCAUACAAAACUCCACUCGGCAUAUCUCCUUACCGAAUUGUUUAUGGAAAGGCUUGUCAUUUGCCACUAGAGCUAGAGUAUAAAGCACACUGGGCACUGAAGAAAUUAAAUUGGGAUAUUUAUGCUGCAGCAGAGGAAAUGAAGCUUCAACUUUGUGAGCUUGAUGAAUUACUGCUAUUUUCAUAUGAAAAUGCAAGAAUCUAUAAAGAGAGGACAAAACACUGGCACGACAAGCAUAUUCAACACAGGCAAUUCAGCCUUGGUCAAUUAGUAUUGCUCCACAAUACAAGACUAAGAUUAUUUCAGGGAAAGCUAAAAUCACAACGGUCUGGCCCUUUUAAGCUGUUAAAAUUUCAUCCUUAUGGAGCUGUUGAUUUUCUAGAUGAACAAACAAGUCAAGAAUUCAAAGUUAAUGGACACAUGAUUAAACAUUACAUACACUCAGUGGCAGAUUGUUUAAAGGAGGUGUUACUCCUUAUAGAACCCAAUUAUUGAGCAAUGAAGAAGGUCAGGCUGAAGGACCUUAAAUCAAAUGCUCAAUGGGAGGCAACCUAUUGUGGAGACAGCCACCUCAAACCAAGUUUGAUCUCCUUUGGUUUUGUUGACAGCUCUCCCUCUUUUUCAUUUUAUUUAAUUUUGUUCUUCCAUUCUAGCUAUUUAGUUUUAUCCUUUCACAUUAUUGCAUUCUUUACUUUUGCUAUCAUUUGAUCUCUUUAUUUUUUAAUUAAUUUUAGAAUUCAUUUUAGUUUUUAUGGGAAGUAUGUAUGGCAAUUGAAUUCCAUAUUGACAAGUGAGCUUGUAUGGUGGCAGAGUGCAGAGGUGAGCCACGUGUAAGAGGGUAUUGGCGUGGAGUAUGUAACCAUUGCUAGAGUAAGUGAAUGGGUGCUGCAGCAACCAAUUUUACCGUUAUAGUAAAUUAAAAAUUGGAGCCUCUCACUUACCGUUGGAGAUAAAUCAUGACAGAUGGAUGCAUGGCUUUGGAUAGCAAUUGCGAAAAACUCUCCGAAAUUAAUGCGUUAAUUUCGCUGGCCUAUGUUUUAGGGAUAUGCACAUUAAAUUCAAAAAAUUUUCUUCCCUCAUUUAUCUUUAGUUACCAGAUUUAUCUUCAAUUAAAGUCCACUAUAAAAGGGAGUCACUUUUCGUAGUGAUCUACGACACUAUUCCCUAUCUCCUUCGCAAGUACAACUCUCAUAAUUCUCAACCUCUUCUUCUCAUUUUACUCUCAAGGACAUUAGCCUCAAUUUGUUACUGCUACAGCAAUGCCAAGAUAUAAAAAAAUAGCCAGCCACCUCAAAGAUCCUUCACACUUCUAGAGUUACCAAGCCGAAAAAAAUAUGAAGAAUUCAUAGAGCCGCGUAAGAUUCUAGAAGAAAAAGGGUUUCAAUUUCCAGAAUGACUUACCGGAAUUGUGCAAACAAUACACAAUGCUGCACCAAAGCGUGGAUGGUUGGAAUUUUGCAACCACCCUCGAGAUCCUAUGCUACUAGUAGUCAAGGAAUUUUACGCCAAUUUGGUAAGCCAUUAUCAGCACAACAUUUGGGUUAGAAACACACUGGUUCCAUUAGACUCCCGCGUUAUAAAUGCUUUCUAUAAUUUACUUGCUGAAAUUAAUUGGGAGUAUGCCAAAUUGCGUGAUAAAUUGACCUAAAAAAAAUGGAACACCAUCUUCACAACUCUUACAAUUGAAGGGGCAUCAUGGGCUAACGAGGAAGGGCGUGUGGUUAAUAGGAUAGAUUUGAAACCUAUUGCUAAGGUGUAGGUGAAAUUUCUGAAAUCUAGGCUUAUGCUAAGUACUCAUAUUACUACGGUUUCACAAGAAAGGUUGGUCUUGUUAUAUGUCAUUAUUUUAGGGCUUCCCAUAGAUGUGGGUAGUAUCAUCGAAAAAGAAAUCAAGGAUUGUGCAGUUAAGAAUCACAAAACUGUUGCCCUGCUAUUUGCUUCUCUCAUCACUAGCAUCUAUGUAGUAUCCGGUGUUCGUCUUGACGCGAGAGAUGACCAUGUCAAGAAUGAUGGUGCCUUCACGACACGUACCAUUGAGAGAGUUGCUGGUGAGAGUGCUAGAACAACAACUGAACCAACUGCUGUAACAGGAGCAAGACGAGCUAUUGGUUUAGAAUAAACAAUCCAAGCGCUUAGCACUAGUAUAACUCAAUGUUCUGAAGCUCAGCAGAGGGAAAACGAUCGGUUUUGGAGCUAUCUACAGCACAUGGACAACCAACUACACCAAUUUACUCUAUACAUGAAACACACUCACCGGAACUUCCCUGAUUCAUUGCUCCAACAGUACAAUUUUGACACCAACACCACAUGUGCUCCAGCAGAAGCCAGUGAAGAAGCCACUGCCACAGAUGAACCAGAAGAAGAAGCUGCAGCCGAACCACAAGCAGGGGUAGAAUCAGAAGAUGCUGAACCAUCUGAUCAACCUGAGGAAGAAGGUGACAAGUUUGCGACUGAUAGCUCACCCACAGAGGCAAAGGACAACUUUGAGAAAGAACAUGAGGAACCUUCCAUCCCAACUCAUUCCAAAACCAGGAAAAGGCACAUUACUCAAGAAGAGGAAGAGGAAGACCCUGAAGAUGAACCUUCCAUUCUAGUCCUUGCAGGCAAGGGCAAGGCAAAAAUAACAACACCUCUAGCCUCUGAAGAUGACAUAGAGCUAGUGGAUGCAGAGCUGGCUACUGUAGCAACCAGAGUUACACCUACACCUGCAGAAGCCAAGCAGCUACUUGAUAUUAUUGCUGUCAUCACAGCUAAGGGCCAAGCAGCUGAUGCAUCAACUCCAAUUCCUCCACAGCAAACUCCUAGCCAAUCUGGUCGUACCAGUUUGCGACAAUCUAGUAAAAGAAAGGCAGUGCGUUUAAAGGCACUGUUACAGCAGCCUCGCCACAACCAUAACAGACCAUAUCAGUGUCCACCACGCAACCUACCCCAGCCGUAACUCCUCUGGCCAGCCCAGUGACGAAAAAGACAAAGACAUUGCCAGCUACUUCCCCACAAGUUUUACUAAAGGAUAAGCUGUGCAGUGCAUCCAAGAAGCACUGAUAUCAUCCCAUCAUGUGCAGCAGUCCCAACCACAUGGAAGUAUUCCUUCCUUGCUAGUUAAUUUCUUUCAUAAAAAAAAAAAAUUCUUUCAGUAUGUUUUUUCAAUUUGUAUGGUAUUCUCUAAUGUCUUCCAUGUCCUUGUCAAAAUUAUGUGACUUCAUUGUGGAUGCUUGUGAGGACACAACACCUCUCAAGUUGUGGGGGUUGUGUUUGUGUUUAUGCUUAUGCUUGUGGUGUGUGUGUUGCGUGAAGCUCUGUUAUCUCAUAUUUGUGUAUGGAUUUGAAAACCUAAUGAAGAUAAAUUAAGUGUUAUUCAGUAUUUAUGAGAAUGCCAAGUAGAGAUAGUUAUAGAUAGAAGUGAAAUGGCUUAAGUUACUGAGUAACCAGAUCUGAGUAUGUACCCCAUAUGCAGAAUUGUGUUCAAAGGUAGCGAAAGUUAUGAGCAAUGUUGUAACAUAUAUAUAUAAAAAAAAAAAGAAGUCCUCUGUCUAAGGCAUUGAGUAGCCAGGUUUGUUCAUGAGCUCCAUGCUCAGCCUUGAGUAAAAGAUACCUCUAGAUAAGAUUAUAUUACAGAUAUUGCUGCAGCAACUCUAAUCUGGGCAUUGUUUGAGUAAUUGGGUGUUAUAAUUACAAUUGAUUGACAUUCACAUGAAAGAUAAAUGUUGUAGUGAGGAGGUUGAAUACUCUCUAGUUUUCAAUCUUAAAAUCAUAACAGUUUGAAUAUGUGAAAUUUAUACUACCCCAUAUAUGAACGAAAUUUUGUCACUCUUGAAUUACAUGCAGUCUCUUGGUGAUGUUAUAGCAUCUUUGGAAUUCAAUCGAAGUAGCACAUACACACUAUGGACAGAAAGAAACUUAAGUCUAGUACUGAUUUACUAUGGUCAUUUUGCAUGAUUGGGAUUGUGAUCUGAAGGUGGAAAAAUCCUUGCAAAUUUGAUAAAAGAGCUAAAGUUGUGUUGCAUGAUUAUUUGCAUGAAGUGUUAAUAUGUUGUCAUUACUUGAGGACAAGUAAUGGUUUAAGUUUGGGAGUGUGAUAACUCUAGAAAAUGAGAGUUAUUACAUCAAUUCUAGACUUAAAUCAAGAUCACUUAGAGAACAAAUAAGGUGCUUUUAUUACAUUUUGGUUAUAUUUUGCAUAAACAUUCAUUUUAAUUGAGUCUUAAUAAGUUUUGUUUGAAUCAAAGUAAUUGGUGCUAAAAACAGGUGCAUAAUUGUAGGUUUUCAGAAAGUCUUAAUUCAUGAGGGGAUGGUGAGACAUUAGAUGAGCAAGAGGAGGAGAGAAGAUGACCGCAAAAGAAGUAAAGCACAAUCGGGAAUAGUGCAGUGUUGUAGCGGAUGUUAGAGCAACCAAUGCUGUAGCAAUCUAGGAACAAUGCGGGAGAAAACUUAGGCACGAGUCAACUGCAGAAUCAUGAUUUGCAUGUUUUCUAAUUUAACUCAUGCACGCCCAUGGACUUUGGUUUACCCUAGUUUGUAGUAUAAAAGGGAGGCGUGCACAAUAUAAAAAGGCGGCAAGGGAAUUAUCAUUAGAAUAAUUAGAGAGGAGAGGAGAAGAAGAUCAAAAUUGAAGAGUGUUGUUUUAGCAACAUUGAGGAAUCUUGCAGAAUUACUUGGAUUUGUCUUUCACCGUGCUCAACUUAUAUUUAUCUUCUUCCUUUGAUUGUUCUGAUGUAUCCCGUGAACAACAUAUUUAUGUUUGGUUUUCUUAUUCAGAAUAUGAACUAGAUCUGCUUAUAGUUGAGUGACAAACAAUCCAAUGGGUUCUUGACUGUUCUUAUGUGUUGUUAUGUCAUUGCUGUAGCAUUUUACUCUAAUAACUAUUAUUAAUAUAACUGUUAUUUCGGUUGACCACCCAUUUAAUAGUUCAAGUUAAGAUAGAGUCAUAAAAUGGCAUGUCUUAGCGGAUAUUAUUAGAGUAUUACUUGGUCUUAAUUUAAGUUUCCUGGAUUAAGUUAUCUUGAAUCCCAUAAGGGCUAUACUUGAAGUUAAGAUUUGUGACACACUAGACAUAGGUGCUUACCUUAUAGGGUGGAGAGACUAAAGGAUCAUAAUGCCAUACCAUAAAUAGAUUAGCAACUAGUCAUUGUUAAUAGAUUUAAGGGUAUGAGACUUCCAAUAUGCGAUAGCUAAAGAUGCAGAUUAAUUCUGCUCGGUGCUACAGCACUUGUCGUAAUAACUAGUGUUAACAUGAUGAAAAACAGUCAACCCAUAAAGAGAGUUUAAUCAUUCAACUACCAUAGUUUCAAUUGAAUCUUAGACACAUUUAAUUUGGUUUAAUUCAUUACGGUACUGUUUUACUUUAUUCUCUCACAAUCAUCAAUUACAAUAGAACCCACUCUACAUUUGUUAACUUCGGAUUGAAUUUAGUUGCACUAUUGUGAUUGCUAUAGCAUUUCAAGUGACAUCAAUCCCUGUGGAGACGAUCUUGAAUAUUCACCACUUUAUUACUUGUUGUGUACACUUGCACAUUGACAUCAAUAGAAUUUGAUUAUAAAAUUAACCAACACUAGUCAACCCAAUGCAUUCAUUUUUUUUUUUUUACAUCACUACAUCUUUUUAGCCCAUAUAACUAGUUUCUACUUCAGACUAUAGAUCCCUAAAAUCAAGAAGGACUUUUAUUAGAACGUAACGUAGGUUAGGGACAUGACUAAUAAUGAGGGAAAAUAAGGAAAACAAUGUAUAUGUUUGAGAAGAAAUAGAGAUAUUUUGGAAAUUACAAGGUGCGUUUUGCUUAUUUAUUAUUAUUGUUAUUUUUUUCUCUUUUUUUCUUUUUUCUUUUUUUUGAAACAAUUUUUUUGUUUUUAUUUUUUUUGUAUGGCACAACUUUACUGAACAAGAUAAUUAUUUACAUUUUUCUCAAACAUAAAUAGGUGAUGAAACUUAUAAGACAUCGGGUAAUAUUCCAAAUCGGAAUGGGUCAAGAUAAGUUGACAAAGAAAAGUUUUUUUUAAAAAACAAAAGGGUCAAAAGGGUUAACUAUGGAUAUUUCACAAAAUAAAUGGCUAGAAAGGCUCAAACGGGUCAAAGAUGACAUUUCCAUCGUCUUUUAGGGCUCUAAAUAAUCUGUUAUAUCUACUAGUUAGAUGGACCUUCAGAUGUAGCAACACAUUUUUUUCUCUUUUUUUUAAGGAUUGACUCAAAGGAAAUCUAGAGAUCAUGUAUAAAAUAAUAAACUGUUAAGUUGUAUGAAGAAUGGGCAAAAAUAGUUACUCUCCAAGAAAAAUGACAAGCUCAAAAACUCACUUGGUAUUCAUUAUGACAUGUGCAUUCCUUCAAGCAACUCAUAUUUAUCUUUGACAUCAACAUGUAGAAUAGCAAAUAUAGCGUAACAUCACUUAAGACCAAAGAUAAUACAAAUACUAAAACUUGAAAGUCAUCAUGUCAUCCAAUGUUAAAAAAUCACACUUUUUUUUAAGUUCAAACGACAUUCUACCCCCCAACCUAUUCUAAACAUGAAAAGAAAAUAUGCAUGUAGAAAUGUGAAAAUGAUGAAGAAAAACUAAUUAGAAAGGUUACACUUAAAAUGAUAAAAAAAGAAAAUAGUUUUUUUUUUUUACUAAGAAGAUGCGUUUUUAGAGUCACUACACUCCAUAUUCAGCCAUCUUCGAGUCAAAAAUUUGAAAGUGUAUAUUUAUAAAGGAGAAAUUAGAAAGAAGAAGUUAAGAAAAAAAAGAUUGUCAAAACUUAAAAAAGAAAAUGUCUAGAAUUUUUUUUUUCAAACGAAGAAGAUCAUUUUCUAGAGUCACUACACUCCAUAUUCAGCCAUCUUCAACACAAAACGUUAGUCACGGUUAGUCUCUACAACAAAAAAUUAGUAAAACCUUAACCAAGAUUCCACAAUUAUCAAUUAUUCCCUCCCCCCAACCAGAACGAAACAUUGUCCUCAGUGUUUUAAAGGAAAUAAGUAGAGUUUAGAAGACAUCAUCUAGGUGGUGCAACACAGAAGAAAAUAUUUACAAGCGGAGAUAAAUCUAAUUUGCACUUCUUACUGCAGCUAUUGUUACCAUCAUUAUUUGGACACUCCAGGACAAAGGUCCUGGGGUCUGACUCUGGUCUACGCGGGAUAACUGCAUAAUUGUGAUCUACAAUUUCCUAAUCUGACUUAUGCACGCCCUAGGCUUCCGUUUACCCUAAUUUUUAACUAUAAAAGAAGAACACGUCAUAAGGAUUAAGGGGAGUCGUCACCCAAAGAGAAAAACACAAAGAAACAAAAGAAAAACAAGAUUCAAGAGAGAGAUUAAGGGCUGCACAAGAGGAGAAUUUUCAUAAAUCAAUUGGGAGCUCAAUCAUUCUUAUUCUUCUCUUGCUUUCUCGUUUUCUAUUUAUUUAUGGGGAUGUGUUUCAUGGCUGAAACUUUGUUCUUUAUUUUUCUUUUACAAACCAUGAACUAAAUUUAUUUGUGGUUGAGUGAUAAACAAUCUUGAUGGUUUAUUAACUGAAUAUAUGUGUUGCUGCAUGUUUGUUGUAGCAGUUUGUUUUGAUAGUAUUUAUUUUUAUUCAUUAUUUCGGUUGAUCACCCAUUUAAUGAUACAAGUUAGGAGAGAGCCGCAAAAGGGUCUAUCUUAGUGGAACAUAUCAGAACAAUACUUGAUCUUAAAUUGAGUUUCCCGGAUUGAGUUUUACUUGAGUCCCAAAAGGGUCAUGCUUGAUUUAAAAUUAGUGAUGAACUAGGCAUAAGAAUUCAUCUUGUAGGGUAAAUAGACCCUAAGUGUGUAAUGCUAUAUCUUAUGUUGGCAUAGCAACUGAUCAUUGUUAGGUUGCAUAUAGAUAUAAGAUAUCCAACAUGCGACGGCUGAGGAUACAUAAGGAUUCUGCCCAGCGUUGUAGCAAAUACUGCAGCAACCGAGCCAACCAUUAGAAAAUAGUCAAGGCCAUUCAAAGAGUUUAUUCACUCAACUACUAUAUAUUCCCAUUAGUUUUAUCCUUGAGCUUGACGUGAUAGUUUUUUUUGUUGCAUUUUAUUUAUUGCGUUUUUAUUUUAAUUAGUAAAUUAGUUUCAUCAAUUGUUUAUUUUAUUUUAGCACAAAAUCUGCACUGUUAAGAUUGCUGUAGCAAAUAUGAUAACAUCAAUCCCUGUGGAGAUGAUCUUGAAUACUCAUUACUUUAUUACUUGUUGUGUACACUUGCACAUUGACACCAAUAGCAUUAGUAUUUAUUACCCAACAUAAUGCACCUGUUACAUUUCAACGAUGCAUGUUGAGCAUUUUUUCUGAUAUGGUUGAACGAUUCCUUGAAGUCUUUAUGGAUGACUUUUCUUUUUUUGGUGAUUCAUUUGAUCAAUAUUUACAUCAUCUAGCACUAGUUCUACAGAGAUGUAUCGAGAAAAACUUAGUCUUAAUUUGGGAGAAGUGUCAUUUUAUGGUAAAACAAGGUAUAUUCUCGGUCACAUCAUUUCGAGCAAAGGUAUUGAGGUUGACAAGCUAAGGUGGAUCUCAUUUUCUAAUCUUUCUUCCCCCCAAAACAGUACGAGAAGUAAGAUCUUUCCUUGGCCAUGCAAGUUUUUAUAGACGUUUCAUUAAAGAUUUUAGCAAAGUUUUUAGACCCUUAUGCAAUCUACUUGCUAAGGAUGUACCUUUUAUCUUUAACGAUUCAAGUCUUAUGGCUUUUGAAAAAUUAAAGCAAUUGUUGACAUCAUCACCCAUCAUUCAGCCCCCAAACUGGAGCUUACCAUUCGAACUCAUGUGUGAUGCAUCUGAUUAUGCAGUAGGAGCAGUAUUAGGACAAAGAGUUUAUCGAAUUCCCCAUGUUAUUUACUAUGCUAGUAUGACAUUGAAUGAUGCACAGUUGAACUAUUCAACUACUGAAAAAGAAAUGUUAGCAGUAGUGUUUACCUUAGAGAAAUUUCGAUCUUAUCUCAUUGGUUGUAAAAUAAUUGUAUUCACAGAUCAUGCUGCUCUUAAAUAUCUUCUCACAAAGAAAGAUGCAAAAGCUAGACUAAUUCGUUGGGUGUUACUUUUACAGGAAUUCGACUUGGAAUUUAAAGAUAAGAAAGGCACAAAAAAUGUUGUGGCAGACCAUCUCUCUCGUCUCUAUUUUGACAUAAUUAUAGAGCCAUUAACAUUGAAUGAGUCAUUCCCAGAUGAACAAUUGAUGAGUAUGGAAGUAUUACCAUGGUAUGCUGACAUUGUUAACUAUCUUGUUACAGGUCAACUUCCAGAGCAUUGGACCAAGCAAGACAAAGCCAAACUUUUUUCGGAAAUAAAGAAUUUCUUUUGGGAUGACCCGUAUUUGUUCAAGUAUUGUGCAGAUCAAAUUAUUAGACGAUGUGUCCCAGAAAGUGAAAUUCAAAAUAUCCUUUCAUUCUACCAUGAACAAACUCGUGGAGGCCAUUUCAGUGCUAAGUAAACAGCUACUAAAGUUUUACAAUGUGGUUUUUAUUGGCCAACUAUAUUUCGAGAUGCUUACACUUUUUGUUCUUCAUGUGAUAGGUGUUAACGAAUAGGGAGCAUUACAAUAAGGAACAUGAUGCCACUAAAUCCAAUUUUAGUGGUUGAGAUUUUUGAUGUAUGGGGUAUCGACUUCAUGGGACCAUUUCCCCCUUCUUUUGGCCUUCAAUAUAUAUUGGUUGCGGUUGACUAUGUAUCGAAAUGGGUAGAAGCAAUUUCAUGUAGAACCAAUGAUCACAAGGUGGUGACAGGAUUUUUUAAAAGUAACAUUGUUUCACGCUUUCGAUUCCCUCGAACGAUAAUCAGUGAUGGUGGUGCCCACUUUUGUAACAAAGCAUUCAAAGCUCUUUUGACAAAGUAUUCAAUCACUCACAAAGUGGCGACCCCAUAUCAUCCGCAAACCAGUGGCUAUUUUGAGAUCUCCAAUUGAGAAAUAAAGCACAUAUUAGAAAAGACAGUGAGGCCAGACAGAAAAGAUUGGUCAUUAAGACUUGAUGAUGCAUUAUGGGUAUAUAGAACGGCUUUCAAGACCCCGAUUGGGAUGUCACCCUACAGGCUAGUGUAUGGAAAAGUUUGCCACCUACCUGUGGAACUCGAGCAUCGUACAUAUUGGGCCAUCAAGAAAUUCAACUUUGACAUGCAGCAAGCUAGCUUAAAAAGAAGAUUACAGCUGGCAGAACUUGAAGAAAUUCGCAAUUAUGCAUACGAAAAUGCCAAGAUUUACAAGCAACGAAUGAAAGUCUUCCAUGACAAGCAAAUUAUGAGAAAAUCUUUCACUCCAGGUCAGAAAGUGCUUUUAUUCAAUUCUCGCUUGCACCUAUUCCCAGAUAAGUUACGCUCUCGAUGGUUUGGCUCCUUUAUUGUUCAUACUGUUUUUCCACAUGGGGCAAUUGAAAUUAAGGACCCAAAGAACGGUGUUACGUUUAAAGUUAAUGGUCAAAGAUUAAAGCCAUAUUUAGAGUACCAACCACAUAGAGAAAACACCGAAAUAAAUUUGAGUGACCCACUAGAUUUGAAUUAAUUUUUUUCUUCUUUCUUUUCGGUAAUUUGAUUUUUUUUCUUCUUUUUUUUAUUAUUCUUUUGCUAAUUGAAAUUAUUUUUGCAUAAGUAUGUUUGUUUAACUAUUAAGUUUCUUUUAUCAGUGUUAAUCAUGAGUGCCAUAUCUAAACAAUUCCUCUUGAACAUUCUUAAACUACUUUAACGUGUAAAAUCUCAUUUCAAAAGCAGAUUCGAUUUUGUAAAAUACAUCGUAUUUGGGCUCUGCAACCACCAGAGUUGGUAGUCUAUGUUGAGGAUUUAGAAAGCCAACUCAGAGACAUUGAGAGAGGUGUCUAUAACAUCCAGUUGAGCUUGAGGUAAAUUCAAUAAGAGGACAAUUUUAAUUUUCUUUGUGUGUUUUAAUUUGUUUUUUUGUUGGUGUGCUUUAGUUUGUUAUCCCGGUAAAGUGGCGAAUAAUGGUACUCCGUGACAAUCAAGUCGGUUACUUCAGUUUUCCCAUAAUAACUGAUAUUCUGAGGCGAAGGUAUGGACAUAAACGAGAUUCUAGCGAAGCUUCACAAGCGAUUCCCUUCACUUCCUUAGAAUGCCCUCCUUACAAUCUAUAAAGCUCGGUUCGAACGCAUGCGAUUGCUCAUAAGGAAUAACAUACAUGCUGAUAUCCGUUGGUUAAUCGAGGCUAAAGUACGAUUGGCAGGUGAGUUACCUCCAAAAUUUAUUGCAUACAUGCCUAGUUGUGGUAAAGGAAAUUAUGCAAGAAAACGAAGAGCUCGAAGAAUUUCUGUUGCUUGUCAUAAGUGUGCUAGAAUGAGUUGCGAUAAAAAAUCAUGUUCUUUAGGAAUGAUAUCUGAUAACAGGGAAGAUAAGAUUUAAUUCAUUAGGGAUGGCUUGAAUAAUGAGUCAUUAAAUGAUAUCCUUUUGUCUCUUGAAAUGCAUCCCAGUGGAUAUAUGCAAGGAGCGAUUCUCCUGUUAUGACCAUUAUUCUAGAAAGAGCAUGCACGAUAUAGUCUCAGGAAUCUGACUAUAAACGACCUUGUUUGCCAGUUUAUAAGAAAACUGGAUGGGAAUCCUAUCCUCGACCCAUAGAGGGUGUUCAAAAUGUUUCUGGACGUAAAACCAGAAGAAGAUGUGAGCCAUAGUCGCAACAACCUGUAAAUAUCCUUUUACUUCACUAUUAUUUUAUUUCACUGUUGUUUUAUCAUUUGCAUUAUUGUCUUUAAUAAAUUUAUUUUAUCAUUGUUUCCUUUUUAACUCACGAGCCAUGUGCUUUACGCGUUAUUUGACACUGGCAUGCCACUUUAUAUACAGUUGUGAUCCACUGUCACCAAAAUUCUUAAAUAUGACUUUUUGUCAAGAACUUACAAAUUAUUUUUUAGAAAUAUCCCAAUGGCAGUUACUCCCAAUAGACAAUUCAAGAACAUUUGUGUGCUUUCUAGAUUUAACUAUGGCAAACAUAAAGAGUUCGUUGAGGCAGCCAUAGAUCUUGGUCGAAGCAUAGCAGAGAGAAAACUACACUUGGUGUAUGAAGGAGGUAACCGAGGGUUAUCAAAAUUGGUCUCAGAAGCUGCUUUUGUCAAAGGAAGCCAAGUGUUAGGCAUCAUCCCAAGAGCCCUAAAACCUUUGGGCAGUUUGUCUGACCCACCGACUGGAGAAGAGUUACUCGUCUCAGGUAUGUAAGAAAGAAUAAUUGAAAUGCUUAAUCAUGCUGAUACUUUUAUUUUCCUUCUAGGAGAUCUUGCAAUACUAGAGGCACUUAUCACACUAGCAUCUUAGGCCCAUUUGCACAUUCACCAGAAACCCAUCGGUUUGUUAAACGUCAAUAACGUUUCUGAUGGCUUUAUCACAUUUCUUAACCAUGCAAUAAAAAACUAUUUCAUUUCUUCCAAUGCGAAAAAGCUUUUUAUUUGUGCUCACACUGCUAAUGAGCUACUUGAUAUGUUACAAGCUUAUAGACCGGAGCUAGACCCAUGGACCUUUGUGUUGGAGCAUCUAAAUAAUGACGGUAACAGUAGCCGCAGUAAGAAGUACAAAUUAAAUUUAACUCUCCAUCUGUAAAUAUUUUCUUCUGUGUUGCACUACCCAGGUGAUGUCUUCUAAACUUUACCUCUUUCCUUUAAAACAUUGAGGAUAAUGUUUCGUUCUGGUUAGGGUUAGGGAAUAGUCGACAAUUGUGGAAUCUUAGUUAAGUUUUUACUAAUUUUAUGUUGUAGAAACUAACUAUUGCUAACUUUUUGUGUUGAAGAUGGCUGAAUAUAGAGUGUAGUUACUCUAGAAACGCAUCUUCUUCGUUAAAAAAAUAAAAAAAAAUUUCUAGAAAUUUUAUUUUUCUUUAUUAAUUUUUUUACAAUCAUUUUUCUUCUUCUUUAUAAUAACUCCUUUAUAAAUAUACACUUUCCAAUUUUUUUGAGUUGAAGAUGGCUGAAUAUGGAGUAUAGUGCCUCUAGAAACGCAUCUUCUUAGUUAAAAAAAACAUUUCUUUUUCUAUCAUUUUAAGUGUAACUUUUCUAAUUAAUUUUUCUGCAUCGUUUUCACAUUUCUGCAUGCAUAUUUUCCUUUCAUGUUUAGAAUAGGUUGGGGGUAGAAUAUUGUUUAAAAAAUAAUUGUGUGAUUUGUUUUAACAUUGGAUGACAUGAUUAAUUUUAAAUUUUAGUAUUUGUAUUAUCUUUGGUCUUAAGUGAUGAUACUCUAUGUUUGCUACUUUACGUGUUGAUGUCGAAGAUAAAUAUAAGUUGCUUGAAGGAAUAAACAUGUCAUAAUAAGUACCAAGUGAGUUUUUGAGCCUAUCAUUUUUCUUGGAGAGUAACCCUUUUGCCCAUUCUUUAUACAGCUUAACAGUUUAUUAUUUUAUACAUGAUCUCUAGAUUUAUUUUGAGUUAACCCUUAAAAAAAAAGUUGUUGUAAAAUUAAAAAGAAAAGAAAAGAAAAAAUGUGUGUUGCUACAUCUGGAGGCUCAUCUAACUAAAAAAUGAUGGAAAGGCCAUAUUUGAUUCGUUUGAGCCUUUCUAGCCAUCUCUUUUGUGAAAUAUCCAUAAUUAACCCUUUUGAGCUUUAAAACAAAAAAAAAAACCUUUUCUUUGUCAACUUAUCAUCUUGACCCACUCCGAUUUGGAGUAUUACCCGAUGUCUUAUAAAUUUCAUCACCUAUUUAUGUUUGAGAAAAAUGUAAAUAAUUAUUUUGUUCAGUGACGUUGUGCCAAACAAAAGCAAAAAAAAAAUUAUUGUUUCAAAAAAAAGAAAAAAAUAACAAUAAUAGGUGAAAUCCACCUUGUAACUUCCAAAAAAAAAAAAUCUCUGCAUUUUUCUCAAACAUACACUUUGUUUUCCUUAUUUCCCCUCAUUUAUUAGCCAUGUCCCUAGCCUACAUUACGUCCUAAUAAAAGUCCUUCUUGAUUUUAGGGAACUAUAGUCUGAAGUAGAAGUUAGUUAUAUGGGCUAAAAAGAUGUAGUGGUGCAUAAAACAAAUAAAAUAAAAAUAAAUAAGUUGGUUUGACUAGCAUUUUUGUUUGACUUGAGAUCGUAUUAUUUUUAAGCUGGGGACAUAUUUCUUUCAUCUUGGUGAGAGCAUGUAAUAUCACUUCUUUAUUAUUUUCUCUCAAUUACCAUUCAUUGGAGUGACUAUUUUUAUUGGGUUUAAUUUCUUUAUGAGAGUGUCACUACUUCCAGUGAGAUUUUGGGAUUUGACAUGUCAUUCUUGAAAGGAGUUAUGACAAAGUCUACUGGGCUGAUUCAUGUGGAUGGUUGAUGUAGGUGUGAUGUUUCUUUAGACUGGAGACAAUGAUUAUACUUUUAUUUGAUUGCUAUCAUUAGUCUGAUUGAAUAAACAUGAUUGUUAAAAAAAAAAAUCAUUUUGGAUUUGAAUUUUUUUUUCGCUUUAUUUGCUAGGGACUAACAAUAAGCUAGUUAGGGGGUGUGUUGAGUGUUAGAAAAUGUAUAUUUAUAAAGGAGAAAAUCGUCAUUUUACAUUUCAAGUUUUACUAACACCCUUACUUUUAUGUAUUUAAACUUCUUGUCAUUUAAUUAUGUGUGUUGUAUUAUAAUUAAGUAUUUUAUGUAUGUUAGGGGCAUCAUAGUUAUUUCAUAAUGAAUGAGAGAUCAGACGGCAAAACGGACAUCACUUUUGAACUCAAGACGCUCGAAAACCUUAAGAGGAGCAUAAAAGGAAAAAUGACACUAUUCACAUGUACGGUACUGUCUAUGUUACUGUUCAUGACACUGUUAACAUAGACGAAUCGAUGACAUGGCAUUGACCGAUGAUGUGGCAUUGACUGAUGAGGUGUCACGAUCCUGUUAGAUUAAAAUUCUUAUGUACUGUUGAUCGAUGACGUGGCAGCAUAUCAGUGGACCAAAAAUCUCGCGUACGGUACAUGCAUUACACAGGAUUAUUUUCGACCAAACUGCGUCACUAUUCAACCCGGGUCAAACCGUGUUACUGUUCAAACCAUGUGGUCAAACUGCAUACUGUUGACUGAUGACGUGGUGCAAUCCUGAGCGUCCGAAAUAUUUUUGAUCUGAUGGCCAUGAUUUACUCAAUGUAGCUAUAAAAAGGGGGCUCUCUCCCCCUAAUUGGAUAGUUCUGAAUCCAUUUUUGGACUCCAUUUUCUGUAAUUCCCUCUCCAUCUUGUAUUUUCUACGUAUUUUAAUAAAUUCUUAUUUUGCCCUUAGUUCAAUUAUGAGUAGCUAAUUUUCUUUCAAACUUGGGUUGAAGGUGAAGUCUCAACAUGUGUCAUGGGCUUUAUUUGGUAAAUUUAUUUUCUUUUCCCCUCUAUUUGUUGUGGAUGUUUUGACUUCUAGUCGACAAAUAAUAAUAAUCUUGUCUAGAUACCGCCUUGGUUUCACCGGCUCUCUAGUACAAGGUUAUUAUUAUUUGGCACGAUAAGCCCUUAGCACCAUAUUGAUUAGAGUGUGGUUCAUGAGGUGUGGAUUCCCCCCUCAUGAUUUAAUUGGUAUUAAUAAGGAAUAUUUAGCCCAUGAUGCAUGUUGAUACGGAUCCAGAUACCUAAGUACGUCAUUUUAAUAGAUUUCUAUUCAAUUUAUUCUCGCCAUUUAAAUUCCAAUUUUAGGAUAAUCCAAAUCAUUUUCACCACAAAUCUAACCACCCUCAUACAAAAUUAAUUCUAUAUAUAAUUAAAAUCCAUCUCCUUGUGGGAUCGACACUCGUCACCGUUGAUCUAUUCUACAAUAGAUUCAUGCACUUGCGAGUUUAAUAAAUUUUGCACAAUAGCAAGUAGAUUGCAUAAGGGUCUAGAAACUUUGCUAAAAUUUUUAAUGAAACGUCUAUAAAAACCAGCAUGCUUAAUGAAAGAUCUUACUUCUCUGACUGUUUUAGGUAGAGGAAGAUUGGAAAUGAGAUCCACCUUGGCUUUAUCAACCUCAAUACAUUUGCUCGAAAUGAUGUGACCAAGAACAAUACCUUAUGUUACCAAAAAAUGGCACUUCUCCCAAUUUAAGACCAAGUAUUUCUCUAUACAUCUCUACAGAACUAGUGUUAGAUGAUGUAAACAUUGAUCAAAUGAGUCACCAAAAAUAGAAAAGUCAUCUAUAAAGACUUUAAGGAAUCGUUCAACUAUAUCAGAAAAAAUGUUUAACAUGCAUCGUUGAAAUGUAGCAAGUGCAUUACAUAAUCCAAAUGGCAUCCUCCUAUAUGCAAAAGUGUCAAAAGGGCAAGUGAAAGCGGUCUUCUCUUAAUCUUUUAGUGCCAUGGGAAUUUGAUUAUAUCCCAAGUAGCCAUCUAGAAAACAAUAAAAUUCAUGACCUAGUAAUCUAUCAAGCAUUUGAUCGAUAAAUGGUAAAGGAAAAUGGUCUUUACGUGUGACAGAAUUCAACUUUCUAUAAUCAAUGCAUACACGUCAUCAUGUAGUCACUCUAGUGGGUAUAAACUCAUUAUCAGUAUUGGUAACUAUUGAGUGUUAGAAAAUGUAUAUUUAUAAAGGAGAAAAUCAUUAUUUUAUACUUCAAGUUUUACUAACACCCUUACUUUUAUGUAUUUAACCUUCUUUUGAUUUAAUUCCCUGUGUUUUAUUUUAAUUAAGUAUUUUAUAUAUUUUAGGGGCAUCAUAGUCAUUUCACAAUGAACGAGAGAUCAGACGGCAAAACGGACAUCAAUUUUGAACUCAGGACGGUCGAAAAGGAGCAUAAAAAGAAAAAUAGCACUGUUCACAUGUACGGUACUAUUCACGUAUACGGUACUGUCUACGUUACUGUUCACGACACUGUACACAUAAACGGAUCGAUGACAUGGCAUUGACCGAUGAUGUGGCAUUGACUGAUGAGGUGUCACGAUCUUGUUAGACUAAAAUUCUUAUGUACUGUUGAUGGUGACGUGGUAGCAUAUCAGUGGACCAAAAAUCUUGCGUACGGUACAUGCAUCACACAGGAUUAAUUUCAACCAAACUGCGUAACUGUUCAACCCGGGUUAAACCGUGUUACUGUUCAUCCGCGUGGUCAAACCUCGUAUUGUUGACUGAUGACGUAGCGCAAUCCUGAGCGUCCAAACUGUUUUUAAUCCGAUGGCCAUGAUUUACUCCAUGUAUCUAUAAAAAGGGGGCCUCCCCCCCCUAAUUUGAUAUCUCUGAAUCCAUUUUUGGGAUCUAUUUUAUGUAAUUCCUUCUCCAUCUUGUAUUUUCUACGUAUUUUAAUAAAUUUCUAUUUUGCCCCUAGUUCAAUUAUGAGUAGCUAAUUUUCUUUCAAGCUUGGGUUAAAAGUAAAGUCUCAACAUGUGUCAUGGGCUUUAUUUGGUAAAUUUACUUUCUCUUCCCCUCUAAUUUUUGUGGAUGUUUUGACUUCUCAUCGACAAAUAAUACUAAUCUUGUCUAGUAUCGCCUUGGUUUCACCGGCCCCCUAGUACAAGGUUAUUAUUAUUUGGCACGAUAAGCCCUUAGCACCAUAUUGAUUAGAGUGUGGUUCAUGAGGUGUGGAUUCCCCCCUCAUGAUUUAAUUGGCAUUAACAAAGAUUAUUUAGCCCAUGAUGCAUGUUGAUACGGAUCCAGAUACCCAAGUACGUCAUCUCAAUAGAUUUCUCUUCAAUUUAUUCUCGCCAUUUCAAUUCCAAUUUUAGAAUUUAUUCUCGCCAUUUCAAUUCCAAUUUUAGGAUAAUCUAAAUCAUUUUCACCACAAAUCCAACCACCGAUUUACAAAAUUAAUUCUACACACAAUUAAAAUCCACCUCCUCGUGGGAUCGACACUCGUCACCAUUAGUCUAUUCUACAAUAGAUUCGUGCACUUGCGAGUUUAAUAAAAUUUGCACAACAGUAACUACUGUGACUCCUGACUUUUUAGGGACAACUUGCACAAGACUGACCCAUGAUCUAUCAAAAAUAGGGUAAAUGAUACAUGCAUCUAAUAGCUUAAAGACUUCAGUUCUAACAACUUCUUUCAUGUUAGGGUUCAACCGACGUUGCAUUUCCUUAGUAGGUUUAGCAUUUUCAUCAAGGUGAAUGUAAUGCAUGCAGUCUAUUGGGUUUAUACCUUUUAUGUCGGCUAUGGUCCAUCAUAAUGCUCAUUUGUGCUCUUUUAAAACAUCCAACAACUUACCUUUUUGUUCGUCAUUUACGGAUGAUGAGAUGAUUACUGGCAAAAUGUUUUCUUCUCCCAAAAAUGCAUAUUCCAAAGUGUUGGGUAAUGGUUUGAGCUCGAGUUUCGGUGGUGAUUCUGAUGAUGGGUUGAGUUUCUUCUCUGAUGGUGUUAGUUGUUCAAUUCUUGACUUCUAUUUAUUAGUAUCCAUGGAUGGUGCUGACUCAAGUAGAGCGUUGACCACAUUGACUGAUCUGUCAAUAUCAAAAUCAAAACCAAAAUGAGUUAAACAUGUUCGUAAAGGGUCAUCACUAAGGUUUGAAAGGAAAGUAUUAUCAACUAAUGCUUCUAUUAAAUCCACAUGAACAAUUCUAUCAUCUGCAUUGUGAGGUUGCUUGGCAAUGUUGAAGAUGUUUAGCUCCAUAGCCAUGUUACCAAAGGACAACUGCAUAUUUCCAGUCAUACAUUGAAUGUGAGCAUCGGCAGUUGCCAAGCAAGGUCGGCCUAGGAUAAUGGGGAUGUGCUUCCUUGAAUCCUGGAUUAGUUGAGUGUUAAUUACAAUUAAAUCAAUAGGAAAAUAAAAUUUGUCUACCUGGAUAAGCACGUCCUCAACAAUACCACGAGGUAUUUUUGUGGACAGAUUUGCAAGCUGUAACACCAUUGAAAUUGGGUGUAAUUCUCCCAGUCCAAGUUUCAUAAAUACUGAGUAGGGUAACAAAUUUAUACUAGCUCCUGAAUCCAACAAAGCAUUCUCAAUUGUGUGGUUCCCUAUAUUACAUGAGAGCAGUUGAUGUAAAAACUACAUUUCUUCAUGGGGAACUUAAAGAAGAAAUUUAUAUGCUCCAGCCAGAAGGUUUUGCUGAAAUAGGAAAGGAGAACUUGGUUUGCAGGUUGAAUAAAUCUCUAUACGGUCUCAAAAAGGCGCUGAAGUGUUGGUAUAAGAGAUUUGAUUCCUUCAUCAUGAGCCUUGGAUACAUCAGGCUCAGUUCAGACCAUUGGAUAGACCAUUGUGCAUAUUACAAGAGGUUUAAAGAUAAUGAUUUUAUCAUUUUACUGUUGUAUGUGGAUGACAUGUUGGUAGCAGGCCCCAACAAAUAUCGAGUCCAAGAACUAAAGGCAUAAUUGGCUAGGGAGCUUGAAAUGAAAGACUUAGGAUCAGCAAAUAAGAUUAUAGGAAUGCAAAUUCACCGAGACAGAAAUAAUAGGAGGACUUGGCUUUCUCAGAAGAACUACUUGAAGAAAAUCUUGUGGCGCUUCAAUAUACAAGAUUGUAAGUCAAGUUCUACCCCACUUCCUAUUAAUUUCAGGUUAUCGUUAAGUAUGUGUCCUGGCAAUGAAGCAAAGAGGAAAGAGAUGUCUCGAGUACCGUAUACAUCAGCAAGGGAAGUUUAAUGUUUGCUAUGAUUUGUACAAGACCAGACAUUGCACAAGCAGUGGGAGCGGUCAGUCCAUACAUGCCGAAUCAUGGUGGAGAACAUUGAAAAAUUGUAAAGAGGAUUCUGAGAUACAUCAGAGGAACUCCAAUGUUGCAUUAUGUUAUAGAGGAUCAAAAUUUACUGUCAGGGGCUACGUGGAUUCAGAUUUUACAGGAGACCUUGAUAAAAGGAAAUCCAAUACUAGCUAUGUGUUUACACUUGCAAGAUGAGCUGUAAGCUGGGUUUCGAAACUACAGACCGUUGUGGCUCUAUCUACAACAAAAGCAGAAUACAUGGUAGCUGCACAAGCUUGCAAGGAAUCUAUAUGGAUACAAAGGUUAUUGGAGGAGUUCGGGCACAAAUAAGAGAAAAUAUCUGUAUUUUGUGACAGUCAAAGUGCCUUUCACAUUGCAAUGAAUCCAGCCUUUCAUUCCAAGACAAAGCACAUAAGACUUCAAUAUCACUUCGAUCGAGAAAUAGUAGAAGACGAAAAUAUGGAUUUGCAGAAAAUCCAUACAAAGGAGAACCUAACAGAUGUUAUGACCAAACAAAUCAAUACUGACAAGUUUGUAUGUAGUAGAUCCUCUUGUGGCCUAGCAGAAACGUAGACAGCAUAACAAUGGCGAAACAGAAAGGAUGGUGUGGAGAUUGAUUGAUCAUUAAUCAAAUCUCCAAGUGGGAGAAUGUCAAAGUCAUGGUUGGCACCACCCUUAUAGAUGGGCAAUGCCAAACCAUCAACAUUUUCAACACGGCCCGCCAUUUUUUGUGUGCCGAACUGCUUGAAGAAGAAAAAAGAGAAAAAAGAACAAAAGAAGAAAGAAAAAGCCAAAAGAUUUGAAAGGAAAAAUAAUAAAAUAUUAAUAAUAUUAUUUUAUUGGAAAAAAAGGAGGGGAAAUGAAGCCUAUAAAUAGAAGGCUUCAAUUCCCCUCUCGGCAUCCCAUUCUUCAGUUUUUCAAUCUUUUGUGAGAGAGGAAAAAUUAAGAGUUUUAAUACUCUUGUGUAAUUAGUGAGCGAGAGAUUGGGUGUAUAGGAGUUCUGGGAAGUGAGCUAAAAUAUUACAAUACUUGUAAUCCUCAUAUCACUAGUGAAAUAUUUUUCUUCUGUAUUCACCCGUGGACGUAGGCUAAAAGCUGAACCACGUAAUUUUAUGGUGUUCUCUUUUGUGCUUGUUCUUUAUUUUUUUUCUAAUUUCAUUUUACCUGUGACCCUGCUUCACCCAUCAAUUUCCUAACAAAUCCAGUAUCAUAUAAUUAUAAAAACAAAUAUAGAAACUAAAAAACAAAUAGAGACUAUAUUUUGUGCUUACAUAUGGUGGUAUUUGCACUUGGAACAUUUACACCGAGCCAGCAAGCUUGCCCUUCAAAAACUAAAUCCUUGCUCAGAAUUAUACACAAAGCACGCUUUGCAAAGCAGUUCUUGUCUUGCAACUAGGCUUACCAAUGUAGUUCUUGUUAAAUCAAUACUUAUUGCAGCCCAAGUAUCACCAUUUUCAUUAGUUGGCUGCAAAGAACAGAAACAAAAAAUUCAAAUCAAAGGUAAAGCUAAAAAAAUUGGCUUUUAAAGUAAAGAAAAAAGGCAAAGCCUUAAAAAAUUCCCAAGUAUCACCAUUUUCACUCAUUGGUUCAAUCUCGAUUUUAUGUUUACAAUCACAUUUCUCAUAAACAUGAUCACUUACAGAAAAUUCCCACAAUCGCACAUGCAAUAUUUCUUAUAAAUAUGAUAACUUGGUUUACUAUAAUAUUGGAUACCCAACAAAGACUAGUUGAAAAUUCUCUAAAGGUUCAAAUCUUGGCCCUUUAAAGUCAUUUAAACUCAAAUAUAAAACAUGUGUCUAAUCAAAAUGCUUACGCAUGAAUAUAUUAAAGAACCAUCAUUUCAAAGGGAAAAUUUUGAACAAAGAAUUAAAAAUUUUAACAAAUAGAAUUUGACAAUCCAACAUUCAGAAAUUGAUAUUCUAAAGCAUUCUUUUAGAAAGAAUCUAAAUAAUUUGAUUAUCAAAAUAUAAAAUGAAAUCUUUACAAAUAUCUAGUUAACAUCAAACCCUGCAAAAUAUGUCUUAGAAUUAAACUAUAAGUGAAUGAUGAGAUAUUUCAUUUAAAAGCUUAAGGACUAAUCUUUUUAAAUAACUAUUAAGCUUCUCAGUAAGGGAAACCUUCCAUUCUAUUUUUCUUUCUUUUCUUUCUAGGAAUUCAAUAGCUCUCUCAAUUAGUUUAGGCUGCCUUGUAAAAUCACAAACAAUAUUUUCUCUCUCUAGUAAAAUAAUUUACAUUAACUUGUAUUAAAACAGACACAUUUUUAUAUAUUCAAAUCUACAAGACAAUAUUUUCAAUAGCAAACUUGAACUACUGCAGCCAAUAUUGUUGUAUUUAAUAUAUUCAAAGGCAAGCCUGCUCUAAACACUAUGUAAAGAUCUAAUUGGUCCGUGCAAGGGUACUGAAGUGAAGGUUACUUGGUCAUGUUCUAAUACAAGUUAAAGGUAAUUCUAAUUACCGAACACAAGCAACCUUAAUACAAAUAAUAGCAUGGCUGGAUUGCAUUAUCCUUCUCUAUUGACAUGGCGACUUAAACUUUAGACUCAUUUGUUCGAAUUUUGUAAAUACUUUGUAAUCACUGCCAAUAAAAAUAAAAGAGCCUAAAUAAAUAUUGCAAUCUACUGAAAAAUAGAAACUAUUUUGGUCUUUGCCCCCAUAUGUUCUCCACUACACCAUGUAAGAUAUAGAAAAAAAAAAGAAGAGACAAAACUCCAAUAAAGUAAAAAAUACUGAAUAACAUCAUUUCAUUUGAUUCCUAAUAUGUACAUCCAACCAGUUCAACUUUAUAAUGCUAAAAUUAAACCAUAAAUUAAAACCAAUUGAAUAAAAAUGGAUAACUUCAGGAACAUGCCUUCACAAAGGAAAUAAGAAAAACACACCACAAAAGAUUAACUUUCUAUAUGUUUCCAAGACGCCGUAUAGCUUCAGGGCUCCUAGAAACCUAUUAUCUUUCUCCUUUGUCCAUCAUUCAUGUUGCUUCCUUUUCUACCAUUAACCAAAAUUCACAAUUCAUAUAUUUUAUCCUUAACAGCUAUUUCAUAUCACCAAAAUUUUUUUAAAAAAAUAAAUAAAGAAGAAGAGGAGACAUAAAAUAUAAAAGUAAUCAAAGGUUUCUACUUAAUGUAGGGGUCCAUAACCCAAAAACCGAGCCUUAGCCCUAACCCUCAAAAUCUAUCACAAUACCCAGACCCUAGCCUUGACCCUCAGAAUCAAACAUAAUUCCACCAAAAUCAAAGAGUUUACCUGCAAUGACCAUGGAGAAGAGCGAAGGAGCGAUAACAAGCAGGUCUAGGAGAGCGAUUAUAAAAUUUAAUAGAGUGGAAUAAGCCAGUGAAUGGGUCUAUGAAAGUAAAGUGAGCAAAACGGCAAUGGAGAGUGACCCAUUUCAAGCAAAAUAAAGAGAGCUUAAGCAAAAAGAAGAGCCGCGAGAGACCAAAGACAUGACGUGAGCGCCUCUACAAGUGUUUGAAAAUAAGGGAAAAUCAUGUUUUAGCAUGACUGUUUUAAUAUUAACCGUCAUUAAUUAACUAAAAAAUCCAAUAUCUCCAAUAAUGAUGGUUUUUUUCAAAACGGUCAUUGUAGGAUAUAAAUUUAUGACUGUUGUUGAAAUAACGGUCAUUAAAUAUUUUUCGUUACUGUUGUUAAAAAGAACGGUCAUCAUACAUGAGUCGUAUUUAUAUUUUUGUAGUAGUAACUUUUAAUGACCGUUUUUAAAUAUAACCGUCAUUAAAAGUAAUAGCUUCACAUUUAAUGACGGUUACAUAAUAGAACCGUCAUUAUAAACCUUGAAUUUUUAAUGACCGUUUUUAUAAUAGAACCGUCAUUAUAAACCUUGAACUUUUAAUGACCGUUUUUAUAAUAGAACCAUCAUUAUAAACCUUGAACUUAUAAACCUUGAACUUUUAAUGACCGUUUUUAUAAUAGAACCGUCAUUAUAAACCUUGAACUUUUAAUGACCAUUUUUAUAAAUAACCGUCAUUAAAAAUAAAAUUAUGUUUUAGCUCACAUUUAAUGACGGUUAUAUAAUUGAACCAUCAUUAUAAAUUUCAAAUUUUUAAUGACCAUUUUUUUAAAUAACCUUCAUUAAAAGUAAAAUUAUAUUUUAAAGUAACAUUUAAUGACGGUUAUAGAAUAGAAACGUCAUUGUAAAUGCUAGAUAUUAUGACCGUUUAUAUAAUAACAGUCAUCAAAUAUUUUUAAUGACAGUUGUUAAUAAAAACCGUCAUAACUUAUGGGUUAUUAUUUUAAUUUUUUGUAGUAGUGGAAAUUUAGAUGGUGAAGUGCACACGGAAAAUGGAAGGAGAUCUAAUAAAUGUAGUGAUUAUCAUGCACAAACAUAAGCUCCACUGAGUGGUUGUCAAAUGAACUUUUUUUAGUCAGCCAAGUUAAAUUGACGGAAAGUAGAAGGAUAAAAAAUCAAUUUUUACAAAUUGCGUUUCCAUCAAUUUACCUUGACUAUGCAAUGAUAUAAAGGCUUAAAAAUUUUCAAAGCACAGCUCCUUGGUGCCACUUGCCGAUGUAAUAACUAAUAACAGUACAUAGUUUGAUAUUCAUCGAGAAGCACAUCAUUUGGAGAAUAAAUACUUUCACACUAAAGUGUUGCACUCGAUUAUUAGGAAUUGACAUUUUAACAAAUUUAAUGUGUCCACAAACAAUAUUAAAUUAGAUGAGUCCUACUGAAGAACUCGCCAGAAUUGUGUUUUAAUUAUUGUAUUUUAAAUAUUGUUAUAGUAAGGUUAUAUGAUGAGAUAAUAAAUAUUAAUCGAAAGGGGAUCGUUAGACUUAAUCGAUUAACUGGAAAUGAAAGUUGUGAAAUAUAAUUAAAAAUUAAUGGCUAACUUGUCAAUUCUUUUAGUGCAUUGGACCAAAGAAUCAUAAUAGAAGCAGCAGCGUCUGGUGCCAGGAAGUUUUUAACAGAAAUUUUCCAUUUUUCUAGUUCACUUCUUCCUCUUGUUUUGGUGGCUGAAGAGAUUCUUCAUCUUCGUCUUCCUUGUCCUUUUCGAUGUCUACUUCUUCCACUUCAUCCGCACCAAGGAGAUGUGUCCACAAACAGUAAUAAAUUUGGUGAGUCUUAUUGAGAACACCAAAUUUGUUUGUUAAAUAUUUAUGAUCACACAAAAAUAAUAUUAUCACUUUUCUUUUAUUUAUAUGUAGGACUUAACUAUGGUACAACUGUAGUACUAUAUCACAGUUGCGUCUAAUUAUUGGAUCCAACUACUUAGUUAUUAGAUCUCUUACCAUAACUGAAUCAAAUAAUUAGGUGUAGCUGUGGUAUGAUAUUCGGCUACCCUCGUUACAGAGGGAAGCCAGAAACGACAUGCUUGUGUGCCGUUUUGAAGUUUUAGAUUUGAGAAUUAAAAACAAAUUUUACCAUUAAAAAUUAAUAAAAGCUAAUCAAAACAAAUUAAAAAUCUAAAUUCUUAUCCCUCCCCUCACUCACCCCUAGGGAUGGCAAUUGUACCCACAAACCUGCCUAAACCCACCCGCCAAAACCCGCCCGUUGCGGGUAAUUUUACCCAUUGCGGGUGGGUUUAGUAUUAUAAAUUAGAACCCGCACAUGGAUGCGGGUGGGUUUGGUAUUAACCUUAUAUCCGGUGGAUACCCGCAUGGAUAUCUACCAAACCCGCAAUAUUUUUUCCAAAUAUUUUUAAUUUAAUUUUUAAUCUAAAAAUGUAUAAAGAAAAUAAUGUCAUUAAUCAAAUUACCAAAUAGCGAAAGGCUCAAAGUUGUGUAUGUGUGUAUGUGGCCCAUCUCCUAUUCUAAAAUUAUAACCUAAAGAAAACUAAAGGCAUUUCCCUUCGAAUUAGUAUUUAAAAAUAUUAAUCUUAAUUAUUAUUAUAGGCAUUGUGUUGGAUGGGUGCUUAUGGUGGUGAAUGAAAUGAAUAUCUUCUCUUGGAGCUUGUUUUAAAUGAUAAUAUAAAAUGUAAUUAUUAUUUUUAGAUACUAGUUUGUGUUUUUUAAAUAGAUUUGCGUAAUUUAUACUUAAAUUUGAGAAUUUGUGUUGAAUUGAUGUGAAAAUUUUAAUUUUUCAUUUACAUUGUUUUAAAUAUAAAAUUGAGUAUGUUAUAUGAAAUUUGAGGUUAUUAUUAUAAAUUUAUAUAUUAAACAUUUGUGAUUUUAAAUACGAAAACCCGCAAAAAAUCCGCCGGAUACCAUUGCUGGUUUGGUAAUUGUUAAAACCUGCUGCGGGUGGGUUUUUUAAAAAAAAUUAAAACCCGCUGCGGGUUGCGGGUGGGUUUGGUAAUUUAAAUUUUGUGCGGGUUUGGGUUUGGUAAUGGCAAACCCACUGCGGGCGGUGCCCAUUACCAUCCCUACUCACCCCCUCUCUCUCACCCGCUCUGUCCCUCUCGGCUCUCACUCUCACCCACGAAGCUCGUUCCCCUCUCACUCACCCACAAGCUCACUGUCAAUGUUUUACUCAUAUCUCAGCUAACGCAUCAUCAAAACCGCAACCAUGACGCUGGGCUUAGGAGGAUCCAGUGUCGUGGGUCAGUUUCUUCUUUGAUCUUGCCCUUUUUUGUUCAAUCUAUUUAUGCCCUUGAUUGAUUUAUUCUCUUUGUUUUGUUGUGUUUCUUGUUCUGGCAAAAUCUAUCGCAGCUGUUGCUUUUAUUAUUUUAUAAUUUUUUUUGGGUGGUUUUGUGUACUCUUAUGAACAUUCUUUUUGGCAUAAAUGCAUCUGGGUUACUACGUUUGAUUGUUAAUUAGACUUGAUCCGUAAUUCUAUGCGUUUUUUGAAUUUUUUUUCGGGAAAUUAAGUUAAUUUAGUUUAAUAUUAUUAGAUUAUUGUCACCUAAAAUUAGUAUAUUUAAUCAGUUAAAGAAAUUCUUUUGACACGGCCUUUACAAAACCUUGUAUGUGAUACUUUGAUUAGAAAAGUAUUUGUUUUUAUUUUUUAUUUAUAUUUUAAAAUUACUAGAAAUAAGUUAUUUGAAGUGUGAUAUUUUGUGAAAUGUUAAAGCUUAUGGUUUGGUUGUAAUUAUGUUUUUGCUUAUAUAAUGUUUACGUCUGUUGGCACUCAUUUUUUUUUUGGUAUUUAAAGUUUGCAUAUAUGGUGUGUAUUAAGAUUUUCAAGUUGUUCUUCAAACAUAUUCUGGGUAGUUUGAUAUAUCACACGUUUCAGUGAAUUCUUUAGUUGAGGCAAUUGUUUUUGGUCUUAGCUGCAUUGUUAAGUUCUUUACCACAUAGAAUUCCCUAGUUUUCUUCUGCUAAUCCAGUAAUUGCAGCUUCAUUCUAAGGUUCUUUAUUUUCUAUAAAGCAUAUAUUGCUUCAUUAACCCUCCUCUAAAAUCAAACCAAACGUGACUUGUAUUUGAUUUUUAUCCUUGAAAAAUAGAAUCCAUCCUUUUCUUUUUCUCUUUAUGCUGCUAAUAUGUAUUUGAUUCAUUCCAAUCUUACAGAUCAUUGUUGGAUGCCGAAUCAGCAUACAAUACUUACAAUUAUGAGAGGAAAAUGAACAACCAAUUGCCUGGUUCAGUUAGGCUUGAAGCUAGUAAGAUUGACAUAAAAACAUUUGUUUAAGAUAAAAUUGUAUCUUUUUUCUUUUUUUUUUUUGCUUAAUUUGGCAUUUCUAUAUGAUCUACUCUUAUUGUUGUAAUGAUUAUUGACACACUCAACCUUUGAAUAUAUGGAUAAAAAACCUUCAAAAUAUUUCCAUGUUCAAUCAUUGAGCAUUAGAGUAAUAUCAUCCAACCAACUAUUACACAAAACACAACUAAAAUUAUACAACAAAAGAAUAAGUCAAUGAUCAAUCUGUUAAGUCUGCUCCAAACUUCUCUGUCAUUAUCAUUUUGUUGAAGUAGCAAUUGCUGAAAACUCCCUUAUUGAGAACCUUUAUACGAUAUCCAAGAUGAAGAAUAAGGACAUAGAUGGGAUUGCUAGUUUGUACAAAAUAAGAACCAUAUUACAUUCCAGAAAAUAUAAAAUUAAUUAAGCAUAAAUAUAGAAACUGGAUUAUAACUUACAAUGUAAGAAUCAAAAGGAAACGAUGGAUAAAUAUCAUAUCCUUGUAAUUGGUAUAUGAUCACAUGUUCCUAAAUAAUGACCAUUAUUUAGUGACCAUUAAAAAUUAAAAAAAAAAUUAAAUAAUAUUACAUUAAAGAACAUAAAACUUACUGGAUCCUUAUUGCUCUCCUGCGGUGGGACUACAAUAUCCACCUCAGAAGAUAAUGGUGUUUGUACAUUUGAAUCCUGCAAAUCCAUAAAAAGAUACAUUAAAAUUAAAAUUAAAUUAAUUGUAGAAUAAUUAAGUAAGUAGUUUAAUCUUACCUUAAUUGUUGUCAUCUAAUUCUUCUUUUUUUGGCUCAUAAGAAGAUAAUGGUGUUUAUCAAACAACGUCAUACUUUUUUUGUUUCACAUCCACAUCAUUAUCAGUUUUUUUAUUAUUUCCAUCUAAAUUGUUGUUCAUCUAAUUCUUCAAAAUCUUCGACUUUGUAGUUUUUUUUUCAAAUCCUUCAUUUUUAUAUCAUGAAAAAUAAAUUAUAUUAAUCAUAUAUAAUUCAAACAAAAUCUACAUUUCAAAUAACUUAUUUCUAAUAAUUUUAAAAUAUAAAUACAAUAAAUCAAAACUUUCCUCAACAUGCUAAAUUUAAUUAGCUAGGUAGGUGAAAAAGGUCCAAAAUCGUCAAGCACACCUUCAAGUAAGGCUGGUCGGCGACAUGAUCGGUGAUGGGCUGGUCGGCGAUGGGCAUGGCGUGACAGCGAUGAUGGCUAGUCAACGAUGGGCGCGGCGUGACAACAAGUUUCGUGGGUGAGUGACAGCCUGAGAGAAACAGCUUGCUAGUGGGUGAGUGAGAGAGACAGAUCGGGUGAGAGAGAGAGAGAGAGAGAGAGAGACGGAGAAAAUAAGCGAGUGAGAGUGACGGUUAAGAAUUUUGGAAUUUUCAAAUUCUUUAGAUUCAAAUUCUUCUUCUUCCUAAUAAAUCAUUUCUACGCAAGAGACACGAUGAGGGACCCACAAACGCGACAGAAUUGGAUAUCCCGAUAUUUUAAAAUGAGGAAUAUAAUAAAUCGCCUUCCAAGAGGCUUCAUCAAGAAUCAAGAUAUAUAGCAAGGGGUCUCCCUCUCUCUGUCUGUUUCCUCUCUGUUCUAUUCAAUGAAAAUGGAGACUGCACUUUGGACUGUGCCUUUCUCCAUUGCUUUCUCUACAGCUAUUCUAGCCGUAGCAUGUGCCUGGUGGAUGCUACUGAAUUGGGUAUGGCUAAAACCAAAGAAGCUAGAAAAGUUCCUCAGAAAGCAAGGAUUCUCCGGAAACUCCUACAAAGUAUUUUACGGAGACAUGAAAGAGCUUGCCCAGACCACUAAAGAAGCUAAAAGCAGACCCAUCAGCCUCUCCGACGAUAUCGCCCGGCGAAUUCUGCCUUUCCACUAUCAUAUCAUCACCAAUUUUGGUAAGCCUUCCUACUAAUUUAUCUCACUCAACUUCACUUGGUAAUAAUUUUAUUUUGCUUAUAUAUCAAUAAAAUUAAAUAAGAUUCAAGUUUUUUUAAUUUUAAAGGAAAAAGAGAACGGAACAUAAGUUGUCAAUAUUUAUAUUUCUCAUUGUUAUCACUUUAGUAUUUUAUUUUUUUUAUUUUUUUAUUACACCUUUAAUGUUAAAAGCGUAAUUAAAAAAAGUUUUUUUUUACCGUUUUACAGUUAUUAUCUUAAUUUCACUCUAUCGGUAUAAUAUGAUUUUUUUUUUUUAUGUCAAAAGUCAUGUUAGUAUUCAACAAUAAAUUUCUAACAUUAAAAUCAUAGUUAUGUCAUGAAAGUAAGAGUGAUUAAAAAGUGAAGAAUGGUAGGGACCAAUGAGUCAUUCUUCCACAAGGGAGAAGGGACCAAAAAGAAAAGAAGGUAAUGGUUUUUGGAAACUUUCAACCAAGUCUGUUUCUGAAGAUUUUUUUUUUUUUUUGUCUUUUAUAAUGACAAUAAAAUAGUUAUUUUUUUGAAAGUAUGUAGAUGUAAAUUAUAUUAAAUAUAAUUUAAAAUUUUUUAAGAAUAAUUAAAAAUUUUUUUUUAUAUUGUUCUUAGUUGACCGAAAAUUAUUUAUAACCAACUAUAAAAAUUAAUGUAUAUUAAUAAUGAAUUUUAGGACUCCUCUUUCUCUUCUUUUGACUAUUAUUAUUAUUUUUUUAAUUUAUAGUUAGAAUAAAUAUAUUUUUCUGUCUCUCCAUUCAUAUUCAUGACAAUAAAAUUUGAGACUGUAUUUAAAUAGCAUUAAUGUAGGUGAAUGUAGAAUUUUAAUUACAAAAAAAUUAAUAAAUUUAAACAUGUUAAAAAAAUAAGACAAAAUAAGAUAACGAUACUGAUACACUGACGCAGACAUCUGAAUGACGUCUGUGCUUAUGCGAGGCAGCCACGAAAAAUAAUAAAAUACGAGAAGCUGUCCCAUUUUUUAGUUUUUUGUUCUCUGUGUUUGUGGAUGAGUUUUGACCGCAAAAUUUCAAGAUAUUACUUGCCUAACAAGGCGUUGAUGCCACCUGGUGGAUCAGUUCUGUAGCAUUUUAUUUUCUCCUUUAAUUUGAAUUUGAGAAAGGGCUAAAAAAUUGAAUUAAGUUUCAACGCACUUCUAUUUUUAAAAAUAAAUAAAUAAAAUAUGGUGUUCACCUGUUUUUAAAAAUCAUUUUCUUCGCAUUACGUGUCUUUUAACUCGUUUUAAAAAUAUUCAUCUUGGAAGAAUGGUAAUGCGUACUUAAGGAAAAAAAUAUUGAAAAAACUAAAGGGUCCUUUUCAUAAAAUAAAAUAAAAUAAAUUUUGUGUUUUUUUUCUAAGAAUAAUGAAAACCAAAAACAUGAUAAGUUGAAAGACUCUAAUCCGUAACCCUAAUUGCUAAAAUUACAGGUAAGAAUUCCUUCAUAUGGAUGGGUCCAAGACCAAACUUAAACAUCACAGACCCUAAGAUGAUAAGGGAAAUCUUUUUGAAGCAUGAUAUCUUUAAAAAGCUGAGAAGCCCACUUGCGAAGUUGCUGAUCACUGGGAUGGUAGGCUAUGAUGGUGAACAGUGGUUUAAAGUUAGAAAAAUCGCCACUCCAGCUUUCCAUCAUGAUAAGUUGAAGGUUCGUUUUCACCUUUAUACUUCGUUUAAUCACACACAAACACACACCAUUUUCAAUAUGCAUAUUCAUAUUGUUACAUGACCAAUGACAAUGUUUGACAAUUUCUUUUCUUCUUUUUUUCUUUUUAAAGAAUAUGUUACCUACAAUUCAUAAGAGCUGUAACGACAUGCUAAGGAAAUGGGAGAUGUCGUUUUCAAAGGAUGAGUCCUGUGAGUUAGAUGUGUGGCCUCAUAUUCAAACUUUGACAGCGGAUGUGAUUUCUCGAACAGCAUUCGGCAGUAACUUUGAAGAAGGAAGAAAAAUAUUUGAAGUCCUAAGCGAACAAAUUAAUCUUGNNNNNNNNNNNNNNNNNNNNNNNNNNNNNNNNNNNNNNNNNNNNNNNNNNNNNNNNNNNNNNNNNNNNNNNNNNNNNGUACUCUUAGUGACCUGAGCUGUGCUAGUUUUUUAAAGAUCUUAUAUCAUGUGUUUGUUUAUAGCACUGCAUAAGAUUAAAAGUGGUCUUCUAAAAAAAGAAUCCUUAUCAUUAUAGUGUAGAAAAGGGUUAUCAAAUGUUUUAGCGUAUCAAUAAUUUCCACGUGCCUUGCACUUAAUUAUGAGAAUGGUUUAUUGGUAGGUUUGUGCCUAAUAAACUGAACAGAAAAUUGAACAGCAACCACAAUGAAAUGGGAGAACUGGUAAAAGGUAUCGUUAACAAAAGAAAGGAAGCUCUGAAAGUUGGAAAAGCCAGCAAUAAUGGUGACUUAUUGGGUAUAUUGAUGGAAUCAAAUCACAAAGAGAUUCAGGAGAAGGAAACUGGAAUGAGUAUUGAAGAGGUGAUUGAAGAGUGCAAGCUGUUCUAUCUAGCUGGGCAGGAAACUACUGCAUCAUUGCUUGUGUGGACAAUGGUUUUGUUAUGCAUACAUCCUGAAUGGCAAGAACGAGCAAGGGAAGAGGUUUGUCAAGUUUUUGGAAAUAGAGAACCAAAAUUUGAAGAGCUGAACCAGUUGAAAGUAGUAAGUAAUCUUACUCUUACUUAAAUAUCUAAUUUGUCGAAAAUUUUGGGAAGACUCAAUUUCUUGUUAAUUUUCAGGUGUCAAAGUCUGGAUUUACAAAAUAUAAAUUUGAACUACCAUUAGGACUCUAGGCUGGGGUAGAAUUAUUUUUAUUCUAAUGAUAGAUCAAAUUUGGAAUUUGGGAUAUCCAAACAUCCGCACUUGAAAACUACUUCUCCUUAAAUUGAUACCACUUGAAUUUCUUAACCUGACCAGUGUUUGUCAAUAUUUUACUAUCAAAGAUAGAGGAAGCCACAUAAAUUAGGGAAAAUCUUGGGAGGUGCCAACAGAACUGUGUCAUCGUCCCACAACAUCAGAAUUAUAUUCUGUGAUUUUCACAAUUAAUUAUCCUUAAUAAAUUUGUUAUCAGUCACCAAGAACAAAGAAUUUCCUUGUUUGAAAAAAUAAUUCCAGUGUAUGGUGCAAGUAAGAAAAUUGAGUUCUAUACAAGGUACUUAGAUUGUGCAGUAGUUAUGGCAAUGAGGGUUGGUUACUGGAAAUGAUAAAACCUACAAAAAUGUCGAGGGUUCAAAAUCCUUCUUAUACAGGGAAUGGGAAGGGAUUUGUUAUAUAUGUACGUAAUAUUUUAAAAAAUCAAAGUUUAAAAUUAACUAGUAGUGAUAGCUUAUUUUGCAAACCAAAAGACCGGAAAUCCAGUGAAAUUUAGAACCUUAACUAAUUUUUUUUUUUCCCCUCCCAAAUGAUUCCGUUUUCUGUUGCAGGUAAGCCAAAUUCUGUACGAGGUACUGAGGUUAUAUUCAUCAGCACCUCUGCUUACUCGAGCUAAUGUUAAGGAGAUUAAGCUAGGAGAAAUUGUUAUACCACCUGGAGUUUUACUUUCAUUGCCAAUAAUGCUUGUUCAUCAUGAUCAUGAAUACUGGGGCGAUGAUGCAAAAAAGUUCAACCCAGAUAGGUUUUCAGAAGGAGUCUCAAAGGCAUCGAAGAAUCAAAUUUCAUUCUUCUCAUUUGGUUGGGGUCCUCGAAUCUGCCUUGGACAAAGCUUUGCUCUGUUGGAAUCGAAAUUAGCUUUAGCAAUGAUUUUGCAGAAGUUCACUUUCCAGCUUUCACCAACUUAUAUGCAUGCUCCUACUCGUGGGGUAACUGUAUAUCCACAGCAUGGUGCUAAUAUCAUUUUACACAAAAUUUAGUAUGCAUUACUAUCGCAAGUAUUCAGAAUUCAUGCCAUAUAGUAUAUGUAGAGCAAGAACUUUAUUAUUUUGAUUUACCGUUUCAAAUUUUCUCAGUACUCUUCUUUCCAAUAAAUUUAGAGAUGCAAUUUUUUUUUUCUAUUUAGUAUACAAAGUUGAUUAGGCCUCUUGUGGUCAAAGCAAAAAAAUAAAAACAAAUUAACUUUUCGUGCUGAGGAAAAUAGAAAUAAAUAUGACAAAUCAAUGGUUUUGAAGUGUUUAGAACACUUUUUUUAAAGGUUUUUUUUGGGUGUUUGUAGAUCAGAUUUUAUAGAUUAGACAUCAAUUUAUAUCUGAUUAAUAAUUUUACGGAUUUUAAAUUGUCAAUCUAAUCAAAUCCACAAAUUGGUGAAAUUCAAUUUAAGUCAAAUUCAUGUGUCUCCAAACCAAAUGCGGAUUUAAUCCAAUACUUAUCUAAUCCACUAUUUUGCAAAUUAGUUUAAAAUUUUAUAAUUUUGUCAAAUUCACAAACUAAUUAAAUAAAAAAAAUUAAUAUAAAAAUAAUUUUACUACCGAUCAAAUUCAAAAUUGAAUAAGAUUUAAAUAAAUUAAUUGUUUAAAUAAAGUUAGAAUAAUGCAUUUAGAGUUUCAAAAUAUACUACAUCGAAAAUAAAAUCUCAUUUGUUUAGAUUAAUACAUAAAAAUUAACUGAAAUUAUGAAAAUUAACUAUUUAGGAAUUGUUUUGUCUUGCUUGACCCAAGGAAGAGGAAUUUUUUUGUCUUACCUUUGGUUGAAUACCGAUUAUUAUUAUUUGGCGAGACCAAUUAAUUGUUUAUACAUACUUAAAAAAUAAUUUUGUCCAACCUUUUAAUUACAUUUUAUUAUAGGUAAUUAUGUAUAAACUAAAUUCAGUAUGUCGCAUACAAUUAAAAAAAAAAAAAAAGAGUGCCCCGCACAUAUGACAAAGUAGUAAUGGAAAUUAAUUAUAAGCUACCCGAAUUUUGAGAUGGCUAAAUAUUUUUAAAUAAAAUUAAAUUAAAAGGCUUGUAAUUGGCCAAUUUGUCAAAAUAAUAAUAGAUUACAAACAAGUUAGAAAAAUUUGUCUAUACAAAGGAUUGUGGAUGAGAGAAUUAUUUGAAAAGUCAGACAAUCCCUUUUUAUGCAAAUUGAUGUGAUCAAGUUACAUAUAUAAAUUCUACAAAGUAUUUGUGGUUUUACCAUUACUCAUUUAGAAAUUGUGUUAAGUUCUAGCCGAUCAUUUUAUAAAUUGUUGAAAAACAGAAAUAUGGAAAAGUCUAGUCACGGGAGUUAAAAUUUUAUCUAGAUAAAAUAGUAAUAACAAAAUAUGUUGGUUAAAAUUAGUGAAAAUAAAACAUUCAACUAGGGGUGGGCAAUAGUCGAUUCGGUUCGGGGCCUGAACCGAACCGAACCAAAAUAUUUCGGUUUGGUUCAGUCCGGUUCCUAAAUUCGGUUCGGUAACAACAUUUCUAUUUAAUCACAAUAUUCAGCUUAGCAAAUAUUCAACAUUUCUGUUUAAUUAUAAGUUUAUUUUAACUUGUAUAACUGCAGUAACAACAUUUUCCGUUUUGAUGAUUUUAAAAUAACAAGAAACUAAAAUUAGUUAAGAGCAUGCAUAUAAUAUUAACUUGCAGGAUGUUGCUAUGUUACAACAACUGUAACAUACACACCCAAAGCAAAUAGCACACGUAUCCUGACUUACAGAGAAAAAGCAAUGAAAAUGCAAGGUUCGGGGUUAGCUGAAGCAGCAUAUGUACCUUACAGAUGCUUUAACUUAGCCAACUCCUAACUUGCAACGAGUACUCCGAUGUUAUGAGACCCAAACAGAAUAAAAUAAAACGAAAAUGAUUUGAAAUUGAUUGAGAUUUGAGGUAGAAUGAGAUGUUGGGUAUUGAUCCAACACCAUUACCAUGGACCCAAAAACUCAAGUUAUUAAGGAAAAAAAAAAACAGACGGGCCAUGGCAUAAAUUUAAAAGAAAAAAAGACACCCAUAGGCUGCAGCUGCAGCAACCAAGAUGACCGUGUGCGAGGAUUAACAACGGCGUCACUGUGCUUGAGGGGAGGGGCUGUGCUGCUACUGUGGGGCUGUGCUAGGCGCUGACCGUGGUGUGAGGCGAGGGAGAGACGCGAGGAAGAGACCGAGAGGGGCUGAGCCGAACCGCACCAUGCACGCGUAGAGGGGGAAGAUACUGCCGAGGAGUGGUGCCGCCGCUGAGGAGCUGUGCCGUGAGGAGAGAGAGAGACGCGAGGGAGAGAGGCAAGGGCAACAGUAUAGAUGCAAUCAUGAAUUUGUGAUUUCCAAUUUAGGGUUUUGAUUUUUUGUGAUUGAAAUUUGAUUUUAAAUUUACAUAUUUCACUUUAAAUAUUUUUUAAUUAAAUUGAACCAAACCAAUCGAUUUUUCGGUUCAGUUCGGUUUUUAACCGAACCGAACCGAACAAAAACCAAUCGGUACAGUACUUUUUAAACCAUUCGGUUUUUGCUCAUAUAACCGAACCGAACCGAACUAAAAUUUUUCGGUUCGGGUCAGCAAAAACCGAACCGUUUGCCCACCCCUACAUUCAACUACUAUUUUUUUUUAUUUUGUCAAUGCCUUAGGAAAUGAAUUACUUGGUCAUAAAAAAUUCAAAGUUGUCUAAGACAAAACUUUGAGUUACUAUUUUUAGUUUUGUCACCAUAAUGACUCAUCUACGACUAAAAAACGAGAUCUUAAAAUUAUAAUAAAUCGAAAUAGCUUUAGAGACUAAUAUUAUGUGUUAUUGAUGGUUUCCUAAAUUUACACCUGUGUUUUAGUUACAAAAUAUUUUUGUCACCUAUAAUUAUAUUUCUCGAUCAUUUAUUUUGUCAUGAAUGACUUUUUCUUAAUUGGAUACGUGUAGUAUCUCUUGAAAUAAUUAUCAAUGAAAGUUACCAAGUACUUUUCACCUCUCAGGAAUAUAUAUGGCAAUUCCUAAAUAUCAGAAUGAAUUAAAUUAAAAAUGCUUCUACUUCUAUCGCUAGAUCUGUUAAACUUGAAUCUAUGUUACUUGUAAUACAAUGGUCACAAAACGAUGAGUUUUCCUAUUUAAACCUCGAAAACAACUUUUGCUCAGAGAUAAUCUUUAAACCUUAUUUUGACAUGUGGCUAAGUUUGAGAUGCCACAUUAUUGUCGAUUCUUCUUCAUUUGGCGUGACACAUCAUCGUCUUGUAGUGUUUCUCCUUUAAGCAUAAAUAAAAUUAACACCGAUCUUUUCCACCUUCAUCAAUACAAAUACGCCUUUAACAUCCCAUUUUUUAUAUGAGCUUUGCGUCCAAGAAACUCUAUUCGUCCUAAAGACAAUAAAUUCUUUUUCAUGCCUUUGACAUGUCGUAUCUCCUUAAUUGUGCGAACUGUACCAUCAAACAUUUUUCUUUUGACAACACUAAUACCAAAGAUUUCCAAGUCACCCAUGUACACAUAUUCUCUUAAAAAGGUCCAUAUUUUUGGAACCACUCUCUUUAAGAGGCCAUGUGCCAUGUUGCUCCUAAGUCUAUAAGCCAAAUGUCAGCCAAAUGCUUCCCGUUUUCUGCAAGAAUUGUUGUCUCGUUGUAGAGAAUUUUUCCAUCAUCAAAAGUACUUACCGUACAAUCAUGAGCAUUUGAUGACUCAACUUCAUUGUCUCUCCUUUGCUUAUUUUUCCAACACUCUUUCUUGACGUGCCCUUUCUUGCCGUAAUUGUAGCAUUUAACAUUCUUGUUACUUCUUGAUUUUGAUCUACUAUGAUUGCGACAUCCACUGGGGCCACGUUCUGUUGAUCUAUUUCUAGUCAUCGAUAAUGCUUUUGGUUGCCGCGAACUUGCCUGCCUACCUUCCUUGUUUUUUUUGUUUGCUUUCUUCAUUUAAUAUAGAGGUUGCAACAUUGCCGAAGACUAGACUGUCUAUUUGGUUAUUGUUUAUUAGAUUAAUGAUGAGUUGAUUGUAUGAAUUUGAAGAGUGUAAAGAUUCAUUUUUAAGAAAAUCUUGUUUUGUAAAGACUUGUCCUCGUACAAUUUUGUAAGAGUAUCCCAUAUUUUCUUUGCUAUCUUUUUCUCUCCUCACUACACUUCAUUAGCCAGUGCUAAAUGUAGAUCCGUAGUUGCAUUAUUGUCUACCUCGCUCCACUUGGCAUCAUCAGUUAUCUCCAUAAACUUUUCUCUUAUUGUUACCAUGCAAUUUUUUUUUUCCUCAAAAUAGCCUUCAUCUUUAUUUUCUACAAUGACGAAUUAUUUCUGUUGAACUUCUCAAUUUCGUAUUUGCCAUCAUUUUUUUUUCACCACAAACUACCGUUGCUAAGAUUGGCUCCCAUCGUUUCACGUGAAUACUAACCAUAUGUGUGAACAAUACUAUAUACGUGAAUAGUACUGUGACAACCAACUUGGCUCUAAUACCACUAUUAAGAAAUUAAUGGUGAAGCAGGGCCACAACUAAAAUGAAAUUGGAGAAAAAUAAAGAAUAAGCAUACAAAGAGGACGCUAGAAAUUACAUGAUUAAGCUUUUAACUUAUAUCUAUAGGCGAAGACAGAAGGAUAAAACUUGACUAGUGCAAAGAAGAUUAUAAGUAUUGUAAGAUUUUACCCUUACUUUCUAGAACCCAAUACACCCAAUCGCUUAAUCACUAAACUCUCAAGAGUUUAUGAUUUGAGCUCUCAAAACUCUCAGCUUCUUGCUCUUGAUAGAAAAAACGAUUUGAAGAAAAAAAAUGGAUUUUUUUUUGACGAAAUGGGCAUUAAUUUACAAUUUAUAGGGAACUCCCCUUUUAUAGCCAAAAUCGUCUAUUAUUUUAAUUUCUUCUUUUUUUUCCUUCUCGUGGCUUCUUUAAUGUCGAAGCCAUAAACUGCCAUUUUCCUUCAAACUUUUUGGCACUGAUCACUAUUUGUCAAAUUCAACAUUUGCGGCUUCUUCAUUUGCGGCACCGGCUUCUACAUUUGAUUGCCAAGCCAACAAGCCGCAGACAGAAGAAGAAGCACUCGGUUACUGUCGAUGGUUGUUAAGCAGUCAAACAGCUAAGAUGAAAAAAACAUUUAGGCAAUCUACGGUCUCAUUUUUUCCUUUCGUAAAAAAAUCCCUACACGAUCCCCUCUUCAAUUUCCAAUUUUAUUAUUCCCUCUUCAUUUUUAAUAUUUUUCCCUUUGCAAAUCCUCUUUAAAAUCGUUUGAUCAAGUAGCCUAUCACUCUUAAAAAUAACCAGUUCAGGUGGUUGACUCCUUGUUACUACUUUUUGAUAAGUAUCAUGACAUGGAUUCAAAUUAAAACACAUUUGAUGCUCUCGGAUUCUCUACACUGUAAGUUACGUAAACAUAACUGAGGAAUUGCCUAAUAUAAAUUAUUUAAAAUAUAUUUUAUUAAAAAUAUCCUGUCUUUCCACACGUUUUAGCAGUUUUUGGGAUUGAUGCCAACUUAGAGUUAUCCAAGUCUUUUCUUUUUAAAUAAAUAAAUAAAUCAUUCUACAUUUUGGUUCAUACAGAGCACGAAUAUAGCCACAAUCAAAUUUGACAGUUAUGUUUCUCAUUUUGUAGAAAACUCUAUUGUAUAAAAUUCACUACUACAAAAUUAAUCUUUAAUGACGGUUUUAAAAGACAUAAGAUCGUCAUCUUAGGCAAUGACAUUAAAAAAGGUACACCUUUUAUGAAGUUUCAAAAACCGUCAUUAAAUGUAUACAUAUAAUGACGGUUAUUUUAUUAAACAGUCAUUAUUUGAGAUAUAUUCAAGAGUUUUAAUGACGGUUUUUUCUUAAAAAUCAUCAUUAAAAAAUACCAGUCAAUGAAGGUUCUUUAAAUAACAAUCAUCAAUAGCACUUUAGCAUAUAUUUUUAAUGACAAUUUUCUUCAAAACCGUCAUUAAAUGUCAAUUUUUAAUGACGGUUUUAUAUAAAAUAGUCAUCUUAUAUAGGUCUUUGAUGACUGUUCUUAUAUAAGAACCAUCAUCUUUUGCAUGAGUAAAAAGAAAAAAAAUAGUAAUUUAAAAUUACCAUGCUUUAACUGUUUUUUUUAGAUUAAAAUUUACAUAGUUGUUUUCACAUUCUAAACUGUACAAUUGAAGCCGCAUUUGCAAAAUUUCAAUUUACAUUACACAUUGAUAUAAUUGUCAUUUACAUACAAAGAACUCAAAUACAUACAAGCUUAAUUAUAAUAGUUUAAUGCUUAAAUAACCUUUAUCAAAGUAACUCCUAAUAAUGAAAAAAUAUGCUACGCGAAUUCUCAAAUUAAAAUCCUGUCAAAGUCAUGGUUGGCACCACCCUUCUAGAUGGGCGGUGCCAAACCAUCAACAUUUUCAACACAGCUCGCCAUUUUUGGUGGUGCUGAAAUGCUUGAAGAAGAAAAAGGAGAAAAAAGAACAAAAGAAGAAAGAAGAAGCCGAAAGAUUUGAAAGGAAAAAUAAUAAAAUAUUAAUAGUAUUAUUUUAUUAAAAAAAGGAAGGGAAAUGAAGCCUAUAAAUAGAAGGCUUCAAUUCCCCUCUCGGCAUCCCAUUCUUCAGUUUUUAAUCUUUUGUCAGAGAGGAAAAAUUAAGAGUCUUAAUACUCUUCUGUAAUUAGUGAGUGAGAGAUUUGGUGUAUUGGGGUUUUGGGAAGUGAGCUAAAAUAUUACAAUACGUGUAAUCUUCAUAUCAUUAGUGAAAUAUUUUCCUUCUAUAUUCGCCCGUGGACGUAAGCUAAAAGCCGAACCACGUAAUUUUCUGGUGUCCUCUUUUGUGUUUGUUCUUUAUUUUCUUCCAAUUUAAUUUUAGCUGUGGUAUUCCUUCACCCAUCAAUUUCCUAGUAGUGGUAUCAGAGCUAGGUUGUAUUUUUUGGAGUUGGGCUAUUGUUCACGUAAAAGUACUAUUCACAUAUACGGUAUUAUUCAUGUAUACAAUAUUGUUCACGUAUAUGAUACUAUUCGUGUAUACGAUUCUGUUCAUAUGUACAAUUACUGUUCACGUGAAACGGUGGGAGCCAAUCCUAGCAAAGUUAGUUUUUGGUGAAAAACAAUGGCAGCAAAAUACGAAAUUGAGAAGUUCAACGGAAAUUAUUUUUCGUUGUGGAAAAUAAAGAUAAAAGUUGUAUUGAGGAAAAAUAAUUGCUUGACAGCAAUUGGAGAAAACCCCACGGAGAUAACUGAUGACAAGUGGAACAAGAUAAACGGCAUCGCCAUUUCUGAUCUACACUCGGCACUUGCGGAUGCAGUAUUAUCUAGUGUGGCAGAGAAAAAGACAGCAAAGGAAAUAUGAGAUACUCUCACAAAAUUGUACGAGGCCAAGUCGCUGCACAACAAGAUCUUCUUAAAAAUGAGACUCUAUACUCUUCGAAUGGCGGAAUUUACAUCAGUGACUGACCACAUCAACACCUUAAAGACUAUAUUUUCACAACUCACAACGUUGGGUUAUAAUAUAGAGGAAAAUGUACUUACAGAGCUUCUAUUUCAAAGUCUACCAGAUUCUUAUGAUUAAGUCAUUAUCAGCCUUACAAACAACAAUUCAGCGAACAAUCUAGUUUUCGACGAUAUUGCCGCUUCCGUAUUAAAUGAAGAAAGCAGGCAGAAAAAUAAAGAAGACAGACAAGCAAGUUCACAGUAUGCAAAAACACUAUCGGUAACAAGAGAGAGAUCAACAGAACUUGGCCCCAGUGGGAGUCACAAUCAUGGUGGGUUAAAAUCAAGAAGUAAGAAGAAUGUUAAAUGGUACAAUUGUGGCAAAAAAGGGCACGUCAAGAAAGAGUGUUGGAAUAACCAGAAAAGAAAAGAAUGUAAAGAACAUGAGUCAUCAAAUGCUCAAGGGUGUGUAGCAAGUACCUCGGAUGAUAGUGAAAUUCUCUACAGUAAGGCAACAACUGUUCAGAAGGCAGAAAAUAGCUAUCUGACGUUUGGCUUAUAGACUCAGGAGCUACCUGACAUAUGACCUCUCAGAGAGAAUGGUUCCACACAUAUGAACCUAUCUUAGGAGGAUCUGUAUAUAUAGGAGAUGAUCAUGCUGUGGAGAUCGUUGACAUUGGUACUAUCAAAAUAAAAAUAUUUGAUGGUAUUCGCACAAUUAGAGAGGUACGACAUGUCAAAUGCUUGAGGAAUAAUCUAUUGUCUUUAGGAAAAAUGGAUAGUCAUGGGUACAAAACUCAUGGGGAGAAUGAAAUUACGAAGAUUGUUAAAGGCACACUUGUAUUGAUGAAGGUUGAAAAGAUCUGUGCUAAUUUAUUUAUGCUAAAAGGGGAAACAUUGUAGGAAACUGAUGCGUGUGUUGCAUCAAAUGAAGAAGAGUCAAUGAUGAUAUGGCAUCUCAAACUUGGCAACAUGUUGGAACAAGGUUUGGAGAUUCUCUCUGAGCGAAAAUUGCUUCCAGGGCUCAAAUCAGUAAGCUUACAAUUUUACGAGCAUUGUAUUACAAGUAAACAACAUAGAUUAAACUUCAGUAGAUCUAUUGCUAGAAGUAAAUGCAUUCUAUAUUUAGUUCACUCUGAUGUUUGUGAAUUACCAGACAUAUCCAUGGGAGUUGCAAAGUAUAUGAUGAAUUUCAUUGAUGAUUAUUUCAGGAGAUGUUGGGUGUAUCCAAUUAAGAAAAAGUCAGAUGUAUUUCCAGUGUUUAAAAAAUACAAAGCGCAGGUGGAACUUGAAUCCGGCAAAAGGAUUAAGUGCUUGAGGACAGAUAAUGGUGGCGAGUAUACAGACGACGAGUUUCAUGCUUUCUGUAAGCAAGAAAGUAUUAAGAGGCAGUUCACAGUAGCAAACACUCCUCAACAAAAUGGAGUGGCAGAGCGAAUGAACAAGACUCUUACAGAACGAAUAAGAGCUAUGUUGAGGACUGCGGGUCUACCCAAUUUAUUCUGGGCAGAAGCAACCAAAACUGCCUAUUAUAUAGUAAAUCGGUCACCACCCACAACAAUUGGGCUGAAGAUAGAGAUAGAGAGGAGGAGCUCGGGCACAAACAAGAGAAAUUUUCUGUAUUUUGUGACAGUUAAAGUGCCUUUCACAUUGCAAGGAAUCCAACGUUUCAUUCCAGGACAAAGCACAUAGGAGUUCAAUAUCACUUCAUUCGAGAAAUAGUGGAAGAUGGAAAUAUGGAUUUACAGAAAAUCCAUACAAAGGAGAACUUAGCAGAUGUUAUGACCAAAUAAAUCAAUAUUGACAAGUUUGUUUGGAGUAGAUUCUCAUGUGGCCUAGCAGAGACGUAAGCAACAUAACAAUGGCGAAACAAAAAGGAUGGUAUGGAGAUUAAUUGAUCCUCAAUCAAAUCUCCAAGUGGGAGAAUGUCAAAGUCAUGGUUGGCACCACCCUUCUAGGUGGGUGGUGCCAAACCAUCAACAUUUUCAACACGGCCUGCCAUUUUUUAGGUGUCGAACUGCUUGAAGAAGAAAAAAGAGAAAAAAAGAGAAAAAAGAACAAAAGAAGAAAGAAGAAGCCGAAAGAUUUGAAAGGAAAAAUAAUAAAAUAUUAAUAAUAUUAUUUUAUUGGAAAAAAAGGAGGGGAAAUGAAGCCUAUAAAUAGAAGGCUUCAAUUCCCCUCUCGGCAUCCAAUUCUUUAGUUUUUCAAUCUUUUGUGAGAAAGGAAAAAUUAAGAGUUUUAAUACUCUUGUGUAAUUAGUGAGUGAGAGAUUGGGUGUAUAGGGGUUCUGGAAAGUGAGCCAAAAUAUUACAAUACUUGUAAUCCUCAUAUCACUAAUGAAAUAUUUUUUUUCUGUAUUCACUCGUGGACGUAGGCUAAAAGCCGAAUCACGUAAUUUUAUGGUGUUCUCUUUUGUGUUUGUUCUUUAUUUUUUUCUAAUUUCAUUUUACCUGUGACCCUACUUCACCCAUCAAUUUCCUAACAAAUCCAGUAUCAUAUAAUUAUACAAACAAAUAUAGAAACUAAAAAAUAAAUAAAGACUACAUUUUGUGCUUACAUAAGGUGGUAUUUGCACUUGGAACAUUUACACCGAGCCAGCAAGCUUGCCCUUCAAAAACUAAAUCCUUGCUCAGAAUUAUACACAAAGCAUGCUUUGCAAAGUAGUUCUUGUCUUGCAACUAGGCUUACCGAUGUAGUUUCUGUUAAAUCAAUACUUAUUGCAGCCCAAGUAUCACCAUUUUCAUUGGUUGGCUGCAAAGAACAGAAACAAAAAAUUCAAAUCAAAGGUAAAGCUAAACAAAUUGGCUUUUAAAGUAAAGAAAAAAGGCAUAGCCUUAAAAAAUUCCCAAGUAUCACCAUUUUCACCAAUGAUUUAUUACGUUAUGGGCAAUGAUAUUCGGCCACCACGAGACCAUAACGAAGCCAGAAACGCAUGCUUCUUCUGCCGUUUCGAAGUUUUAAAUUUGAAAAUUAAAAAUACAUUUUGCCAUUGAAAAAUAUCAAAAUUAAAUCUAAAGAAUUUGAAAAUUCCAAAAUUCUUACACGUCCCUCUCACUCGCUUAUUCUCUCUCUCUCUCUCUCUCUCACCUUCCCUCUCACUCACCCGAUCUGUCUCUCUCACUCACCCACUAGCAAGCUGUUUCUCUCAGGCUGUCACUCACCCACGAAACUUGUUGUCACGCUGCGCCCAUCGUUGACCAGCCAUCAUCGCUGCCACGCCACGCCCAUCACCGACCAGCCCAUCACCGAUCACGUCGCCGACCAGCCUUACUUGAAGGUGUGCUUGACGACUUUUGACCUUUUUCACCUACCUAGGUAAUUAAAUUUAGCAUGUUGAGGAAAAUUUUGAUUUAUUGUAUUUAUAUUUUAAAAUUAUUAGAAAUAAGAUAUUUGAAAUGUAGAUUUUGUUUUAAUUAUAUAUGAUUAAUAUAAUUUAUUUUUCAUGGUAUAAAAAUGAAGGAUUUGAAAAAAAAAACUAAAGUCGAAGAUUUUGAAGAAUUAGAUGAACAGCAAUUUAGAUAGAAAUAAUGAAAAAAACUGAUAAUGAUGUGGAUGUGGAACCAAAAAAGUAUGAUGUUGUUUGAUAAACACCAUUAUCUUCUUAUGAGCCAAAAAAGGAAGAAUUAGAUGACAACAAUUAAGGUAAGAUUAAACUACUUACUUAAUUAUUCUACAAUUAAUUUAAUUUUAAUUUUAAUGUAUCUUUUUAUGGAUUUGCAGGAUUCAAAUGUACAAACACCAUUAUCUUCUGAGGUGGAUAUUGUAGUCCCAACGUAGGAGAGCAAUAAGGAUCCAGUAAGUUUUAUGUUCUUUGAUGUAAUAUUAUUUAUUUAUUUUUUAAUUUUUAAUGGUCACUAAAUAAUGGUCAUUAUUUAGGAACCUGUGAUCACAUACCAAUUACAAGGAUGUGAUAUUUAUCCAUCGUUUCCUUUUGAUUCUUACAUUGUAAGUUAUAAUCCAAUUUCUAUAUUUAUGCUUAAUUAAUUUUAUAUUUUCUGGAAUGUAAUAUGGUUCUUAUUUUGUACAAACUAGCAAUCCCAUCUAUGUCCUUAUUCUUCAUCUUAGAUAUCGUAUAAAGGUUCUCAAUAAGGGAGUUUUCAGCAAUUGCUACUUCAACAAAAUGAUAAUGACAGAGAAGUUUGGAGCAAACUUAACAGAUUGAUCAUUGACUUAUUCUUUUGUUGUAUAAUUUUAGUUGUGUUUUGUGUAUUAGUUGGUUGGAUGGUAUUACUCUAAUGCUCAAUGAUUGAACAUGGAAAUAUUUUGAAGGUUUUUUAUCCAUAUAUUCAAAGGUUGAGUGUGUCAAUAACCAUUACAACAAUAAGAGUAGUUCAUAUAGAAAUGGCAAAUUAAAAAAAAAAGAUACAAUUAUUCACUUAAACAAAUGUUUCUAUGUCAAUCUUCCUAGCUUCAAGCCUAACUGAACCAGGCAAUUGGUUGUUCAUUUUCCUCUCACAAUUGUAAGCAUUGUAUGCUGAUUCGGCAUCCAACAAUGAUCUGUAAGAUUGGAAUGAAUCAAAUACAUAUUAGCAGCAUAAAGAGAAAAAGAAAAGGAUGGAUUCUAUUUUUCAAGGAUAAAAAUCAAAUACAAGUCACGUUUGGUUUGAUUUUAGAGGAGGGUUAAUGAAGCAAUAUAUGCUUUAUAGAAAAUAAAGAACCUUAGAAUGAAGCUGCAAUUACUGGAUUAACAGAAGAAAAUUAGGGAAUUCUAUGUGGUAAAGAACUUAACAAUGCAGCUAAGACCAAAAACAAUUGCCUCAACUAAAGAAUUCACAGAAACGUGUGAUAUAUCAAACUACCCAGAAUAUGUUUGAAGAACAACUUGAAAAUCUUAAUACACACCAUAUAUGCAAACUUUAAAUACCAAAAAAAAAAAUGAGUGCCAGCAGACGUAAACAUUAUAUAAGCAAAAACAUAAUUAUAACCAAACCAUAAGCUUUCAACAUUUCACAAAAUAUCACACUUCAAAUAACUUAUUUCUAGUAAUUUUCAAAUAUAAAAAAAAACAAAUACUUUUCUAAUCGAAGUAUUGUUGUGAAAAUUUUAAUAUACUCGCAAGCGCACGAAUCUAGAAAUAGAAUAGUGGUAACGAGGUCAAUCCCACAGGGAUUGUUAUAAAUUAAAAAGUCUAAUUUAAAUCUAAAAUUAAUAUUAAUUAUAACCUAGUUGAGCAAAUUGAGUUUUUAAGAAAAUUAAACCAAUUAAACUAAGGAAGCAAUUAAAAUAAAGGAGAAUUCAAUAAGAUAAGAAUUACCAAGGUUUCAGAAUCCACCACUAUUCAACUAGUAAUUAUCUAAUUAUUAAUUAAUCCCCAAUUUUAGAGUGACAACUCGAAAUCAAUCUAUGUCAUCUCAUGGAUAUAACAAUUAAGCCCAAGUAAUUAAAUCUAAUGUAGGUUCUUUUUCUGCUUAAUAAUAUGACAUCUAAGAAUCUCAUGUAAACAUAUUGAAUAACAAAGAGUCAAAGUUUCCUAAGCACUCCAUGUAAACAAUUUAAUGAAAGACAUAAAAUCAAAGAUAAUCAUGUAUAAACUUUAUAGAUCCAAGCAUAGAAUUAAUCGAAUAUUAAUCCUAACAAUCAAUAAUGCAUGACAGAAUUGAUGAAAAGAUUUUAUUAACAUCCAAUUAAUCAUGUGAAAUAAAAACCAUAAUCAUCAAAGAACAUAUAUAGGGAAUUAAUUAAAUAAAAAGAUAAUUAUUUCAUUGAAUAGGGUUUCAUCCUUAACCUCAGUAUAAGAAAAUUUGUUAGACAUACUUGAAUUGGGAGCAACAAAAUAAAUAAAUUCAGCCAUGGGGAAGCCGAAUUGCUGCAGAUUUUCUUCUCUGUCUUGAAUCCUUGCGUCUCCAGUUCUCUCUCCUCCCGUGGCCCUCUUGCCUUUAUAUAAUGUUACUGACUUGUUUAAUCCUUAUUGGAUUCUAAUUGCAUUAAUUCUUCUCCACCGACUUAUAAAGCCCACUCACCAAGGCCUUUUAAAAUUAUUUCCUUACUAAACUUUGAAAGCAAAGCACGCGUUUGACCACAAAAGCAAAAGGCCAAUUAAUGAUUUCUUCUUUUAAUGCCCAGCACAUGCAUUCCAAAUUGCCAAAUCUUUGCUUUCCAAAUGCAUGCCCACCGUUCAUCCUUUGAAGAGAUUGACUUCCAAUUUUGGUCUUCUUGACUUCCAUUAAUUCUUGGUUGCAUUUUUGUCUUCCAAUUUAAUCUUUAUUCCUUCUCAAUUUGAAGUGUUUUCAUGCCCUUUUUAUCAACAAUCUCCAAUUAAUUCCCUAUUCAAUAAAACAAUUCAAUUAAUUAAAAAUAACAAAUAAAUAUAACUAGCAAUUAUAUUAUUAAGGGUAAAAUGUGUAUAUAAAUUAUGCUCAUCAAAUACCCCCAAACUUAGAUUUUGCUAGUCCUCGAGCAAAACUAAAAUUUAAAACAAAAACAAAAGUAACGAAACAAAAAGUAAAUCCUAACUAAACCACUUUCGCAGGUAAUCGCGAUUGCAUUUAGCGUAUGCAACAAGCCUUUAAACCCCUAGGCGGCCCUAGUGGACUAGUUAUAGUCUCGUGAGGGCUUCAGUGAUGAUACCCACAAACAUCAUUAAAAAAAAUUAAAUUAAAAGAAAAAAAACUUUAAAUAAAACAUGAAAAAUAGCCUCAAAGAUUGCAAAAAUUAUAUAGCUCAAAGAAAAUUUCAAAUAUUGGCAAAGUUCUAACUUUAAUUCAAUAAUCAAUCCCAUCUCUCUUUCGAUUCUUGUAGUGUGUGUGUGAAAUCAAUUCAAUCAAAUUCAUUCCUAAAAUCUUCAAUAUCCACAACAUUCGCCUCAAACAAAGAACAGAGUAGGUCAAACUAAUCUUAUCAUCUUGAUCUCCAAAUUUUUUUCUUCUCACAGGCUUUUAUGUGCAUUUUCUUUUGAUUUUUUUUUUAGCACAUGCACUUGAUUUUUUUUUCUUUUUCUCUUUUUUUUUCCUUUUUUUUUAACCAUAGUCAGGAGCUUUCACUCUACCCCUUAAGGUAGCCUUCUUCUCAUGGUAGAUUAUCCUCUACAUACUUGUGGUACAUAGGCCCAAAUUACUCAAGGAUAGCUUCACUCUUAAGGGUUAUAGGUAGCUAUUUCUGACUUUGGUGCCCGUGUAUACUAUUUUGUAUUGUGGAGAUAAGAAUCAAGACAAACAGUCAUUUACUCUAUCUAAAAUUCUCAACUCAGGCUGCGUCAAUAUCAAAUUUCAAGUCAAAAUUACGAAAGAAUUGAUAUUAGUGCUCAUGGUUUAAAGAAUCUCAAUCAAGAGGAACUAACACAAGAAUCAAGUAUAAACUAAGACAAUAUUCAACCCUUUCUAAAAAUCAUAUUCAUUGUCAAUCAAGUUCUUAUCAUUGGCUUUUCACGUAAAAACUAAAAAACACAAUUUUUUUUUGAAUUUUUGAAUUUUUUUUUUAACAAACAAAGCACACACUAUUCCCACCCCCAAACUUAUUCGGAAUAUUGUCCUCAAUGUUUCACAAACAAAAGAUAUGCAUGCAAACAAAUGAAAGAGAAAAAAAAUUAAUAAUAAUAAAAACAUAAAUAAUAAAAAGAAAGUUGGAGAGAACACACCUGAAUGGGCUGGGAAAGCUUAAAAGAAAAUACCAAAUGAAAAGAAAACAUUAGAAAAGAAAAAUACUAGAAAAGAAAAACAAACAAAGAAAAAAAAACUACUAUUAAAAUAAAACAAGAGUGCAAAGAUGAACUUAAUUAAUCCUGAUAAACAGGAUCAUCUAAAAGUAUCUCCUCAACUUCUGGUGUUCUUAAUUCUAAAAAUGGUUUUAAUCUUUGGCCAUUCACCUUAAAUAAAUCACCAUUUUUAGGAUUUUCAAUCUCAAUUGCUCCAUAAGGGAAGACAGUACGAACUAUAAAAGGACCAGACCAUCGAGAACGUAACUUACCUGGAAAGAGAUGCCAUCGGGAAUUAUAUAAAAGUACUUUCUGACCUGGUGUAAAGACUUUUCUCAAAAUGUGUUUGUCAUGAAAGACUUUCAUUCGCUGUUUAUAAAUCUUGGCAUUCUCAUAUGCAUCAUUCCUGAUCUCUUCAAGUUCUGCUAGUUGUAAUCUUCUCUUGGAACCAGUCUGCUGCAUGUCAAAAUUGAAUUGCUUGAUAGCCCAAUAUGCACGAUGCUCCAACUCUACUGGCAGAUGACAUGCUUUUCCAUACACAAGUCGAUAAGGUGACAUCCCAAUUGGUGUUUUAAAAGCAGUUCUAUAUGCCCACAAUGCAUCAUCAAGUCUCAAAGACCAAUCCUUUCUAUCUGGCCUAACUGUUUUCUCUAGAAUCUGCUUGAUCUCUCUAUUAGAAAUCUCUACUUGGCCACUGGUUUGAGGAUGGUAUGGGGUGACAACCUUAUGUGUAAUGGAAUAUUUGUUCAAAAGAGUUUUGAAAGGUUUAUUGCAAAAAUGGGUACCACCAUCACUAAUGAUUGUUCUAGGGAAACCAGAACGAGACAGAAUAUUACUCUUCAAGAAUUUCACUACAACCCUAUGAUCAUUGGUUUUGCAUGGAGUGGCUUCAACCCACUUCGACACAUAGUCUACUGCAACCAAUAUAUACUGAUAACCACAAGAUGGAGGAAAAGGUCCCAUGAAAUCAAUACCCCAUACAUCGAAGAUCUCAAUCACAAGAAUAGGAUUGAGUGGCAUCAUGUUCCUCUUUGAAAUGCUACCCAUACGUUGGCACCUAUCACACAAAGAACAGAAAAUAUAAGCGUCAUGAAAAAGAGUAGGCCAAUAAAAACCACAUUGUAAAAUUUUUGUUACUGUCUUUUUAGCACUAAAGUGGCCUCCACAAGCUUGUUCAUGGCAAAAUGAGAUAACACUUUGAAUCUCAUUAUCGGGAACACAUCGCCUAAUAAUCUGAUCAGCACAAUAUUUAAAUAAAUAGGGAUCAUCCCCAAANNNNNNNNNNNNNNNNNNNNNNNNNNNNNNNNNNNNNNNNNNNNNNNNNNNNNNNNNNNNNNNNNNNNNNNNNNNNNNNNNNNNNNNNNNNNNNNNNNNNNNNNNNNNNNNNNNNNNNNNNNNNNNNNNNNNNGGGAAAGACUCAAUUCAAAGGUAAAGAUUCUGGAUAAAUUUAAGAUCAAGGCGAGAUAAAUGAUCCGCCACAACAUUUUCAGAACCUUUUUUAUCUCUAAAUUCAAUGUCAAAUUCUUAUAAAAGCAACACCCAACGAAUCAAUCUUGCCUUGGCAUCUUUCUUAGUAAACAAAUAUUUUAAAGCAGCAUGAUCAGUAAAAAUAAUCACUUUACAACCUAUAAGAUAAGAUCUGAAUUUAUCAAGUGCAAAUACCACAGCUAGCAUUUCUUUUUCUGUAGUUGAAUAGUUCAACUGUGCAUCAUUGAAUGUCAUACUAGCAUAAUAAAUCACAUAAGGCACACGAUCUAAUCUUUGUCUUAAAACUGCUCAUGCAGCAUAAUCAGAUGCAUCACACAUAAUUUCAAAAGGCAAAUCCCAAUUAGGUGGCUGAAUGAUAGGUGAAGAAGUCAACAAUUUCUUAAGCUUUGCAAAAGCAUCAAGACAAGAUUCAUCAAAGAUAAAAGGUGCAUCCUUAACAAGUAAAUUGCAUAAAGGUCUAGAAAUUUUACUAAAAUCUUUAAUGAAUCUUCUAUAAAAACCAGCAUGUCCAAGGAAAGAUCUUACUUCUUUUACGGAUUUAGGAUAUGGAAGAUUAGAAAUUAAAUCCACCUUAGCUUUGUCGACUUCUAUACCUUUGCUGGAAAUUAUAUGACCAAGAACAAUACCUUGUUUUACCAUGAAGUGACACUUUUCCCAAUUUAGAACCAAGUUCUUUUCUUUACAUCUCUGCAAAACUAAUGUUAGGUGCUGUAAACAUUCAUCAAAAGAAUCUCCAUAAACAGAAAAAUCAUCCAUGAAUACUUCAAGAAAUCUCUCAACCAUAUCAGAAAAAAUACUAAGCAUGCAUCUUUGAAAGGUAGCAGGUGCAUUGCAUAAACCAAAUGGCAUUCUCCUAUAUGCAAAAGUUCCAAAGGGACAAGUAAAAGUAGUUUUCUCCUGGUCCUCUGGAGCUAUAGGGAUCUGAUUAUAACCUGAAUAUCCAUCUAGAAAAUAAUAAAAAUCAUGACCUGCAAGUCUAUCAAGCAUUUGAUCAAUAAAUGGAAGAGGAAAAUGAUCUUUUCUUGUGAAUGAAUUCAAUUUUCUAUAAUCAAUGCAAACACGCCAACCUGUAGUUACUCUAGUGGGAAUUAAUUCAUUAUUAGCAUUAGUAACUACUGUAACACCAGAUUUCUUAGGAACAACUUGCACAGGGCUAACCCAAGAGCUAUCUGAAAUAGGAUAAAUAAUUCCUGCAUCUAAUAAUUUGAUUACUUCAGCUCUUACCACUUCUUUCAUGUUAGGAUUUAGCCUACGUUGCAUUUCCCUAAUAGGUUUAGCAUUUUCUUCAAGAUGAAUACGAUGCAUGCAAUCUACUGGAUUAAUACCUUUAAUAUCAGCGAUGGUCCAUCCUAUUGCCUCCUUAUGUUUUUUUAGAAUACCUAACAACUUACCUUUUUGCUCAAGAUUGAGGGAAGAAGAAAUAAUAACAGGUAGAGUGUCAUAUUCUCCCAAAAAUGCAUAUUCCAGAGUGUCGGGCAAUGCUUUGAGUUCCAAUUUUGGUGGUGCCUCUACAGAUGGGCCAAUUUUCUUCUCAGAAUGAGGCAGUAGUUCUGACUUUGUCUUCCAUUUAGUUGUGUCCGUAAUUGGAGGUGCAUCAAGUAAAGCACUGACUUCUGCAAUUGCACUGUCAUCAUUAAAAGAUAAAUCAAAAUGAGUUAGACAUGCCUCUAAUGGAUCAUCAGUAUGGUUAGAAAUGAAUGAAUCUUCUACUAAUUCCUCUAUCAUAUUUGCUUCAACAAAUUCAUCUUCUUCUUGUGGCUGCUUGGUAACAUUAAAAAUAUUCAAUUCCAUGGUCAUAUUACCAAAAGAUAGCUGCAUAUUUCCAUUCCUACAAUUAAUAAGAGCAUCAGCUGUAGCUAAGAAAGGACGACCUAGAAUAACUGGAGUGUGUUUCUUAGGAUCAUGUACAUGCUGAGUAUCAAUAACGAUAAAAUCAACAGGAUAAUAAAAUUUGUCAAUCUGUAUCAACACAUCCUCUAUAAUACCACGAGGUAUUUUCAUUGAUCUAUCAGCAAGUUGCAAAAUAAUAGGAGUUGAUUUUAACUCACCUAGUCCAAGUUGCAUGUAAACAGAAUAAGGCAAGAGAUUAACACUAGCACCCAAAUCCAAUAAUGUUUUAUCAAAACAUUGGUUCCCUAUAACACAUGAGAUAGUAGGAGAACCAGGAUCCUUAAAUUUUGGUGGCAUUUUACAUUGAAGUAAAUUGCUAGUUUGUUCAGUUAAAAAUGCCUUUUUAGUGACAUGUAAAUUUCUCUUUUUAGUACAUAAAUCUUUCAAAAACUUGGCAUAGGAAGGAACUUGCUUAAUAGCAUCGAGUAAAGGGAUGUUUAUACUUACCUGCUUAAAGAUUUCCAUAAUCUCACCUGUUGAAGUCCCUUUCUUUGCCUUUGUUAACCUUUGAGGAAAGGAGCCUUGGGAAUGUAAGCUGGCGGGCCACUCUCUUCAGGAUCAUUUGGUGAUGGGUCUUGUGAUGGAACUGGAUCUGAAGAAGUAGGCUCAUAUGUUUUUCUUGUUUGAACCUCCACCUUGUUGUCAAAUAACUUUCCUCUUCUCAAGGUCAUAACAGAUUUUGCUUCUUCAUGCUGAUGGCUUGAACUCGAUCCAACUUCGUGCACUCCUUUGGGAUUAGGAAUUGGUUGAAUUGGAAAUUUUCCUUUUUCUCUCUCAGCUACAGUAGUUGCUAAUUGACCCAAUUGAUGUUCAAGCUUUAGAAUAGCUUGAGUGUUUGACUGAAAAGCUUGUUGGGUUGACUGAAUGAAACUUUGAAGUGUAUCCUCUAAAGAAGGCUUUCUUUGUUGGGGUGCAACAAAUUGAGACAUAGGUUGUUGGGCAGGAGGAUGUAGUUGGUUAGGAGGGACAAAUUGUUGAUUGGACAUGUUCAACUGUUGUCCUCCUUGGUUUGACAAAGGCUGAUUUUGUUUCCAAGAAAAAUUAGGGUGAUUCCUCCAAUUAGGAUUAUAUGUGGGUGAAUAUGGAUUAUUAGGGGUUUUCUCAUAUGAUUGUAAGGCAUGUACCUGCUCAGAAUAAGCCUCUUGAUAGACUGGUAAUGAUGGACAAUUCUGUGCUGUAUGAGACAAGUUAGAACAAAUAGCACAAACCUCAUUAUCUACACUAGGAUGAUGAUUCAUUGAUUGGUUUAGAGCUAAGGCAUCUACUUUCCUAGAAAGUGUAACUAUAGUGGAUUUCACAUCAAAAUCAUCCUUAACUUCAUAUAACCCCUUUCUAGAAACUUGAGAUGAUUUUUCUCUUUGAUUUGAAAAAUCCCACUGUUGAGAAUUCUCAAAAAGUGAAUUAAAGAAAUCCCAUGCAGCCCUUUCAUGUAAGUUCAAAAAUCUCCCACCAUUCAUAGACUCUACCAUAUGACGAUUUGACAUGGUUAAACCGUUAUAAAAGCAUUAUAUAAGUCUCCAUUUUUCAAAACCAUGGUGGGGACACUUAAGGAGUAAAUCAUUGAAUCUUUCCCAACACUCGUAAAAUUGCUCACCCUCUCUUUGAUAAAAAUCACUUAUCUCUCUCCUAAGGGCAUUUGUUUUAGACAUAGGGAAAAACUUGGUGAGAAACUUAUUACUCAAUUCAUCCCAUGUACUAAUAGAUCCAUCAGGAAGUGAAUUCAACCAAGCUUUUGCUUUGUCUUUUAAUGAGAAAGGGAACAUACGAAGCUUAAUUGACUCAUCAUUAAAAUUUUGAAAACGGAAUGUAGAGCAUAUGUCAAGAAAUUCCUUAAUGUGCAAAUAUGGAUCCUCUCUUUCUAACCCAUGGAAAGAUGGCAAAAGUUGAAUGACAGAGGGCUUAAGUUCAAAGUGUGUUGCUGUAGUUUGUGGCAACACAAUACAAGAUGGUUGGUUGGCUGCAAGUGGUGAAAAGUAUUCGCUAAGGGUUUUCUCUGCUUACACUGGUGGAAGUAUUGGCAAUAAUCUAUUUGGGUCAUCCAUCACUUCUAAAGAACUAGCUUGACUACUAUCAAUUUUUGACUCUCUUUUAACCAAACGAUUUGUUGAAUCACGUUCCCAAACACUCAUAAACUAACCAGACAAGGAAAGAAAAUAAAAUAAAAUAAACCAACAAUAAUGAGAAUAAACGAAAUUAAACAACUAAAGAAUGAAUUCAAAAUAAAAUAAAAAAAAAAUAAAAAUCGAAUAAAUAAAAUAAAAGACAACCUAAAUUAUAACUAGUGGAAAAAUCAAAUUAACCUAGAUUAAACUUGACUUUCUAGCACAAUCCCCGGCAACGGCGCCAAAAACUUGUUGUGAAAAUUUUAAUAUACUCGCAAGCGCACGAAUCUAGAAAUAGAAUAGUGGUAACGAGGUCGAUCCCACAGGGAUUGUUAUAAAUUAAAAAGUUUAAUUUAAAUCUAAAAUUAAUAUUAAUUAUAACCUAGUUGAGCAAAUUGAGUUUUUAAGAAAAUUAAACCAAUUAAACUAAGGAAACAAUUAAAAUAAAGGAGAAUUCAAUAAGAUAAGAAUUACCAAGGUUUCAGAAUCCACCACUAUUCAACUAGUAAUUAUCUAAUUAUUAAUUAAUCCCCAAUUUUAGAGUGACAACUCGAAAUCAAUCUAUGUCAUCUCAUGGAUAUAACAAUUAAGCCCAAGUAAUUAAAUCUAAUGUAGGUUCUUUUUCUGCUUAAUAAUAUGACAUCUAAGAAUCUCAUGUAAACAUAUUGAAUAACAAAGAGUCAAAGUUUCCUAAGCACUCCAUGUAAACAAUUUAAUGAAAGACAUAAAAUCAAAGAUAAUCAUGUAUAAACUUUAUAGAUCCAAGCAUAGAAUUAAUCGAAUAUUAAUCCUAACAAUCAAUAAUGCAUGACAGAAUUGAUGAAAAGAUUUUAUUAACAUCCAAUUAAUCAUGUGAAAUAAAAACAAUAAUCAUCAAAGAACAUAUAUAGGGAAUUAAUUAAAUAAAAAGAUAAUUAUUUCAUUGAAUAGGGUUUCAUCCUUAACCUCAGUAUAAGAAAAUUAGUUAGACAUACUUGAAUUGGGAGCAACAAAAUAAAUAAAUUCAGCCAUGGGGAAGCCGAAUUGCUGCAGAUUUUCUUCUCUGUCUUGAAUCCUUGCGUCUCCAGUUCUCUCUCCUCCCGUGGCCCUCUUGCCUUUAUAUAAUGUUACUGACUUGCUUAAUCCUUAUUGGAUUCUAAUUGCAUUAAUUCUUCUCCACCGACUUAUAAAGCCCACUCACCAAGGCCUUUUAAAAUUAUUUCCUUACUAAACUUUGAAAGCAAAGCACGCGUUUGACCACAAAAGCAAAAGGCCAAUUAAUGAUUUCUUCUUUUAAUGCCCAGCACAUGCAUUCCAAAUUGCCAAAUCUUUGCUUUCCAAAUGCAUGCCCACCGUUCAUCCUUUGAAGAGAUUGACUUCCAAUUUUGGUCUUCUUGACUUCCAUUAAUUCUUGGUUACAUUUUUGUCUUCCAAUUUAAUCUUUAUUCCUUCUCAAUUUGAAGUGUUUUCAUGCCCUUUUUAUCAACAAUCUUCAAUUAAUUCCCCAUUCAAUAAAACAAUUCAAUUAAUUAAAAAUAAUAAAUAAAUAUAACUAGCAAUUAUAUUAUUAAGGGUUAAAUAUAUAUAUAAAUUAUGCUCAUCAAGUAUCACAUAAAAGGUUUUGUAAAGGCUGUGUCAAAAGAAUUUCUUUAACUGAUUAAAUAUACUAAUUUUAGGUGACAAUAAUAUAAUAAUAUUAAACUAAAUUAACUUAAUUUUGAGAAAAAAAUUUCAAAAAACGCAUAGAAUUACGGAUCAAGUCUAAUUAACAAUCAAACGUAGUAACCCAGAUGCAUUUAUGCCAAAAAGAAUGUUCAUAAGACUACACAAAACCACCCAAAAAAUAUUAUAAAAUAAUAAAAGCAACAACUGCGAUAGAUUUUGCCAGAACAAGAAACACAACAAAACAAAGAGAAUAAAUCAAUCAAGGGCAUAAAUAGAUUGAACAAAAAAGGGCAAGAUCAGAAAAGAAACCGACCCACGACGCUGGAUCCUCCUAAUCCUAGCGUCAUGGUUGCGGUUUUGAUGAUGCGUUAGCUGAGAUCUGAGUAAAAUAUUGACAGUGAGCUUGUGGGUGAGUGAAAGGGGAACGAGCUUCGUGGCUGAGAGUGAGAGCCGAGAGGGAUAGAGCGGGUGAGAGAGAGAGAGGGGGUGAGUGAGGAGAGGGAUAAAAAUUUAGAUUUUUUAAUUUGUUUUGAUUAGUUUUUAUUAUUUUUUAAUGAUAAAAUUUGUUUUUAAUUCUCAAAUUUAAAACUUCAAAACGGCAUAUAAGCAUGUCGUUUCUGCCUUCCCUCUGUAACGACUAACGAGGGUGGCCGAAUAUCAUUUUCCAUAAGAGUAAUAAUACAGCUACAAACUCUUGUACAAACUUAUUUUGUACAAACUGAUGUGGCAUGAUAAGAUUGGUUAAAUUAAAUAUCACUUGGCCCACAUGAUUUUUUUUAUUAAUUUAUAUUUUUAUUCAACCAAUGAAUUAAUGCCACGUCAGUUUGUACAAAAUAAGUUUGUACAAGAGUUUGUGGCUGUAUCAUUACUCUUUCCAUAAGAGUAAUAAUACAGCUACAAACUCUUGUACAAACUUAUUUUGUACAAACUGAUGUGGCAUGAUAAGAUUGGUUAAAUUAAAUAUCACUUGGCCCACAUGAUUUUUUUUUAUUAAUUUAUAUUUUUAUUCAACCAAUGAAUUAAUGCCACGUCAGUUUGUACAAAAUAAGUUUGUACAAGAGUUUGUGGCUGUAUCAUUACUUUUUCCAUAAAUCAUUUCUAUGCAAGAGACACGAUGAGGGACCCACAAACGCGACAGAAUUGGAUAUCCCGAUAUUUUAAAAUGAGGAAUAUAAUAAAUCGCCUGCCAAGAGGCUUCAUCAAGAAUCAAGAUAUAUAGUAGUUAAGCACAGCCUCUCUCUCUCCCUGUCUCUGUCUGUUUCCUCUCUGUUCUGUUCAAUGAAAAUGGAGGCUACACUUUGGGCUGUGACUUUCUCCAUUGCUUUCUCUACAGCUAUUCUAGCCGUAGCAUGUGCCUGGUGGAUGCUACUGAAUUGGGUAUGGCUAAAGCCAAAGAAGCUAGAAAAGUUCCUCAGAGAGCAAGGAUUCUCCGGAAACUCCUACAAAGUAUUUCAUGGAGACGUGAAAGAGCUUGCCCAGACCACUAAAGAAGCUGAAAGCAGACCCAUCAGCCUCUCCGACGAUAUCGCCCGGCGAAUUCUGCCUUUCCACCAUCAUAUCAUCACCAAUUUUGGUAAGCCUUCCUACUAAUUUAUCUCACUCAACUUUACUUGGUAAUAAUUUUAUUUUGCUUAUAUAUCAAUAAAAUUAAAUAAGAUUCAAGUUUUUCUAAUUUUAAAGGGAAAAGGAGAAUGGCACAUAAGUUCUUAAUAUUUCUUAUUUUUAUCACUUGCUAUUUGAUUUUUUAAUUUUUUUUAUUACACCCUUAAUGUUAAAAUCGUAAUAAAAAAAGUUAUUUUUUACCGUUUUACAGUUAUUAUCUUAAUUUCACUCUAUUGGUAUAGUAUGAUUUUUUUUUUUAAAUAUCAAAAGUCAUGUUACUCUUCAACAAUAAAAUUCAAACAUUAAAAUCAUAGUUAUGUCAUGAAAGUAGAGUGAUUAAAAAAUGAAGAAUAGUAAGGACCAAUGUGUCAUUCUUCCACAAGGGAGAAGGGACCAAAAGAAAAAAAGGGGACGGUUUUUGGAAACUUUCAACCAAGUGUCUGUUUCUGAAGAUUUCUUUUGUCUUUUUUAAAAAAAAAAUUAUAUAUCAAAAGCGGAUUGAUAUAGAAUUUUUUUAAUAAUCAAUAUAUCUUUAGUUUUUCCAUUUUGUGAUAUAUAUAUUUUUAAAUAUUUUUAUAUUGGUCUUAGUUGACCGAGAGUUAUUUAUACCAACCAUGAGAAUUAAUAUAGUAGAAACCUUGAAAUAUAAAUACUCCAUAAAGGAAUAAUUUUUUCAUAAUAAUAAAAAAUUAUGAUCCNNNNNNNNNNNNNNNNNNNNNNNNNNNNNNNNNNNNNNNNNNNNNNNNNNNNNNNNNNNNNNNNNNNNNNNNNNNNNNNNNNNNNNNNNNNNNNNNNNNNNNNNNNNNNNNNNNNNNNNNNNNNNNNNNNNNNNNNNNNNNNNNNNNNNNNNNNNNNNNNNNNNNNNNNNNNNNNNNNNNNNNNNNNNNNNNNNNNNNNNNNNNNNNNNNNNNNNNNNNNNNNNNNNNNNNNNNNNNNNNNNNNNNNNNNNNNNNNNNNNNNNNNNNNNNNNNNNNNNNNNNNNNNNNNNNNNNNNNNNNNNNNNNNNNNNNNNNNNNNNNNNNNNNNNNNNNNNNNNNNNNNNNNNNNNNNNNNNNNNNNNNNNNNNNNNNNNNNNNNNNNNNNNNNNNNNNNNNNNNNNNNNNNNNNNNNNNNNNNNNNNNNNNNNNNNNNNNNNNNNNNNNNNNNNNNNNNNNNNNNNNNNNNNNNNNNNNNNNNNNNNNNNNNNNNNNNNNNNNNNNNNNNNNNNNNNNNNNNNNNNNNNNNNNNNNNNNNNNNNNNNNNNNNNNNNNNNNNNNNNNNNNNNNNNNNNNNNNNNNNNNNNNNNNNNNNNNNNNNNNNNNNNNNNNNNNNNNNNNNNNNNNNNNNNNNNNNNNNNNNNNNNNNNNNNNNNNNNNNNNNNNNNNNNNNNNNNNNNNNNNNNNNNNNNNNNNNNNNNNNNNNNNNNNNNNNNNNNNNNNNNNNNNNNNNNNNNNNNNNNNNNNNNNNNNNNNNNNNNNNNNNNNNNNNNNNNNNNNNNNNNNNNNNNNNNNNNNNNNNNNNNNNNNNNNNNNNNNNNNNNNNNNNNNNNNNNNNNNNNNNNNNNNNNNNNNNNNNNNNNNNNNNNNNNNNNNNNNNNNNNNNNNNNNNNNNNNNNNNNNNNNNNNNNNNNNNNNNNNNNNNNNNNNNNNNNNNNNNNNNNNNNNNNNNNNNNNNNNNNNNNNNNNNNNNNNNNNNNNNNNNNNNNNNNNNNNNNNNNNNNNNNNNNNNNNNNNNNNNNNNNNNNNNNNNNNNNNNNNNNNNNNNNNNNNNNNNNNNNNNNNNNNNNNNNNNNNNNNNNNNNNNNNNNNNNNNNNNNNNNNNNNNNNNNNNNNNNNNNNNNNNNNNNNNNNNNNNNNNNNNNNNNNNNNNNNNNNNNNNNNNNNNNNNNNNNNNNNNNNNNNNNNNNNNNNNNNNNNNNNNNNNNNNNNNNNNNNNNNNNNNNNNNNNNNNNNNNNNNNNNNNNNNNNNNNNNNNNNNNNNNNNNNNNNNNNNNNNNNNNNNNNNNNNNNNNNNNNNNNNNNNNNNNNNNNNNNNNNNNNNNNNNNNNUACCAAAAAUAAUAAGAUUUAAUGAUGAAUAUCAUUAUUGGUACUUUAAUGAAGUACAAAAAAAUCUUAAUUACUAGAAAUUAUAACUCAAUUAAUAAUAAAACUCUACUUAUCUUAAAUUCAAUUGAUGAUUUGUGAGAUUGGGCUAUUUUUAAUACUACUGUUAUAAUUUAGCAUUCUAAUUACAGACAUAUUUAAAAAAAAAACCUGCAUUUGAUGGUUGUGGAAUUAAUUUAUUUAUUGACCGAUGGGGAAAAUAAUUAGGUUUAAUCAAAUUUUUUUAUAAUUUUUAAGGUGAAAUUGUAAUUUUCGUUUUGGGGGUAAAAUGGUCAUUUUUUUAAGUUUCCGUUAGUUUUCUUAACGGAUUCCAAACGGAAGUGGAAAAGUGAAAAAAAAAUGUAAAUUUAGGUGGAUUCCAGCCAAAAAAUGAAGGAAUUGUGUAUUUUUGAAAAAGGUGUAAAAAAUUGGUGGACGGUGGAUAUUUUCCCUAAAAUAAAUUUUGCGUUUUUAUUUUCUAAGAAUGAUAAAAACAAAAAAACAUGAUAAGUUGAAACAUUCUAAUCUGUAACCCUUAUUGCUAAAAUUACAGGUAAGAAUUCUUUCAUAUGGAUGGGUCCAAGACCAAACAUACACAUCACAGACCCUAAAAUGACAAGGGAAAUUUUUUUGAAGCAUGAUAUCUUUCAAAAAGAGGUAAGCCCACUUGUGAAGUUGCUGGUCACUGGGAUGGCGGGCUAUGCUGGUGAACAGUGGUUUAAAGUCAGAAAAAUCGCCACUCCAGCUUUCCAUCAUGAUAAGUUGAAGGUUCGUUUUCACCUUUAUAGUUCGUUUAAUCACACACACACACCAUUUUCAAUAUGCCUGUUCAUAUUGUUACCUGACCUAUAACAAUGUUUGACAAUUUCUUCCAUUUUUUUUUCAUAAGAAUAUGUUACCCACAAUUCAUAAGAGCUGUAACGACAUGCUGAGGAAAUGGGAGAUUUUGGUUUCAAAGGAUGAGUCCUGUGAGUUAGAUGUGUGGCCUCAUAUUCAAACUUUGACAGCAGAUGUGAUUUCUCGAACAGCAUUUGGCAGUAGCUUUGAAGAAGGAAGAAAAAUAUUUGCAGUGCUGAGGGAACAAAUUAAUCUUCUAAUUCAAGCUUCAUUUUUUGCUUAUAUUCCAGGAUGGAGGUAAUUUUAAUUAUUAAUCAACUUAGGUAGUGUUUACUUUCUGAAGUGAGAGUGUGGAGUGUGGAUUUCUCCCACUCCGGUGUUUACUUACCAUUUUUAAGGGGAGAGUGGGAUUCCCACUCUAUGGGUCCCACCUAAUUUUGGAUUGGGGAGUGGGAUUCCCACUCUCAUGGGGGGAGGUGAGAGUGGGAAUCCACUCCCCCCUCUUCCUUUUUUACCCUCAUAAUUAAAAUAAAUAAAUAAUAUUUAAUAAAAUAAAUAAUAUCAUAUUUAUUAAAAAUAAUAAUUAUAACAUAUUUAUUUUAUUAAAAAAAUAAAAAUAAAUAAAUAUUAUAUUUAAAUUAAUAAUAUUAAACAUUAAUUUUAAUAAAUAUUAAUUAUUUAUUUAAUUAAUAAUAAUAAAUAUUUUAUUCUAAAAAAAUAUUAAUUUUGUACUAUAUUAUCAAUAAUAAUGUUUCAUUUGUGUUGUUAUUAUUAAUAAUUUUUAUUCACAUAAUUUAAAUUAAAAUUAAUAAAAAAUUAUGAUUUACAUAAUUAAGAAUAUUAUUAAUUAUUAUUAAUUUAUAAAUAUAAUAAAAUAUUUAUUUUAUUUUCUAAAUAUAUUUUUUAUUAAUUUUUUAAUUACAAAUUAUAAUUCUUUACAUAAGGAUAAAAUUAUAAUUUAAAAUAAUUUACUCCCAAUCCAAGAUAAAGUAAACAAAUAAUUGAGAUUCUGAUUGACAAUCCAUACUUUCAUUUAGUCUAAGUAAACUCCCUACUCCCACUCCCACUCUCACUCCACACUCCUAAUCCAAGGAUUCCCACUCCUCAAGAUUCCCACUCCAAUCCAAAAAGUAAACGCAGAUUAUUCCUCGUAGUACUCUUGGUGACCUAAGCUGUGCUAAUUUUUUAAAGAUAUUAUAUCAGGUGUGUAUUUAUAAAUCAACAUAAGAUUAGAAGUGGUCUUCUAAAUAAAGAAUCCUUAUUAUUAUAGUGUAGAAAAGUGUUGUCAAAUGUUUUAGCAUAUAAAUAAUUUCCGCGUGCCUUGCACUUAAUUAUGAGAAUUGUUUAUUGGUAGGUUUGUGCCUAAUAGACUGAAUAGAAAAUUGAAAAGCAACCACAAUGAAAUGGGAGAACUGGUAAAGGGUAUCAUUAAGAAAAGAGAGGAAGCUCUGAAAGUUGGAAAAGCCAGCAAUGAUGAUGACUUAUUGGGUAUCUUGAUGGAAUCAAAUCACAAAGAGAUUCAGGAGAAGGAAACUGGAAUGAGUAUUGAAGAGGUGAUUGAAGAGUGCAAGCUGUUCUAUCUUGCUGGGCAGGAAACUACUGCAUCAUUGCUUGUGUGGACAAUGGUUUUGUUAUGCAUACAUCCUGAAUGGCAAGAACGAGCAAGGGAAGAGGUUUGUCAAGUUUUUGGAAAUAGAGAACCAAAAUUUGAAGAGCUGAACCAGUUGAAAGCAGUAAGUGAUCUUACUCCUACUUAAAUAUCUAUAGCUUUUCUAAUUUGUCGAAAAUUUUGGGAAGACUCAAUUUCUUGUUAAUUUUCAGGUGUCAAAGUCUGGAUUUACAAAAUAUAAAUUUGAACUACCAUUAGGACUCUAGGCUGGGGUAGAAUUAUUUUUAUUCUAAUGAUAGAUCAAAUUUGGAAUUUGGAAUUUGGAAUAUCCAAACAUCCGCACUUGAAAACUACUUCUCCUUAAAUUGAUACCACUUGAAUUUCUUAACCUGACCAGUGUUUGUCAAUAUUUUACUAUCAAAGAUAGAGGAAGCCACAUAAAUUAGGGAAAAUCUUGGGAGGUGCCAACAGAACUGUGUCAUCGUCCCACAACAUCAGAAUUAUAUUCUGUGAUUUUCACAAUUAAUUAUCCUUAAUAAAUUUGUUAUCAGUCACCAAGAACAAAGAAUUUCCUUGUUUGAAAAAAUAAUUCCAGUGUAUCGUGCAGGUAAGAAAAUUGAGUUCUAUACAAGGUACUUAGAUUAUGCAGUAGUUAUGGCCAUGGGGGUUGGUUACUGGAAAUGAUAAAACCUACAAAAAUGUCGAGGGUUCAAAUCCCUUCUUGUACAGGGAAUGGGAAGGGAUUUGUUAUAUAUGUAUGUAAUAUUUUAAAAAGUCAUAGUUUAAAAUUAACUAGUAGUGAUAGCUUAUUUUGCAAACCAAAAGACGGGAAAUCCAGUGAAAUUUAGAACCUUAACUAAUUUUUUUUUUUCCCCUCCCAAAUGAUUCCGUCAUCUGUUGCAGGUAAGCCAAAUUCUGUACGAGGUAUUGAGGUUAUAUUCACCAGCACCUCUGCUUACUCGAGCUAAUGUUAAGGAGAUUAAGCUAGGAGAAAUUGUUAUACCACCUGGAGUUUUACUUUCAU
rnacentral:lncRNA from 1 species